UCCUCCACCAACUGGGCCGACAACCGCCAGCAGCUCGCCGACUGCGGCAUCGGCUUCGGCGCAGACGCAAUGGGCGGCAAAGGCGGCCAGAUCUACAUCGUCACCGACUCCUCCGACCGCAACGCGGCCAACCCAACACCCGGCACUCUCCGCCACGCCGUCAUCCAAACCGAACCCCUCUGGAUCACCUUCUCCUCCGACAUGACAAUCAAACUCAAAGCCGAGCUCAUCGUCAACUCCUUCAAGACCAUCGACGGCCGCGGCCACUCCGUCCACGUCACCGGCGGAGGCUGCAUCACCCUCCAGUACGUCUCCAACGUCAUCAUCCACAACAUCCACGUCCACCACUGCAAGCCCGCCGGCAACACCAACGUCGCCUCCUCCCCGACCCACGUCGGCUGGCGCGGCAAGUCCGACGGCGACGGAAUCUCCUUAUUCGGCGCGCGUAAAGUCUGGAUCGACCACUGCUCCUUGUCCUACUGCGCCGACGGACUCAUCGACGCCAUAAUGGGGUCCACCGGGAUCACGAUUUCCAACAACUAUUUUGCGCACCACGACGAGGUGAUGCUGUUGGGUCACGACGAUAAGUACUUGCCGGACUCCGGGAUGCAGGUGACGAUUGCGUUCAAUCAUUUCGGGGAGGCGCUGGUGCAGCGUAUGCCGAGGUGUAGGCGAGGGUAUAUACAUGUGGUGAAUAAUGACUUCACGCAGUGGGAGAUGUAUGCGAUUGGGGGGAGUGCGAAUCCGACGAUUAAUAGUCAGGGGAAUCGGUACACUGCUCCGAUAAACCAGAACGCCAAGGAGGUAAAAAAAAGAUUUUAACUUUUUUGGUUUUUCAUUGUUUUGUUUAUUUGUUUAUUUCACGUUUGGUUUUUGGCGGGUGAAAAGUAAAGAUAUCAUUGGUUGCAUGAUAUUGGCCGCCCCAAGGAACACUUUUUGAACUGUGUCAAAAAAGACAUGAUUCCCUGCUUCUGGUCCCCCACUCACAACCGGCGGCGCGUGUACACUGUACACGCGCUUCCUGUUGGUCUUUCACUUGUAUGCAUGAGGAUUUUUCUAUUUGUUAUGGGGGAAUGGGUGUGGGAUACUUUAUCUCUCCUGAUUUUGGGGCCGCAUUUUGUCACGCGCUUCCUCUUGGCCGUCUGGCGACGUGAUUGUGUAAUCGGGGUGGUUAACAUUUAUCCCUCUUGCUUUCGCCUUUCGGUGGCGCGUGGUUAGCUCCAUCAUGGGCCUCCGUCGUCGCAGUAAUUAACUUUAACCGAGUCGAUUCACUCUGGAUUUGGGGUGAUAUGUGGCGCGUCGGUGUCACGCGCCUCCUUGGGGAUGAUGUUCUUUUGAAAAAUGGGACAGGAACAUUGAAUAAUGUGAACCUACUGACAGAGACCUUAUAGUCCGGUAGUGGCUGACAGUGGGGCAUAUUUUUCAUAUUUUUCAUAGCUGUAAAAUUUUGGCUUCAUUUGAUGACCGUUGGGAGCGUGUGAGUUACUGUUGGGGAGUGUGUGAGUGAGUGAGUGAGUUACUGACCAUGAGCUGUGAACAACACAGGUGACAAAGCGCGUGGACACGAACGAAGGGGAUUGGGACAACUGGAACUGGAGGACGGAGGGGGACAUAAUGGUAAAUGGAGCCUUCUUCGUGCCAUCCGGUGCGGGCAUGAGCACCCAGUACGCUAAGGCCUCAAGCAUUGAACCCAAGUCGGUGGGUCUCAUUGACCGCCUCACCGUCACCGCCGGUGUCUUCGGCGACCCAAGGUAAUGUUUUUACUGUUCCACCCCUCAACUGUAUUACCUGUCUUGUUAUAACUGUCAUUAUGAGGGCAAAUCUAAUAGGAAAGAUUGGUUCUUUAGGGACUUUUAGGGAAUACUCAGCUGGAUUUAGUAAUAGAUUAAUAAAAUAUAUGUGAAGAGGAAAAAGAUGUAACCUUUCUUUUCAAUGUGUUCACGUGAUGAGCAUGUGUGCCUGACACGGCAGCCUUACAGUUCACUUGUGCUGGUCUAGUCCUUUUUGUCUUUCCAGUUCUGCUUGGUCCAUUCGUGCUUUUUUUUGGUGUGGUAAUUUUAAAUUUAUGAUCUUGGGAUUAUAUCCCACCCAGCAUUUAUUUGUUUAUAGCAUUUGGUUGUUUUCUGUGUUUGUUUGUUGUGGUUUGGAGUUUGACUAAUGGGGCAGAGGGUGUGGAAAACAGAGAGCUUAGAUUACUGUUAUGGAUUAUGGGGUUUACAGUAUUACCUGAAUGUCAGAUUUGCCCAUGGUGUUUGGUGGGAGGGUAGCUCAGAGAGUAGGGUUGUACAAGGGGUAGGUUUGUCUUUGUUCAUGUGUGUGUAAAGAGAAAAAAAAGAUUGAGAAAGUUGUAAGUGGGGGCUCUUCUUGGGGGUAAUGGCUUGUAUUGUGGGACAGUGGAGGGAGGAGGAGAGGGAGACCCUACAGUAGGGUGUUCUUUCUUUGCAUUGGGAAGGUGACUCAGUUUUUAUUCCCUACCCCCCCAUACAUUUGUUUUGUUUUUCUUUUUCAAGCCAGGAAGUGUGGGGGUCCUUCUCUUGCAAUUUUUCAGAAAUAUGUGGGCCCCACAACCAGAUGGGCAGAUAUUUUAUAUGAACUAGACAACUAUCCCAUGUUUGCUGACCUAUUUGGUGUCUCCCAAGUAGAGUCAUUAGGUGAUUAACAAAUGAGUCUUUGGGUCAAUGGGGUCAUGGUUCAAAGGGAUUGUGGGUUGGAAAGAGAUCCAAUUUGCUGAGAUGUGGGGAGUCCCUUUAGUUUUGCACCACUGUUUUGUAAAUUUUCCUUUGGAAAGGUAGGUAAAUCUUAAGCUGGAAAAGAAAGGGACUGAAUCAAUCUCUGGAUAUUAUUUUGUUGUUCUUAUUCCUGAACUUGCUGGAUAGUGACAGUAUGCUUCUCAUGCAUGUAGUUCAUUUAAGUGGAAGCUCCCAUCAGAUAGAUAUGUUCUUUUUCAAAACCACACAUUGUGAGAAACUCAUCUGCUACUAGUAGUGCAUUACAUGGUCUCCAUCUGUUUUUGUAUGCUUCCAGUAGAGAUUGUUUCUCAAUCUGUUAAUGUUUUAACAAAUUUCUCAUCUCAGUUUUCCUUGGCUGCUUUGCUAACAAUGUUUACUGACCCUUUCAUCUUAAUUUGGCAAAUCCAACUCUAACAAUUUGAGACAAGUGUUUGCCAAAAUUAGUGAGCUCACCCCACAUUACCUCCACUUAUCCUAUGUGAGACCAACUCCUUCCCAAAUUCUUAAGUUCAUUUAUUUUUCGGUGCUUCAUGCACUUAAGUAACUGUUUGGACCAAGCUCUUUGUCAGGGGUCUUAUGAAAUCUGUUGCAACUUCAUUUUCAGUUCCAUUAUUAUGCUCGGAUUCUUCUGUUAAACCACAUGUCAUCUCUCAUGUCUUUAUGCAAUCCAUUAACUUUACUAAUUUGGUUUUUCAAACUAUUGUCAUUGUGUAGGGACAGUAGUAGGAGCGAAUCAUACAACAGCGGCAGCGGGACCAUAACUGAUGGCACCACAAACACCGGCAGUGGAGGGUACAGCGGCGGUGAUGGCGACUAUUUUGGAAUGAUAUUUGGUAGCAGUGCUCAACCAUCAUCAUCUUCACACCCCAUCUUGUUGUCUCUUCUAAUUAUCUUAAUUUUGUAUGUUACCACCAACCAUGGUGGUCUAUUAUCAUUACCAUUAUUCUUAACAUUAUUAUUAUAACACUCGAUUCAAAGGAAAUAUCAUUAUUAGACAAAAGGGAAAAGAAUUUUCUCCAUUAGUUCCAUUGCUUAUUUGGUCCCCAUAUGCUUUACAGUUUAUAUAACUACUUCACUCUAACCACCACAAAUGAUCGAGUUGGUAAGAGUUUAGGUGUGGAAUCCCCAUACCCAGGUUCGAAUUCCAGCCGACGUUAAUUGGAGUUAAAUCUUAAUUUAUUAUUAGUGGCCAGAGGGGAGGAAGCGUUCUGACAUGAUAUCUUGGCACAGAUUAGUCCCUGGGCCUGAAAAGCUUUUGAGGAUACCGUCGUUAAUACUCUACAAAAAAAAAAAAAAAAAAAAAAAAAAAAAAAAAACAACUAACACUCUAGGUUCUUAUGAUCCAGAAGACAUAUCUUUUAGCUCUUUCUAUUGGUUUUAUCACUACACAUGUAUUAGAUUUUGACUUGAGAGCAAAGUCGACUUGGAAAGUUCAUGUUCUAGGGUCUGUAAUGGGUUGAAGUUUUAGUAGGCAAACGUGGAUAUAACGCAAAAGAUACAAAUAUUGUGGGGGAGGAAUCUGGGGAUAGGAUAUGGUUGGCUGAUGAUAUGGAUUUUCGGAUGGCAUGUCAAAUUCAUAGACUUUGCAUUUUUGAUUUCAUUUUGGUUGAUUUUUGUGCCUUUCAUUGAGUAAUAAUGAUGUAUUUAACAUGGCAUGUCUCUCAGUGUCGUAGAAAAUUUCCAAAAGUUGAGUGUAGUUAACAUGGCCAGUUCUUUUUCAUGCCAAGUUCUGAAUAGCUUCCAGGUGCUCUUCUAUCUUGGAUUCUUGUCAAACACUAACCAAACAGAAGAAGCAAAGAGUUCACUGGUAGAACAUUUUAUUUUCUCGGCUAAUGAAAAUAGAUUACAAAGCAAAAGCCCCUAAAACAACCAACACCUAACAAAUCAAAGUAAACACUGUGCUAGCAGACAAGGUAAAGCAUUGCUCUAAGCCUGAACUCCAAGUUAAAAUCCUGCUUUGCCUAUUGCAUCCGCAACGAAGUUCUGUUCUCUCUUGAUGUGAGGGAAGAAUGUGACUUCAGUAAGGUGAGGAAGCUGUUUAAUAUCUUGAACCAGGGUAAAGAUCUUCCAAAGGGGCAGCAGAGAUAAACCAGUCAAUUAAAACUUUACAAUUACCUUCCACAGUAAUAUGAGAUAAACCAUGAAUCCAGGCUGCUACAACCUAGAAGGCCAGCGCGGAUGGUUAAGGCUUCAGCAGUAGGAGCAUCUGUGUUACCGAUCCUUUGAGGAGGCUAAAAGAGGGGAACCAUUGUUGUUGCAAAAAAUAAAACCGGAUGAGCCAAGGUGGUUUUGGACAGAACCAUCAAAGUUUAGCUUGAUGGCCUGGAGGAGGAUAAAGCCAGCGAAGAAGAGUAGGGGACUGAAUAGGAGUUUCGGAGAUGGAGGGGGUUAGAUAGUAGGUAUUUGGUAAAAAGGGAAGCAGAAAGGUAAAGAAUUUGAGUAGGGGAAGUGUGUUAAGAGCGAAAAAUGAGGUCAUUACAAGCUUUCCAAAUGCAGUGAGAAGUUACAAAAGCAAUGCCUAAUAGAGGUUGGGAAGGGGAAGUAGAGUGAAGAUGCUUAAGGAAGGAAAUGAAGGAAGGGAACUGAAAGAAGUUCAAGGAAGGAAAAGUUUGUGACCAGACCUUAGAAGCAAUGGUGCAAUGCAAGAAAAGAUGGUCUAAUGAUUCUAGAUUUUGGUUACAGAAGGGACAGCUACGAUCAACCGAAGGAUUGGUUAAAUUAUUUUUCUUAGAAGUACUCCAGAAACAAUACUUGGCUCUGAUUAAGAAUUUUUCAGUCAAGCUUCACUUGUAGAAACACUGAUUUCCAAGAGUUGGGUUCUUGGCAUCCCCUCUCGUAACUUUACGACCCUGAUGCAUCUACCUAAGAAAUAGAUGUUUCGGAUUAAAAAAGAUUGUAGAGCAACCCAUCAAUGGGAUCCCUCGAUGACUUGAAGGCAACCAAAAUCCAGAAGACAUUUAUAAACUUAUCAAGAAAACAAAAUCAAUAUCUAUAUUACACCUUGCUACAAUAUCUACAUUUUCUCCUUCUCAAGUUCCAAGUUAUGGCCUUGAUAGGAAUCGAUAUUGGAACAAGUUUGGGUAAAAAAUAGCCACCUAGGUGGAAAAUUUUGCUAUUUCAGUCAUAUAUUUAAUUAAUUAACCAAAACCAUAUCAUCGGCCCCUGCAGUUGCCGCGACUGUCUCUAUUUUCUUCCAUGUCAAUUCCCGCUGCUCUUCCAAUGAUCUGGCCCUGGUUACUUUCUCUAAGUAUUGCUCCUGGCACUCUUUGAACAAUUCUGAGUCCAUUUCCUGGAAUAUCCUUCGCACGUUGGUCGUCAGAUCAUGUAUACCUUGGUUCCAGUGACCUUGCGUGUUCUUCUCUAACGCGUCAAAUAUUACUGGUAAUAUCACGUUCCGGUUCUGAGCUAUUAAAUUUACAACGUGCUCGCUGUUAAACAAGUAUAGAGCUUGUUGGGCAACCUGCCAAGGAACUACAUAUUAGAAACACGUUUCAGAUAGAAUAGAAGUACAACAGCAAUUUUAUUACGCUUUAUAGGUAAGAGGAAAUUCUAUUGCAUGAUGUAAAGGAAGGUGCGUCAGUGCAAUUGAUUCAACAACAGAAUAAGCGGUGGUACAGAAAAACUUUAACUUAUUCACUAGAGAUGUAUCCACUAAAGAUGUAGAACAAUGGAAAGCUAGACGCUGCCAAGUAGUAGUACAGAAAAGCUAACUUAUCCACUAGAGAUGUAUCCAGAAAAGAUGAGAGAACAAUGUCAGCUAGACACUGCCAAGCAGAAAAACCAUGGUUGACCCGCACUCGGUACAUAAAGCUAUUUGGUGGCUAAUCCUGUCCGUGGCCAAGAGCUAUCCUGAUUCAAACAAAAGGUUUACGAGUGCUGACAUGAAAGCAAAAUGACUUCCCAGACAACCUGUCUUCAUUGGUCUAUUCAUUUACCAGCUUUGCACACUGGACUGCAAGAUGGAAGCAAACUUAAAAAGACGGUUUUUCUUUACCAACUUCCCAAUGUAGAUGAAAUUCAAAAUGCCUCUUUUUUCUUUCUCAAUUACUAAGUUGUAACAAACUAGCCAUAUGGAGAGACAACGAAGUCUUAAAGACUACUCAAACAACUUGUAAUGCACUAAUUCCACUUGCUAGUUUCAAGUUUAUCACUUCUUAUCAGACAGUUCCUCAUAUCAGAACGGAUCACCAAAUAGUUCUAAUGUCGUAUACAGCAAGAAAAGAUAACACAAUAACAAUGCUUACACUACUGAAGUCUAUUGUCUAAAAGAGAGGCAUAAAAACAUCAAAACAAAAUUUAAAUAUUUUUUUUACGAAUGAUUAAGCAUAAGCGGUCCGAUCAACUUGAAAUAGAAUACUAGUUAUAGGUAUUGGCUACAUAAGGACUAUGUACAGGUCAUUGGCAGCAGCAGUUUACUAGCAACAUGGUCUUUACUCUUUACAAUAUUCCAUUUACAUGAAUGAUGAAUCCAUUCAUAUCAUGUUAAGCAGUCUUACAGUACCAAUGGAAGGUUGAGAGAUCACCCUCCUAGUUUUGGUAAUAAAUAUACACUAGAUAGGGAGUUCUGCAUUAGAUUAACUUUUGUCACCUUGACAGAUGUACCAAAGCAAUGAUAUGUUUUCAUCAAAAAAUUCAUUUUCAUGUAUUACUGAACAAAACAACUAGGACAUCAACGCAAGCAAAAUCACACGACCUUGUAAAUGCACAAAUAAUCUAACAGUUGUACCAACAAAAACACAUGCAUAUAGCAGUAGCACACUGCUUUUACCUGGAAAUGCGAGCUAGUGAGGCACCGUCCAAUCUGUCUAAACAGCGGCAGCAUACACCUCUGGAACUCCGAAGCAGGAGUAGCCUCCAAAACCUCUUCCAGCUCCGCAAGAAACAGAACCUCCUUCUGACAAUUCGUGACCGGCCAAUACUUCAACAGCCCUCUGAUCACCAAUUCCGCAAGAUGAUAAUCCUUAUCAACAAACUGUAUAAUACAAUACGCCAACUGGUGAUGAUAUGCCCAAAACCCCUUAGGCUUAUGCAGCGGAAUAAGCGCCCUGAUCAGGAGCAACUUAUGCUCCUCUUUCAUCGGCAACGCGAAACCAUUGAUAAUACUCCCCAGAAUCUCCAACAACUCCCCAAUCCCGCAAUGCCUCUGCGUCUCGAAAAUGAACCUAUAGAACACAUUGUUCAUGGCCUUCCUAAUAAACGGCCUAUGCACCAUGAACUUGCCAUAUAUCCUAUGCAGAAGCGUUUUCAGGUACUCCCUCUCCCUCGGGUCUUCGGAGUCGAAAAGCUCGAUGAGUCUUAACACAAAGAUGUGAUCAAUGAAGCGCUUGGCGAACUUGGCGUCGGUUUCGGAGGAAGCAAUGUACCUGAGGAGAAGCUCGUAGACGAUUUGGAGGUGGGGCCAGGAGGGCUCCUGGUAGGGCUCGUCGUCGUCGAGGUCGCCGAGGUCGGAGGAGGGCGGGAGGCAGCGGAAGAGGUUGACGGAGACCAUGCGGAUGAAGUCUUCGUGGAGGUUAGGGGCGAGCUUGCCGGAGGAGGAGUCGAGGAAGUCGACGAGCUCGAGUAGGGUUUGGCGCUUCAGCUCGAUUUGGGGGGCGGAGGUUAAGGGGGUGGAGAAGUCGCAGAGGGAGGAGCAGAGGUGGACCUUGCGGAGGAAGAGGGAGGCGCGGUCGGAAACGGCGACGUUUUGGAAGAGCGGGAGGGGCUCCAUGGGUUGCGGGUCGGGUUUGCGUUUGGUGAGCAUCAAAACCCUAGAAAAAGGGAUUUAUAGAGGAGGAUUGGAGUCUUUUUGAGUUGGAAUAGGAAAAAGAGAGACGCUUGAAGAUCAGAGAGAGAGUUGCGGACAGAAAUAGAAAGUUUUGGACUUUAUGUUCUUGAAUAGGGGAGACUAUUUUGUAGUAGCUUAGCUCUCUCACUUCAGAUAUGGAUUUCUAGUCCACCCUCUGGCUAUUUUUAGCACCAAGAGCCAAUGACAUACAUGACUCAUAAGCACAGUAAUGAAAAAAAGAACAACAACACCGGGCAAACUCAUAUACAGGAGUAACACAACUCAAAAGAGCAGUACAUUAACCCAGAAUAGAUAAUAGAUUACUUAAUGAGCAUCCAUAAACUGAAGAGUUCUACACUGACUCAGUGCCUAAUGUUAGAAGACUCGGAAGCAUGUGUCAUGCUCAGAGUUCUUCGCAAAAAAGAUGCCGCGAGAUAUAAAUUAACUACUGUCAACAGAUUCACGGAUUAUGGGCUAUCUGUGACUUGGAGCAAAAGAAAUAAAUACAGAGCUGAACGGUUCAUUGGUUUUUACUUUGGGGAGAUUCCAAGAGUGAUCACCACCCUCCGGAGCCACUUCCACUUCCCCAAGCACUUGAUGACGGCUUGCUCCAUGCAUCAGCGGGCUUUGCUUCCUCACUAGCUCCAACAUUUCCACCAUCUCCAUUACCCCAGGCGCUAGCUGAUGGUUUGGUCCAUGAAUCAGCAGGCUUGGCUUCACUACUAGCUCCACCGCUUGCACCAUCUCCAUUACCCCAGGCACUUGCUGAUGGCUUGCUCCAUGAAUCAGCAGGCUUUGGCUCACCAGUAGCUCCGCCACUUCCACCAUCUCCCUUACCCCACGCACUUGCUGACGGCUUGCUCCAUGAAUCACCAGGCUUUGCUUCACCAGUAGCUCCGCCACUUCGGCCAUCUGCUGCGGCACCCCAAGAGCUUGAUACUGGUUUUGCUCCCAAAAUGCCACUUCCACCAUCUCCAGUACCCCAGGCACUCUUGCUCCAUGAUUCAGUGGGCUUUGCUCCACCACUGCCACUUCCACCAUCUCCACCACUACCCCAAGCACUCUUGCUCCAUGACUCGGUGGGCUUCGCUCCACCACCGAAGCCACCAUAGCUACCACCUCCCUGAGAGCAGUCCCUAGCCAUGUGUCCAGACUCACCACACUUGAAACAGUUCCCGCUUCCAGCGCCUCUACCACUGCCGCCCUGAGGGCACUCCCUAGACAUGUGUCCAGACUCACCACAUUUGUAACAGUUCCCACCUCCAGCCCCUCUACCCCCACCACCACCGCCCUGAGGGCACUCCCUCGACAUGUGACCAGAUUCACCGCACUUAAAACAGUUACCACCUCCAGCCCCUCUACCACCACCGCCCCCCUGAGGACACUCCCUUGACAUAUGUCCAGAUUCACCGCACUUGAAACAGUUACCACCUCCAGCCCCUCUACCACCACCGCCCCCCUGAGGACACUCCCUCGACAUAUGUCCAGAUUCACCGCACUUGAAACAAUUACCACCUCCACCCCCUCUACCACCACCGCUGCCCUGAGGGCACUCCCUAGACAUGUGACCAGAUUCACCACACUUGUAACAAUUCCCCCCUCUACCACCACUGCCACUUCCACCAUCUCCAGAACCCCAGGCACUCUUAGUCCAUGAUUCAGUGGGCUUUGCUCCACCGCUGCCACUUCCACCAUCUCCAGUACCCCAAGCACUCUUACUCCAUGAUUCAGUGGGCUUUGCUCCACCGCUGCCACUUCCACCAUCUCCACUACCCCAAGCACUCUUACUCCAUGAUUCAGUGGGCUUNNNNNNNNNNNNNNNNNNNNNNNNNNNNNNNNNNNNNNNNNNNNNNNNNNNNNNNNNNNNNNNNNNNNNNNNNNNNNNNNNNNNNNNNNNNNNNNNNNNNNNNNNNNNNNNNNNNNNNNNNNNNNNNNNNNNNNNNNNNNNNNNNNNNNNNNNNNNNNNNNNNNNNNNNNNNNNNNNNNNNNNNNNNNNNNNNNNNNNNNNNNNNNNNNNNNNNNNNNNNNNNNNNNNNNNNNNNNNNNNNNNNNNNNNNNNNNNNNNNNNNNNNNNNNNNNNNNNNNNNNNNNNNNNNNNNNNNNNNNNNNNNNNNNNNNNNNNNNNNNNNNNNNNNNNNNNNNNNNNNNNNNNNNNNNNNNNNNNNNNNNNNNNNNNNNNNNNNNNUACCACCACCGCCGCCCUGAGGGCACUCCCUGGACAUGUGUCCUGACUCACCACACUUGAAACAAUUUCCACCUCCACCCCCUCUACCACCACCGCCGCCCUGAGGGCACUCCCUGGACAUGUGUCCCGACUCACCACACUUGAAACAAUUCCCACUUCCACCCCCUCUACCACCGCCGCCACCCUGAGGGCACUCCCUCGACAUGUGGCCAGACUCACCACAUUUGAAACAGUUUCCACCUCCACUCCCUCUACCACCACCGCCUCCCUGAGGGCAGUCCCUGGACAUGUGUCCAGACUCACCACACUUAAAACAAUUCCCACCUCCACUCCCUCUACCACCACCACCAUUGCCACCAUACCCACCAGCAGACCCUUGAUCCCCACCUUUACUCCAAGAACCACCAGCAGGAUUAUUCCAAGUAGAACCUCCAUCUUGUUUAUUCCAGAUAGAACCUCCAUCUUCUACACCACUAGGCUUCUUCCAGCUGUCUUUCUCAUUCUCAUUACCAGAUCCGCCUUGAGCUUUUGCCCAGCCACCUGCAUUACCCCAGCUCCCAGUCUGAUUCUCUACUGAUGGUAUUGAACUUUUCCACCCUACAUCACCAUUACUUGAGCCCUCUUGCUUACCCCAUGAGGAUCCUCCAGUUUGUUUACUCCAAGAACCUCCAGCUGGCUUACUCCAAGCAGAACCUCGAUCACCACUAUCAUCUGCAACAUUUGGUUUCUGACUAUCAUUACCGCCCCAAACAGAACCUUGAUCCUUGUUAUCUGCUGCUGCUGCUACACCCCAGGAUGAACUAGCAGGUUCUGAUGCUUUUUGCCAAGUAUCUGACGAAGUGCUGUCACCUCCAACUUUAGCGCCCCAAGCGUCGCUUUUUCCACAACCAGUACCUUCAUCCUUGUUAUCUACUGCUGCUGCAACCCCCCAGGAUGAACUGGCGGGUUCUGAUGCUUUUUGCCAAGUAUCCGACAGAUUGCUGUCACCUCCAACUUUCGCACCCCAAGAUUCGCUUUUUCCCCAUCCAGUACCUUGAUCCUUGUUUUCUGCUGCUGCAACACCCCAGGUUGAGUUGUUAUUUGGAGCCAUGUUCCUCUCCCAAGAAUUAUCCUCUACAUCCACAGGUUAUGACAGAAAAUAAAUGAACAUCUUCACACAAGGGUUAACUUUCUUAUUAAAGGCAUUGCCUUUUUGAAACUUGGAGAACUGAAAGUACCUUUAUUAGCACCAUUUCCAUCAGAAUCAAAAGGAUUCGCAGAGCUGGACUCAGGCUGAAGCUGGAAGCAUCAAAAGACUUGCUGAUUAGGUUACAAAUCAAAUACAUACACAUAGAGAUGAUUUCUUUUGUUGUGGGGAGAGGGAGAGGUGGAGGAGGAGAGUGAGAGAGAGAGAGAGGAUGAAAAUACUGUGCGGGAUCAAGACCUACCGAAUUGCCCGAGGCAGAGAAACUAGGCCAAGCAUUCCUGCAAAAAAGUGGCAAUUAAAUAAUUUUGAAUUUGAAGUAAUCAAAACUAAGUGCACAGCAGUAGAUCUGGAUAUUUAUCACUACACUGAGUAGAAUAUGGUCACGAUCAAAAUUGAAGCACCUUUCAAGAUCUUUCAAGAUGUAGUAAUCUGUCUAUUUAUCACUAACUGAGUAGAGUAUGGUCAUGAUCAAGAUUGAAGCACCUUUCAAGAUCUUUUAAGAUGUAGUAAUCUUAAAGCACUGACCCACAAAUGAGAUAUUCAACAUACAUGUAGACUAAGGUCGACCUUGAAACAUCAAAACACUCACACUCACACACCAAAAGAAAAAGAAUAAGAAAAACAUUGAAGUGCUUUAUCAUCUGAAUAAGCAGUUGCUGCGUCAUUUGUCAAGAUUAGUUUUGCAUAUAAUAAAGUCUAGUGUUCCAAUAACGUGUAUUCUGUUGAAAUCUUAAUAUUUUAUCACGCAACACUACUUUAUACCAUUUAGUUACUUAACUUAUGGUGUAGACAUUCGCACACAAAAGCAUUAUGCCCGACUUCUGUUAACAAUUCUAAGGAAAUAUUGAGAUCCUGGAGUAAAGCUAUACAUCAACAUUCCAUAUUUAAAUCCCAACCAAUCAAAUAUAAGGCACUCAAUGAUUAAUGUUGUGCAUAAUGAGAGUGCAUUAAAGGUAUAAAAAAAUAUAGGGUGCAUUAGUUGACAGGCCCAAAAUGUUACCUUUCACCAGAUGACCCUCCAGCAUUCCACGCAUCACCCCCGGCUGAUGUCCCAGCUCCAUCGGUCCAAUCUGCAAGAACAACAAGCACAUCAAUUCUCAGAAACAUAUUUCUUGAAAAUCAAAAACAAAAUUGGAUGUGAAAAGGACUAGGAGACAAAGAGGUAAUCUAGAAUGCAAUGGUUAAAGUGCCAAGAGUUUCAUACCUGUAGAGCCUCCUUCAGUUCCAAGCAAAUCGAAUGGUUUAAGAGAGCUGGACUCCGGAUCCUCACUAACAGGGAGAAAGAUUACAUCAGUAAACUAAUUGAAAAGACGGUAGGUAACCAACAUCUUUAUACAAAUGAUUCAUUGCAUGUAAGAAGUACCUAAGCAUGGCAGAGCUCUUUGCACGAACCUCUGUAAGAUGCUCAGCUUUAACUGCAGAAUGUUGACAAAAAAUGAUAACAGCAAUAGAAUCACAUUCAUCGGAUCAAUAAAGCAAAUUACACAUGGCAUUUAAUCGAGAUCGACAAACCUGUAAGAACCCUUUGCUGAGAAUCAAGCUUAACAGUGAUAUCAGCACGGCGUAUGGCCAAGACACGACAGAGGUAUCCCUUCAAUGGACCAACACGAAUUCUUAAAGUUUGACCAAUUGAGAACAUUCCGUCAGUAUUGCCCUGAUUGACUGCAGUCAAAAAACUUAUCAGCUUGACUCAUAUAGAUAUCACAGUAGAGAACUUACAAUAACACAUUAAGACUCAUACGUACAGUUAUUCUCCUUUAGCCACGGCUUUUUUGGUGAUAGAGGGGACUUGGGUGAUAAUGUGAAAUCAUCAAAGUCCAUAGCACCCGAAUCCCCAUCCUGAAUCAGGAAAGAAUAUCAUCAUUAAUAUACUCAUUCUAAAAUAUAAUGUACAAAUAUACAUAAAAUACUAUUUCCUAAAUAAAUUAAAAAGUGCAGCCAACCUUUUCUGGGCUGACGUCAAUGGAAAGCUUGAUUUUCUCACACAUGUGAGAUUUUGAGCAGAAAUAACCACCAUUUUCUGUCUCGUUCUCAUCAAACAUGAAUAUCGUGCCUCUGUAGACUUGCUUCACUAUUCCUUGCCUAUCCUGAAAUGUGAGAUACCUGUUUUUUAGUUUCCGCUGCCUUUAGAAGCACACGUUUCUCAAUAGAACUUUUCUAAUAUAUAUGAUAAAUGAUCUCAAAUUAGUGCCAAACCUUUAAUGGUCCUUCCAAAACUUGAACUGUAUCAUUGACACCAAUGGGCUUCUGGCGCUGAUCAUAAGCUGUAAAUUUUACAUCAGAGAGUACAUUCUUUAUCUCCUUCUGUGGAAUUGUCACAACGGCAGAUCCUUCCGAACCCUCUUUCAGAAUCUAGUGAACAUAAAAGUGAGUCAGAAUAUUAAGUACCUAAGCUCAUUGAUUAGAUUAUGUAUUCUGAGCACAUUAACUAUAUUAUGUACCUUGUAAGUAUCAUCUUUCUCAAUGCCUAGCACAAGACCAAAAUCUUUCUUGCUGCAAUAGAAAAUAUAUUAAGUAAAUAUCAUUUCAAUAUUAAGCAGUUCAUUGAGAAAAGAUCAGAGCCACAGCAGCUUGUAAGGACUCACCCAAAACAGACAAGAUCAUACAUCCCAUAGAGAUUCUCACCACACCCGGAAGAACUUUCUCCUUUCCCAGUACACCCUGAGGAGCCUUCUUUUUCUCCUUUCCCAGUACACCCUGAGGAGCCUUUUUUCCCACCUGAAGGACCUUCUCCUUUCCCAUUACCCUUUGAUGAACCUUCUCCUUUCCCAUUACCCUUUGAUGAACCCUCUCCUUUGCCAUCCCCUAUAUCAAUGUCGACGCUCUUCCUUUUCUUAUUUUCACCAUAGAGCUGUGAAAGCCACUCCAGAUCAGUAGAUUCAUUGUUCUCGGAGGGCCUGAAUUUCAGUAUCUCCUCAUCUGAUGGAACGACUCCCCGACAAAUUAAGGAAUCUAACGGCACUUUUUUGUAUAAAUAUCCAUCCUUAAGGAGCAAACCAUCAAAACAGAGAAAAUGCAAUCCGGUAUCCUUAUCCUUCCUGUGCUGAAUGAGAGGGCGGAACUCCCUACAAGUGAAAUAAAUUAGUGAACCAGAAGCUGGCAUCAAAUAAUAAGCUACCAGAUAAAUUUUGUGGCAUACUCAAGUUCGCUUGUGCUGAUCAAUCUCGGUGCUGGAGUAGGCAGUUUCUUUCUAGAAACACCCCCACCCUAUAAGAUAAAAAGGAAUCAAAAUUAUCUAGUUGCAAAGUUGCAGGUCCACAGAAAAAUGACAGAUCCAAUCAAAUAGCAGUAAAGGAAACUAAAUUGCUGGUUAACUAUAAAUUGUAUAACAUGCACCUUCUUAAAUAUAAGGUUAUAAAUUUGCAUUAAUAAUCUAAAAUAAUUUACUGUUAACUAUAAAUGGUAGAAUGUGUGCUAUCUUAAAUAUAAGGUUCAAAACGUACAUUAAUAAUCUAAACCUACUACCAUAGCACUUGCAUCGGUUGACUUUUGUAUUUAUACCAUUGAGGAUAUGACCAAAGAACAACACCAUUCUUAAUCCACAUCAAACUUGCUUUACGUAGCGAAAUACUGAGAGCUUUUCUACCAAGAUGUACUUAUAAGUAACGUGCAAACACGAUUUUCAAGAGAUUAUCAAAACGAUGAUCAUAACCUUUCAGAGAAAAAAAAAUAACUUUUUAAAAGACAUUAUUGCUAGAAAUUGUAAGAGAGAAGACACAACAAAACCCUUUAAAAAAAAAAAAAAACCUAAAAGCGAGACAAGAAGCAAAAGGCCAGUAACAUGAAGAAGUCAAAUGACUCAAAUCUUAGACAGACCAGGGUACUGCAGAAAUCUGUGUAGGAGCAUCUACAGAAAUCUCCCACUUGGGGACGAAUGGCAUAAAAUUACAAAUAAAGAUGCCUUCAUUAGAAAAGUUUAAAAAACGAAAGAGUUGUUGGAAUCAGCUUUUAGAAGAACUACGAAAACUGAAAGCAUAGCAAUCAUGUCAUGGUAUGACAUGUACAUAACAGCUUUUACAAAAUAAAACUCUACCAAUUCUUCAAGGGGGAAAGAAGCAUUUAUUAUCCAGUGAAAAAUCAACAGCAUGAAACAAGGAUAAUGCAAAUUUGCAUCGAGGACUGAAAUAACCCAUCUAAGGUACAACUGUCAAAGAUGGUUCAACCAAAAUAUAUAUGAAAUGCACCGGUGCUAACAUAUUUCCUAAUGACAUAAAAUUUAUUUCCCCACAUUGCUCCAUGAUAGUUAGCAAUUACCAAUUAAAAGCGAAACUUUAGUUUGGCAAAAAUAACAAUAAAAAAAUCACAAAACAAAAACUAGACAAGCAAGCAAUUCCCUUACAAAUUUCAUAGCCAUUGCUUGUAGAUCAAUUCUGGGUAUCAGCUUUACUGUUGCUUUUUUCUUUUCGUUCACAGCCACAACCUACAGAAACCAAACUCAGAUACAUAUCUAUUGGUCAAGGAACACCUGCCCAAAUUAGGAUAUUGGCCAACUUAGGAUAUAUAAUACCUGUCCCAAGUCACCUUUGUAGUUCCCACUCUUCACACGGGCCCAUGUACCGACAGCAAUUUCACUGUUUUUAGUCCGAGGAGCCAACAAAUUAGGAGCUUCACUUUUGGGAACUGGCGUUACUCGGGAUAGAAAUAUAUUACAAAGUCCUUUACAUGCCUACGAAAAACAACGUUAUUAGUUAUUAGGAAUAGUGUUGCACCAAAAGAGCAACUUUACUAGUACCAAUUAACAACGAGCAACUUGUACAGCAUUGGAAGCAUAGAUUACCUCCUGAACGUCACAUAGCUUAUCAGCUUCAAUGAAGAUAAAACCCUUGAUGUGAUCAACAGCAAAUGCAGAUAUAAUCUGCAGCUUGGUACCCAUUGAUGCUAAGUCAACAAACUUCUGCAUCAUACAGAAAGCUGAGUGUCUCUCGCGUCCAACCUACAGCCAAAAAGUUGAGUGAGAAUAGAUUGUGGUUUAUUCUAUAGGCAAAGAAGAGAUCAAUGAUUUUAGAAGAACAUUCAAUAUUAUACAGCACUAAAAAGUAAGAAAGCAUCUGAUGCUUACCGCACACUUUACUUUCCAGACAACAGGAUCUUUAGCAGAAGGCUCAAGCACAAUUCCAUCAAUCGAUCUUUUGUUUUCAUAAUUAUCUUCAGCAUAGGUAACAUAUGUAGAACCAGUCCUGUAUCGUUCUUCCAUCAUUCUUUCAAAUUCUUCCCCAUCCACUUCCUCCUCUUUAGGAAUGAAUGGAAGGUUACGGGCUUUCCCAGGUUCACUCUGGACAAUAGGUUCUGCUUCAAGUUCUUCUUCCAUAAAAUCUGUACCCAGUAAUUUAUUAAAAAUAAAAAAUAAAAAAAAUAAAAACCUAUGUGAAUAAAGAUUUCGUAGAUGAAAUAAAACAUCUUCUAUAAUGAUACUUUUGCACAUCAUGUUUUUAAAGAUUGUGUUGGUAAGAAGGAUUCUUAUCAACACCAAGCAAGCUUCAUUUGAUAAAGUGUGUGCUAACAUAUAGAACAGCUGGCAAGAACUAUUAUAACACUUUACUGGAAUAUACAUAACCAUAAACGCAAUCAUCCUUCAUAAUGCAUAUGCAAACCAAGCACCCAGGCAUGAACUAUUGUGUCGUAUCUUCAUAUGCAACAAACUUCCACGCAGCUAGUAAAUCCCACACAAAAAUGUUCACACAAAUUUAAGACCAGAGUUUCACUAAUCUACCAUAAAGGUACCGACUUUUUUCCAUGGAAUCAACGACCACAGCCAACAAUCAUAUAUCACACAGGAACCACUGCAUGCAACAGCAGUAGUGUACCGCAUUUGGCACCACAUGCAACUUCAGUAGCUCAUACAGACCCCCAAGAAACCACAAAACUCAACCAUUUACAGAGAAACCCAAUCAAUCCUAUCACUAAAUCCACAUAUACCAAAAGAAAGGUACACCAGAAAUGAGGUAAACACUCGAAAUGCCUCAAAAUGGGCCUGGAUUGAGCCAAAAAAGCCAUAAAAGCUUCAACAAUCACAGCGAGUCUCCUCAAAAUCCAUAUCAACCACUCCAGUAAACUCAAACAAAGACUCGAAACCGUCAUUUUAACCAUCUCUACUUAAAAAGGCUCCAGAUUUAAAUACACAAACCCUAUUUGUAUAAAAAGAAAAAAGAAUGGAGCUUUAGGUAACCAAACAAACCCAGCAUUUCAAACUUUAAGAGUGAGAAGAAACCGAAAAACCCCAAAAUAGAAGAAAAAAUUAACCAAAUAUCUCAGUGAAAAAGCUAGUCACGUUUACAAAGCAAGCACAAAACGAAAUCCAUUUCCAAAACCCUAGAAUUCCGAAACACCCAGUCAAAAACGACGUCGGAAAGAGAGAGAGAGAGGGGAAUAUACCGUCCAUGUCGCUGUCGUCGGAGCCGUCAGCUUCGGCGGCGGAGUGCUCGAAGAACUGGAGAACGCCGGGGUUCAUCCGCUUCCGGCUCCCACCGCCGGACUUGUCGUCGCCGGGCUUGCGCUUGCCGGCGGCGGACGAUCCGCUCCCGGCGAUCGCCUUCCCCUUAUCCUUCGAGGCCAUCACACACACAAUGCUAGGGUUUUCUCAGAGCAACAACGCCUCAAAUUGCAUGUAGAGAGAGAAAGCGAAACGUUUCGGAGCUCUCUUCUCUCUCUCUCUCUUCUCUCUCUGGUACUGAAUGAUACUGACGAAGGUCCGCAGGCUAAAAUGUAUGUUGGUGCCAGUGAGCUCUGUCGAAAUUACCGCUCUGCCCUUCGGUACGGUGUGUGGUUUUACCAUUUGCCCUGGGGUGAGUUGCGUAACUCCAAUACGCUUUUUUCAUCCGUUUGGUUUUUACCUUUUUCGGUUCUUGAAAUUACUGGAUUAUUUUUCUUUUUCUGGUAAGAAGAAGUUACUGUUUUAACCCCGGCCCUGGUAGUAUUGUGUACGGGUAAAUAGUACAUACUGGAAAAAGUAAUUGGGGGAUUUUGUGAGAAUAAUAUAAGUGGUCAUUUACACAAGGUUCUAGAUUUAACCCUUUCAGAGGUUAUUUUGAGUAGUAACAGAUUUAGAAGUAUUGACUGAUUUGUAUUUUUGAUUGUUUUUUCAAGUGAAUGAAAUUAUAUCUAAUUCACGAACAAUGCAAUUGAUUUAAGAGUGGGCGGUGAGUUUUCUGAAGAAAAAAAGAAAAAAACUUUGACAGUGUUUUAGUGAUAUGAAAUUAUGAAUUGAGAUACCAAUGAUUUUAUAAGAAGCUGUGGUUAUAACAACUUUGAAAAGUGCAAAAACCUGAAAACUGUAGUUGUUGUAGAAAAUAAUCAUGAUUGAUAUGGCUCGUAUAAUUGAGCUCGUAAAGAGUCUUUUUUUCGGAUAACAACGCGGGAAAAACCCAGUUAGACCCAACAACACCAUGGGUUAUCAAUUAGCCUAAUUAACCAAUAAACCACGACUCACCGAUUCAUUAUGUCUAUUCUUAACUGAGGUCGAUGAAGAGACCAUUAAUCAUCAAGGUUUCCCUCACUUUGCUGCCGAAAACAUAUUUUGUGAUAUUAUAUUUCAUCAUGCUACUCGUAUGUUGCGUCCGUUUGCCUCUCUAAACACACCGAGACUGAGUGUAUAGAGUGUAGAUCAUAAAUAAUUCAUUAUGACAAACUAAAUAAUUCGCACAAACAUGUCUCUUGAUGGCAAUACACAUCUGAAUUUUAGACAAAUGCUCCACAAAUGUAAAAUGAUCACACUUUGUUGUGUUGUUGUUGCGCUUAGGCCAUGGUGAAGCAACCAAGAGAGAUGUAAUGUAAAUCAUGUAUUACCAAUUCAGCUACCCAGAUUUUCAAAGGUCUCAAACAUAUGUAUGAGAAUAGUAAACCCAUAAAAUUGAAAUAAAAUUAAUCAAUGUAUAUAAUAAGGCAUAGAUUUACCAAAAAAUUAUAUUUCAUUUACUCAAAACAAACUCGCAAAUUACAUGAACAUCAAGUUCAUAAACCCAAUUCUAAUGAAACUCAGAUCUAACCAUAGACCCACUAGAAUAACUACUAAACUUAAAACCCAAUAUUAACAAAAAUAAGAGUUCCUAGAUCAACCCACGAAACCGUGAAAGGUCCUUCCCUGCCUCUUAAGAGCAUAGACAACAUCCAUGGCGGUGACGGUCUUCAUCCGAACGUGCUGAGUGUAAGUUACGACGUCACGCCGUCGAGGAUGACAAUGACGUUCUCGAGGAAGAUCUUGAGGAGGUGAGAGUGGAGGUGGAGGUGCAAAUCUAAAACUAUCUUGCAGGUGGAGGUGGAGCUGAUGAGGAAGGGGUUCUGUCACUCUUGUUGAGAGCUUCUCUUGAGGACUAACUUCUGGUUGCAGAUAUUUCUCAUUUAGAAAGGUCUUGACGAAAUUCCAAAAAAAAAAAUCUCAACGAGAAAUUGGAGAAUAAAAGAGAUAGAUGAUAUGAGAAAUUUUUCAGUGCUCCUGAAAGACCACGUGGCAGUCUGACGUGGUCCUUCAUUCCAUUUAAAUUUAGUAAACUACAUACUAAUUAAUAACCAAAUUUCAGGUUACAAAUACAUCUUUUACACAUUAUCUUACACAUCUAAGGACAAAUAUUAACAAAUUAGGACAAAUUAAUAUCCACAUACUAUCUGUUAUUAUAUAUUUUACCAGAAUACUCUUCACUACAUAUUUGACCGCUAAUCUGCUACUGUCAACCAGAUAUGUGCUGCUGCCUGGAAUGAAUAUGCUACUGCAGAGUACGAAUAUGCUACUGCCAGUACUAUUGCAAUUAUUUUCCAGCAAUUCUCCGAAACCAAACAGAGAUGCUACUGUCGCGAUUGGAAACCUUCUGCUACUGACGACUGAAUAUUUACUGCUACUAUCGAAUGUACAGUAGCAUGGCUCAUACUCUUCCAGAUCUAGGGUCUUGAAUAACGUCGUAACAGUAGCAAACAUGUAACAGCCUUAAGGUUUCGACAAAUGACGAGAUAGUAGCAGGAAGUGGCCAACGUAAAUCUUGAACGGAUCAUGCCGCAGACCUCUUGGUAGUCGUCAAUGACAGAACCCCACCGAUCAUAUCUACUAAAAGCCUCUGCAGAAAAGCCUCUGCAGCCACGGUUUCUUACUCUCGAUAUCCGGCAAGACGCUAUCGAGGACCUCGAACUACUUGUGCGGUAGAUCAAGCUUGGGCCAUCAUCAAUCUGAGGGCGCAAGGUCCCUCCCUAGGUGAGCAGAGAGAUUAAGAUGGCUUGAUUGGGUCCUAAUCGGAGAUUCCGACGAUUAAAGAUGUUCGGGUCGACCCGAAUUCGAUUGUGGACGACGGGGCUGUGAUGUUGUUGACUGGGUAGGAGGCUAACAAGGCUCCGACGCGGCUCGAGUCUGGAAUUGCGGGUUAAAGCAUAUUGGCCUUUUGUGUCUGUACCUGAAUCUGCAGAGAGAGAGAGAAGAAGAAGAAGAAUAAGAGAAAAACCUGAUAUGAAUGUGUGGGGAGAGAGAUAGAAUAAAGAUUUGAUGGCAUUUGUGUAAUUCUGUGGGAAAAUUGAUCAUUUUGGUCAUUUCAUAGUUAAAAUUCGGGUCAGGCCUGUGACCAUUGAUUUUGGGCCUCAGUUUGUGUCCUAAUUUGUUUAAAAGUAGGUUUUUUGUGUUUUAAAAUUUGUUCAUGUAUUACUUUGUAAUUUUCUCUUUAAAUUUUGACAUGUGAAUUUUCAUGAUGAAAAACAAUUUUAGCGAUUUUGUCAAAGACCAUUUUGGGUUUUUUGUUGAUUUUUAAAAUCCUAACCCCUAAACUCUAUACCCUAAACCUAUACCCUAACCAUAUAUCCUAUACCCUAAACCCUAUAUCCUAAACUCUAGGCCAAACUCAAAAAACAAAACUAAAAGACAUCCUAGCCAUUCAUUAAGAAUUGAUGGCUGAGAUUGCUUUAUGAGGUAAUAUUAACAUAAAAAUAUUAAGAGAGGAUCCGAGUCGGUCUUUUCUUAAUUGAGGUCGAUAAAGAGACCAUUAACCAAGGUUUCCCACACUUUGUUGCCGUAACAUAUUUGGUGAUACUAUAUUUCAUCAUGUUACUCGUAUGUUGCGUCCAUUUGAUCAUACAAAUAGAACACUACCUCUAUGUUAACACUAGACACAAUGUGCAAAGCGUAAACCGAGACAAACAUGCUUGACGCAAUGAUUAUACAAAUAUAAAAUGCACUAUCUCGUGUUUGUGUUUUAUCUGUUAUUCUGUUAAUUCAGUCAUGCUAAUUGUAGUAAGUUUAUUUUCAGCCGUCUGAUUCACAUGUCUCUAAUCAACAUAUAAUUUACAGAGUUUAGACUUUGGUGGAUGACCAAGAGACCAAGAGACCAAGAGACCAAGAGUUAAAGAUGGGUUCCGAUUAGGUUAAAUCAGAGCCGUCACGUGCUAACCACGUGUCACUAUAAACCCAGCAAUUAUAUACCCGGCCGGAUACGAAAACCAACCGCUCACUCCAAUUGGAUUUCACAGUGCCUUCCCUCCAAACUCGCCGAAGCACCCCAAAAACGACGCCGCAUUCAUCCUUCUCCGAUAACGAAACACCCUAGCUCGGCCACACCUUUCCGAGAACCAAGGGGCAGAACCGGUCAUACAAUAAGAGAACCAGAGGAGGCAAAAUCACCAAGGUCUGAAUCUCACCCCCCUAUUUCCCUCCCAAAACCAUAAACCUCUUUCCGCUCUGGUUUUCAAAAUUAGGGUUUUCAGUCUAAUCAGGGUUUCUGUUCUGGUUUUCUCAGGUCGUCAGAGAGCACUAUCUCCCCGACGAUAUCUACUGCGGAGCUCCGGUAUGCCAAAAGUGCAACAACACCAAUGCUCGCCUGAGCGCCGCCGCUUCCACCGUCCUCGUCCUCGUCCUCGUCCUCGACACCAAUGUGGUGCUCAACCAGGUUCGAAUCUCAUUUCUAUGGUUUUUGUUGAGUUUGCACUAUCGAAUUUGAAUUAGGAAGUGAUUUUGAGCUUGAGACUGGUUUUGCAGAUUGAUUUGAUUGAGAAUGCAGCCAUUAACGACGUGGUGGUGCUUUCGAUUGUGCUCGAGGAGGACAAGAACAGGAACUUGUCCGUUUACAAUAGACUUAGAGCUAUCUGUAGCAAUUCCUUGCGGAACUUCUAUGUUUUCUCUAAUGAGCAUCACAAGUAGGUUUCGGUUUCUCUUUUUUGCUUUAGAGUUUUCGUUUUGCGAAUUUGACUCUUGUUUUGAUAUUUAACCCCAGAGUUAAAUAUUAAUUGGGCUGGGAUUCAGUGGAGAGGCGAUUGCGUCUCUCUGGGGUUUUGGAGACCCCUAUUUGCUGCGGAUUAGGAAGGGCGAAUGGAUUAACAUGCUCAAUUUUGUUUUUGCUUCCACGUUCUUGAGUAUGAGCAGUAUAAGGUCAGAAUUUUGGGAUUUUGUUUUCUGUUUUGAUUUUAGAUUACAUGCAUGUAUAUGAUUUCUGUAAAGCACAAGAACCCUAGAUGCAUGCCCGGAAUGCAACAUAGGUUAGUGUACUCCUGUGGUGUCCAGAUGAAACUUACCUUCAGUUGCAUGAUUUUGUGUUUUGGAUUGGAACGAUGCUUGUCUAAAAUUGAAUGAAGUUUCUAUGUGUUUGCAAUUGAUAUAAAGAUGUUGUAUGAUUCAUGCUUAUCCUCUGCACCUUAGAUUUUGAUUAAGAUAUACAUAUAUAUAUAUAGAGGUUUGAUUGCUUUGAUUGAUUAAGAUCGUGUGUUUUGAGAAUUGAGUUUUGAUCUUCAUAUUAGUUGUUUGCUGGGCUUAAGUUUAUCUCCCUGUUCAGUAUUGUGAAAUCCUUGUGAACACACUACAACAAAACUCAAAACACAAAACACUCUAAAUAUAGUCUUGAUCCAGUUUAAUUAUAAUCUUUUAACAAAUUGUAUUGUCAAUAGCAAUCUUUUUGAAAGGAAUUAAUGUUAAACAGAAGUAAUGGAUCAACAACUUGUAAUAUUGAAUCUAAUUGUCUGUGUCUUUGCUCCCUUAAGGAGGUUUAAACAUUCACAUCUCUUAGGUUCAGUAUUAGCAUAUAACAGAAAAUUAAAAUGCAUUCAGGGGUUGUUAGAGGUUGUUCUUCUUGCCACUCUAGGUGUUGACAUAAUCUAAUAAACCUAUAGUUGUUUUAAUAUUCUGGUUAUAUGAUUCAGCUUGUGUCGAUAUGUCCUUUUGCCACUCUAGGUAAGGCAGACACCUUAUGUUUUGGGGCACUUCAGUUUAAUGCCGUAUAUUUAUAAAGUUUUACUAAAUCUAGAACCUCUUUAUGUUUUACUACAGCCAUGAACCUCCCCUUAGGACUUCUUCAAAUAUAAAGCUUACAUGGGUCGAACUUUAAGCAAUGGAAGCAAGACAUAGAGCUGCAUCUAGGAAUGAUAGACUUUGACCAUGUCCUUAAUUAAGGAGGAUCCACUAGCAGAACCAACAACUACUACCGGCAAGGAUGUGAAAGAUAGGUACCAUCAGUGGCAUAAACACAACAGACUGACCUUAGCUAUUCUGAAGAAAUAUACGACAACUUCUGUGAGAGGUAGUAUACCUGAGUCUGAGUAUGCUAAGCAAUAUUUCAAAAAUAUAGAAGAAAGGUACAUAGUAUCAGAGAAGGCAGAGAUUGGAAACUUGAUGAAUACCCUCAUUACCAUGAAGUUUGAUGGAGUUGGAAGCGUUAGGGAAUUUAUAAUGAAGGGGAUUGAUAUCGCUGGAAAACUCAACGCCCUAAAUGUCAGUAUUGAAGAUACUUUUCUGGUGCAUUUGCUUUUGAAUUCUCUACCUCAGCAAUAUAGUCAGAUGCAGUCAAACUACAAUACACAGAAGGAGAGUUGGUCUGUGAAUGAACUGAUUUCAAUAUGUGUCCUAGAGGAGUAUAGAAUAAAGAAGGGAUAGAGCAUUGGAGUGAAUCUUGUCAGCAAGCCUCAAUUUAAGAAGAAAUUCGGCUAUAGGUCAAAUCAAUCUGGUGCUUCAUCUUCCAAAGUUUCUCAGGGAAAUUCUCAGGGAUUUAACAACUAUAAGAAUUUUAAGAGUGUGGGUCUGUAGAGUGUUUCUUCUGCCGAAAGCCUGGUCAUGUCAAAAAGGACUGUAAGGGUUUUAAAGACUGGCUGGUUAAGAAAGGGAUAUCUAAGAAAGAGGAUCCCAAAUAAGGACGAAGCUAGGAUUAGCUCAGGGAAUGGCAAACAGAGUAACUGUCAAAGCAAUUGGAGUAGUUAGGCUUGUUUUCCUAGUGGCUUUACUUUAGAUCUGGACAAUGUGUACUGCAUACCUUCUAUGCAGAGAAAUUUAGUUUCAGGAUCUCUUUUUGUCAAAACUCAUGGUUAUUCUUUUGUUGGAAGUAAUAAAAGUCUCAAUUUUUUCCCUUUUUCUGAUUUUAUUAGUAAUACAUCUCUGGUUGAUGGUUAUUGGCAUUUAAACCAUAGAAAUUCACUUGCGGUAUUUUUGACAGAAAAGACUAUAGGACAUAAGAGACCUAGACAUAAUGAGAAUUCAACUUUUCUUUGGCAUAAAAGGCUGGGACAUAUCUCAAAAGAGGUUAAAAAUACUUGUGAGAGAGGACAUUCUACCUUCUUUAGAUUUUACUGAUUUUAACGUCUGCAUUGAGUGUCUUAAAGGUAGAAUGACCAAGUCUAGGAAAACGGGGUCUGUUAGGAGCUGAGAACUAUUAGGAUUAAUUCACAAUGACAUCUCUGGUCCUUUUCCUCAUCUGACUCUUUGUAAAAAUCAGUAUUUUAUUACCUUUAUUGAUGAUUUUUCAAGGUUCUGCCUGUAUUUCUUAUUUCUGAAAAGUCACAGGCUUUAGACGUCUUUAAAAGAGAAACAAUUAAUUAAAGUCAUUAAAGUUGUUAGAUCAGAUAGGGGAGGUGAGUAUUAUGGUAGGCAUACAGAUGCUGGACAGAAUAUGAGACCUUUUGCUCUUUAUCUUCAAGAAUGUGGUAUUUAGGCUCAAUAUACCACUCCAGGGACACCAGAACAGAACAGAGUUGCAAGAGAAGGAACAGAACGUUGAUCAACAUGGUUAGAAGUAUGAUUAGUAAGUCGGGAUUUCCAAGAUUUUUGUGGGGGGAAGCAUUGCAGAUUGCGAACUAUAUCUGCAAUAGGACCCCUAGUAAUUCAGUCAACAAUAAUACACCUUUUGAGUUAUGGUUCGGCAGAAAACCUAGUUUAAAUCACUUUCAUGUGUGGGGACGUAAGGCAGAGGCAAGGGUUUAUAAUCCCAAGGCAGGAAAGCUUGAUCGUAGAACCUCGAGUGUUUUCUUUGUAGGAUACUUAACCAAAUCUAAGGGGUUUAGAUUCUACAGCCCACAUCACCAUAUUAGAAUUCUAGAGACCAAUAGAGCUACAUUUUUAGGAGAGAUGAAUGAUGCUGACAAUGUUGUUAUGGAUGAACUAGAUAUGGAAGCCGGCAGAAAUAGUGUGAGUGACAUCGAUGAAUGGUUUGGGUAUAAUGAAGUAGAAAAUAAUGUGUCUGGUGACUUGAAUGAAGAAAAGGUAUGUAGAUUAAGAAAGUCAAUCUAUAGUUUAAAAACAGGCUUCGAGUCAAUGGUAUAUUAAGUUUGAUUCUGUGAUUACUUCAUUUGGCUUUGCUGAAAAUAGACUAGAUGAGUGUAUAUAUAUGAAGGUCAGUGGGAGUAAAUUCAUAUUUCUAGUGUUGUAUGUCGAUGACAAUCUAUUGGCCAGCAGUGAUUUAGGAUUGUUGAAAGAGACUUAGAACUUUCUGAUGAAGCACUUUGAUAUGAAGGAAAUGUUCACUGUUAGACGAGAGAAAAGAAAGGAAAAGAAGAAUGAAAAUAACGAAGCGAAGAGUUUUCGGAAGAAGACUGCUGGUAAAAAGGUUCUCAGUAUUUGCAUAAGACGAAGGAUUAUAUGCUGGUUUAUAGGAAUCUUGAUACUGAAUUAGAAGUAGUUGGAUACAGUGAUUCAGAUUAUAAGGGUUGUGUGGAUGAUCUUAAGUCAACCUCAGGGUAUAUUUUUAUGCUGGCUGGAGGGGCAAUAUCUUGGAAGAGUGUGAAACAGUCUCUAACUUCUACUUCCACUAUGCAAGCUGAAUAUGUUGCUGUCCAUACAGGGCAAGCACUUUAGCUCAGAAACUUUGUUGUACAGAUUGGAAUAGUAGAUUCUAUUGAGAAACCAAUUAAGUUAUAUUGUGAUAAUGCAGCUGCGGUAUUCUUUGCUAAGAAUAAUAAAAGGUCCACAGCUUCCAGUAAUAUUGUCGUCGAUUACUAUGCCGUAAGGGAAAGCGUAAGAGAUGAUGAGAUUGAUGUUAUUAAGAUCAGUACUCAAGAUCAGUUGGCAGAUCCACUUACAAAACCCUUAGGAGUUGGUACUUUCCAGAAUCAUGUUACAAAUAUGGGGAUCUUACCAAGUUUUGAUGUCUUAGGUUAGUGGGAGAGUUCAAUCUGCAUUGCUGUAGACUUAAUAUCUUUAAGGUUUCUGAUUUUAGUAUUUUAAUUAUUCAAAUAUCUGACUAAAGGAGUAUUAUUGAAUCAGUUUUCUGCAUAUUUUUUUUUCAUCUUGCUCAAGUAAAAGUUGUUAUUUCAGUUCAUUAGCAUUAUAUACUUUAAUACUUGUAUGUAUCUUCAGUAUUUGAAGUUGCAGAUUCCUUAAGUUGGAGAAUCUAUUAUUUGGAUCAUUUUACUUGCAUUAUGUUCUGCAAGUUAAAAUUUCAAAUGCCUAAAGUUUACUCCUGUUCUGUAAGAUAUUGGAUUUUAGUCACAUGCUUGGUUAAAUGUUAGAUUUCCUGUGGUUCAAUAUAAUGGAUUACAGAAUGACCGAGUUUUGGGAUGAAUUUGAUGGUGCUGGAUAUGUCUUUGUGCACACUUCAGUUUUGCUAUAUCUGAUGCAGUAGCUUUUCUUGUUGUUUGAAUAUUGAUAGUUCAAGUGGGAGAUUGAAAGACUUAAUGUGGACUAUCAAUGAUUCACUAAGUAUCAAUAACUAAGCUACAUAAAUUACAGAUGAAGCAAGUAAGACAUUCCUAGUGUUCAUCAGACUCAUGAUUGAUUACAUGUUAAUAUCAGUACUGAUUAGUAAGGUUACUUAGCUAAUGAAGUAUACCUACUUGCAUAUGGAACAGGAAAAGGUUGGCCUUAAUGUAGAAGGAUUGGGAAACCUUUUAUGGGAGGCACCUAAUCCUCAAUGCUCUAACAAUCAAUAUAAGCAUUCAAGUUCUCUGCCCCAUAAGUGAGAUUGCCUUCAGUCAAUUGUUCAGAGGAGAAGAUCAAGCAUGUCUUAUUCAGGUUAGUAUUUCCACUCUUGUAUAUACAUCAUAUGUGUUCUUGUGUUGAGUACAACUUAUAAUUCCGCAUACAUAUUUAGAAGUAAGUCUUAUCGAUUCUCUAUAACAUUACAUAACAUAAAAUAAAUCGUUAGAAAUUUUGUAGUUGGAUUUGUCUCAUUAUGUUAGACAUGAUCUUGCAUGCUAAAAGUUGUCAUACUAAGAAAAAUGAAUAAUUUACGUAUAUCUAUUAUCUUCUAAUUCACAAACAUGCACCCUUUUAUAUAAUUGUCUUAUUCCACACACCACCUGCAAUAUUAGAGGCGGUAUGCUAUAAUGCUAACUUGCUAAAUACAAGUAAAGUACAAUCUUGUAGGCAUAUAUGGAUAAAUAGUUCUUGCACAUUUCUCCAUUUCUUACCAUUGACCUCUGGGCUUGGAGAGGUCAUGUUUGAGACCAGUAGUUUCCACUCCAGCAGAAGUUUUAGCAACCUCUAAUUUCGUUUCAUCAGCCACACUAACCGUUUCUCUAAACUUCUUGUAAAUAUCACCCUUAUAAAACUUCCUUGUCCUCACCACCAAAACCAAAGAAACUAGUGUUCCAACAAAAGUUACCACAGUAAUAAUGAUGAAAGACCAUUUGAAGCACUCUCCCCCAACACAGUUCAACUCCUCUCCAACCUUCCUCUGAAUCCCCAAAGCUGCCAUUUGCUUCUUAGCCUCCACAUCAUACAAAUGCCCCGUAACCCUCACAUUGAGCACAUACAACCCAAUAGGGCUAGCCAAUCCACCAAUAUUGUACAAAGUCGAGUAGUACUUGAGGCCGAAAAGCUCGGAUAUAAUGGUGUAGAUCAAAGGCCAAUGAGCACCAAAACAAAAACCAGUGACCACUGAAGCAACAUAGACACCAUAUGGGAUGUUGAACGCUAUUAGAAGAUGACCAACACACGAGAGCAAGAGAAUUGCUGUGAAAAUUAGAGGGCGAGGCCAUUUGUACUUUGUGAUGAAUAUUUCUGAGCCUAUACCAGCGGCAAUAUGACCUGAAUAGUUCCAUAUGCUUGUUAGGGACACAAAGUUUCUUAUGCUUUUCAGAGGGUACCCAAGAGAUGUACCAAUUUGUCCCAAGUUGUCCAUCAUGGUCAUGGUGCCUCCAAGUCCACAAAUUGUUGCAAAGAGUAAAGUCACCAUCUCGACGCUGAAAACGGCUUGAAGUAUGGUGAAGUCCUCUCCGAUCUCCGGCGGGUUAAAUAUGUCUUUCCGCCAAGAAACUUCUUUUUCAAUGACAACAAAAUGUUCUAAUGGUUCAUCUCGAUGCCCCAAAAUCUCCGGUUUGGCAUGGCUAGAAUCUUUAGUUACUAUUGAUCUCUUGCUCUCCCAAACCUUGUACUCUUCCAUAAUUACCACGGUAAGUGGUAAAAAGAGUAAAAAGAGGACUACAGCUGCACUUCCAACAUACUCACUUGGACUAAACGUGACCCUUUUUUCCACUAUAAUUAUAACCAACAAAAAUGCAGCUAGACCUAGUGACAGAUAGAGGAAGUGAUAAAAAGCCUUGAGCUCGUUCGAGCCACGUCGACUAACCUUCAUGAUCCGAAUAGUUCCGAUGAAGGCGAAGGAAAUAGCUGUCGGAAGCCAGGCCACAACCAAAGUGAAAUACUUGGUAUCGUCACCGUAGACGGCAUGGUACAGCUGUGCCACCACAGCUGCACUUAUACCAGUAUAGCUCUUCAAAAGCCCUAGCACGAUGCCACGGCUCUCCGGGAAGUUCUUCACGCAGGUGACCAGAGCUCCGGUGUUGGUGAAAGUGUGUGAGUUAGCUCCUAUGCCCAUGUACAUGCACAUGUGCCAAACUUGGGGUUUAUGGAUUUUUUGAGCUACUGCUAGCCAAAUCAUGAAGUGCCCGAAGAAGUUGAGGACUGCACCGAUUGAUAAGACCACCCAGGGUGGUGUGACUUCGUUGAUGAGGCCGGAGAGGAUGCCAAUGUUGGCACCUAGGUCUUUGGAGAAGCUGAUGAGGUUGAGGGUGGUUUGGUCGUAGCCGAGGACAGACUUGAUGUCGUUGGAGUAGAGGCCGAACAUGUAGCUGGCACCGGCUGUGACCAUCAUCAGAAAUGAAGCAAACACAAUCAGCCAUCGUCCUUUGAGGACUUGCAGGACAAGGCUCUUCAUGUCCACCCAAGUCUAUACUAGCAGCUCCCAUUUCUUCUAGACAAGCCUUUUUAAUGAAACGUGCAACACCGAGACUAAUUCUCAUCAAAUAAAGCUUAAUUUUGAUGGUUCGGUGAAGCAUACAUAGUGAUUGCCACCUAUUUACAUAUACUGUAGCUCCCACUACACCAUCCCUAGUGCAUGCCAUGAUUGACAGUAAGAACUGGAACAUAUAUAGUACAUUGCUCCCUCUGUUUAUUAUAUAAACUAACUUGCACUAGACACUCAGAAUUAUAACCUAAUAAUUGCUUACUUCAAUUAUUUACCCCGGGAUUUCUACCUUACAUCUUUAACUUCAGAACCACUACUCUCAUAUGCACCUUCCAACUUUUCACUUAACUUUUGUAGUCUAACUGGGUUUCUGGCCACCACAGUUUCAUACUCUACUUCUUUGGCCUCAUCUUUGAACUUUUUAUAAAUGUCACUGUUAUAGAACUUCCUAGUCCUAAGCACCAAAACAAGUGAAAAAAGCACACCAAGCAUUGUCACUCCAGUGAUUAUAAUGAAGGGCAAUCUGUAGCAUUGCCCCCCACUGCAAUUUAACCCCUCCCCAAUCUUCCUCUCCAAUCCCAAAGCUCUCAGUUGCUUCUCUGCUUCCUUAUCAUAGAGAUACCCCGUCACCCUCACAUUGAUUAAAUAUGACCCAAGUGGGCAAGCCAUUACCCCAACAUUGUUCAACGUAGAGCAGUGCUUAAGCCCGAAAAUCUCAGAAGUGACCGAAAAUAUCAGUGGCCACUGUCCACCAAAGCAAAAGCCGAUGAUUAUCGAAGCCGCAUAGAGACCGUUUGGCACAUUGAAUGCAAUCAGAAGGUGACCAAUGCAUGAUAGCAAGAGGGAGAGAGUGAACAUGAGAGGUCUGGGAAAUUUGUACUUUGUGAUGAAGAUUUCUGAGAGCAUACCCACCAUUACUUCCCCUAGGUAAACCCAAAUGCUUGUGAGUGACACAAAUGUGCUUAUACUUCCCAAUGAGUAUCCCAAUGCAGUUCCAAUCUGACCCAAGUUGUCCAUCAUUGUUAACAUGCCGCCUAGGCCGCAUAGUGUUGUCAAGAACAACGCAAACAUUUCGAUGCUGAACACUGCUUGGAGUAUGGUGUAGUCCUCUCCUAUCUGUGGUGGACUAAAUAUAUGAUUCCAAUCCCAACAAGAAACUUUCCUGUCAUCACUAGGUGACACUAAUGAUACUGGGGAUGGAAUUAUACUCAGCUGGUUUUGGCCUGAUGAAUCGAUAUGUUCUGCGGUACUAAUCAGUCGACUGUUCCUCCAAAUAUUUUUCUCUUCGGCUACAACAACAGCGAGUGGGAGAAAGAGCAAGAAAAUUACUACAGCUGCACUCCCACUGUACUCACUUUGUGUGAAGUUGACUUGCUGCUCUACUAUGAUUAUUACCAACAAGAACAUGGCAAGUCCAAGUGAGAUAAAAAAGAAUUUAUGUAACACAUUGCGGUCAUUUUUGUUUGGUAUAACCGUCAUGAUUCUAAUGGUCCGGAGAAAUAUCAGAGAAAGAGUAGAAGGAAGCCAUGCGACGAACAAUGUGAAGGACUUAGUGUCAUCACCAUAGAGAGCAUGGUAUAGCUGCGCGAUUACUGCUGCACUUAGACCAAUGUAGCCAUUCAAAAGGCCUAACAAGAGUCCACGGCUUCUGGGGAAGUUCUUCACGCAGGUGACUAGAGCUCCGGUGUUGAUGAAAGUGUGCGAGUUUGCCCCCAUUGCUAUGUACGUGCACAUGUGCCAAACUUGGGGCUUGGCUAUUUUUUUGGUCACGGCAAGCCAAAUCAUGAAAUAGCCAAAGAAGUUGAAAGCUGCACCGAUCGAUAAGACCACCCAUGGGGGAGUCACCUCGUUGAUCAGCCCCGAAAAUAUGCCAAUGUUGGCCCCUAAGUCCUUGAAGAAGCUGAUGAGAUUGAGGGUCGUUUGGCUGUAACCGAGUGAGGACUUGAUGUCAUUUGAGUAGAGGCCGAACAUGUAGCUUGCACCAGCACUAGCCAUCAUUAGAAAUGAAGCAAACAACAUGAGCCACCUUCCUGUAAGAACUUGGAGGGUGAAAGCCUUCAUUUUUGUCCAACUACCCAUUCCUCUCGCCUAGAAGUACCUCUGUAGCAAAGCUUGCUUUUUAAGAGAAAUUAGAAUCUGUGAAACACAUGGCAUGAGCUUGCAGUAACUACAAGUCAAUAAUAUAUAAUCACUUAUAUUUGUGUAUACAAUUUAUAAUCAGAUAAAGUUUCGUUUUCAAAUUAAAUUGCGAAGGUCCUGAUAUAUAUUACAAAAAUCCAAUACUAACUAGACCAUACAAACAUCCGAAUUCCAGUGACUACAAGUCAAUAUCAACCAAAAUGGCAUGGCCACAUAAUCGUGGUGACUGAGAGACCACACACUAUUGUAGCUGCAUGUUAUUUGAUACCGAUCUUACAAAUUAAUAAAAGAUAAUUAACUUGUCGAAAUUUAUCAAAAUUAGACGUAAAAACUUGGGUCAUUCUCUUUCUAUCGAAACAAAAAAAAUAAAAUGAUCAUACUCAAUCUUAACUAGGCAUCUAAACUACAUACAGAUGUGUAAGGGUCAAGUGACAAGUCUUUUUGCACAUAUUUUUCAGUGUUGAGCUUAUGGUUCUUGAUGUAUGUAGAUUAUGGUUAAAGUGGUUCCAGACACCACAAAAUAGACUAAUUACAUGCAAAUACACUUUUGGAUACGAGAAAAAAGUGGAAGGAAUAUAGAGAGAGUGAAUUUACCCAACUUGUGAAGGCAACUUUCCGGUGGCAGCCGCUGCAAAGAUAUAUGUUCUGCUGCGGAGUAGGUGUCGGCUCCUUCUUCGACGGCAGCGUUGGGGAACGUAGUGGCAGCGGUUGCCUCAGGGCUCAGGCUCUUUGGAUAUUUGGGUUUCAGCUGUUUGAGCGAGUCGAGGUGGUGAUGAUGAUGAUGAAGAAUAAGAAUGAAGAAUGAAGACCAUACGUAGAAUAUAUAUACAAAGAUUAGCUACUCGAGUGCCGCUUUCUCUUUUGUUUUUGUUGUCUUUGCGUCUUGGGAGCAUGCGUGGAAUUUUUUUGAACCCUUGUCUCGGGGGCUGUAUCUAGUUGGAAGAGGUACCUAGGGACUCCACCCAUCACUCUUAAGACAUCAUCACUCGGCACUGUCACCAUGAUGAAAGUUUAUACACAAUCAUAUAUGAUUCCUCCAUAUACGAAUCUUCUUGUUGAAUAUGUUUUUCGUUUUAAUUUAGGAUGAUGUAGCAAUUCAUCUUAGUUUUUUUUUGAUGAUGUAGCAAUUCAUCUUAGUUACAUCGACGAACUAGUACAUGCAACACCCAUUCGGCUACUAUCUAGCUGAAGAUUGUUACUACCAAAAGACUAAUCUCUUGUCGUAUGCUUAGAAACUCCUAAACCCUCUCAAACCUAUUGCAUGGCCACAAACUUGUGAUGGUUCUGAUUUUUGUGUGGAGAAAAUCUUACGGCCCACGUGUCUUGUGUGACUCACUAGUCACACAGCGACACGUUGUUUUUUUUUUUUUUUGUCAGCAGCUCUUCUUCCCUCAUUCCUCUCUCUUCUCCGGCAAAACCGAUCCCCUCUAACGAAGCUUUUUCACAACUCUUCUUUUUCUUCUUUCUCCUUCUUCUUCUUCCUUCCUCCCUCUUCUUCUUCCUUCCUCUCUCUUGGUAGAGGCGUGAUUUGCACAGGUUGGUGGAGACGAGCUCGACGGCGGCAGGUUGUCAUCCAUAUGGUGGAGGCGGCGAUGGGGGUUCCAGGCGGCAGCUGGGCAGAGGGGCCUGCUAUGCUUUGAUCGGAGGGAUCGGGUUUCGCUAGAGAAGAGGGAGGAAGGGCCAGAGAAGAGGGAGGGAGGAAGGAAGAAGAGCUGCGAAAAAAAAAACACAUGUCGUUGUGCGACUGGUGGGUCACCCAGGACACGGGUGCGGCUGUCGAACGUAAAAUUUUCUCUUUUGUGUGACACCACACCUAUAGUCAAAGAAAUGAAAUAACACACUACAUCUAUUAUUCAAUCAAGCUUGCCAUCUUUGACCUACAACUUUACAUCAACUUCACUUUACAAGUCGAAACAGAUUUUUUUUUCUUUUUCCUUUCUGAAAGCGAAAUCAAUCAAAUUUCCAUAGUCGGGUUCUCGUAGAAACAAGAUAAAUACUCUACUCACAUUAGUCGAUGAAUGGAUUGCAAGCAGCGAUCAUCAGUUAAAGCUUGGCAAUAGCAGAACCAUACAAAUUGGAUCUUUCAGGAAGCUUCAACUCUUCCAAUUCUUCAUCAUCACUAUCCAACUUAGAGAAGUAGCGAUCAACCAUCUCGUCAGUGAUAUGCUCCAACUUAGAAGGCUCCCAUUUCGGGUUCUUAUCCUUGUCCAACAAUAUCGCUCUACAACCCUCCCCAAAGUCCUUACUGAUCUCCCCUCUCACAACAUGGCAAACCAUUCUUUGCUCACGAACAAGGCACUCGCCAACUCCUUGCAUCCUUCCUUCUCGAAUCGAUCUCAAUGUGAUCUUCAAACUUAUCGGUGACGCCUUUUUCAGGGAUGCAAUCGAUGAAGACAACCAGUGAUCACGAUCAUGUAUACCAGUUGUAGCAAGCUCCUUCUCAAGAGAACUUAAAAUUUCCUCCACUGUGCUCUUAGAAAAGCACUUGUCAAUAACAUCUAUUCUGUGACAAACGCUCUUCUCUUUCACAGCUGGUUGCUGUGAGUAUUCAUUAAUAAUGGCUGAAAUAUUAUCAACAAGAUCACUGCUCGAUAUAUUUGUGGAAGCAACUAGGGCUUCUUCUAACGAGGCUAAUUUGGCUGAGGGAACAAAGUGAGUUGCUAAACCACAAGCGAGCAUUUCAGGACCGUCCAAUCUAGCACCAGUAAGACCAAGAUAUUCUCCAAAGAAUCCAGGAAGCCUUGACAGAAAAUAAGAAGCACCCAAAUCGGGAAACAAUCCCAGAGCUGUUUCCGGCAAAGCAAACACCGAGUUCUCAGUUGCUACACGAAACCUGCCGUGUAUAGAAACUCCGGCGCCACCUCCCAUGACAAUUCCAUUGAGAAAUGAAACCUGGGGCGUAGUGUUUUUUGCUAUCAAGUAGCCUAGGGUAUACACCCUCUUACCUUGUCGCGCUCCAAAUCUCCAGUUGCCUUCGAAAAGAUGACGAGCCACCACCACCACAUCGCCGCCGGCGCAGAAUGCUCUUCCUUUGCCUUUGAGAAUGACCAGCUUGACAUUGGCGUCGUCCUCGUAGGCGUGGAACAGUUGGCACAGCCGAGACAUCAUUUCGUAGGAGAGAGCGUUCAGUUGUCGAGGCCUGUUCAGUGUUAAUAUCCUCGCAAACGAGUCCCGUUGUAUCAAGAUUUGAUCAUCCUGAUCCGAGUUGAUGAAAGAAGCCAUGGGAGAUAUGAUGUUACUGGAAAUGUGAAAAUGAUAGUAGUACUGAACAAAUAAUAGUAGUAUUGAUACUUUGAUAGUAUGAUUAGUAUCGCUGUAUCAGUCUUAAGAAGGCGUGCGCCUGGAUCUAUAAAAAACAAAUGACUCUCCCUAGACUUUGCUAGCUAGUUGACUACAUAUUGAGCACCAAACAUUCAAACAAUAUGAGAUGGAUCCAAUUUUACGCAAAAUAAUUAAUUAAAUUAAUUGAAGUUGGGAUAGUUAAUUACUUCCUUGACUAAUUACCCUCCCUCAAUCAAAGAACUAUAUUGACGGUUGAAACAUCUGUCAUUUUUCAAAAGAAAAUAAAUAUUAAAAGUACUAAAUAAUUUGUCUUAUGCAAGAGAUAUCACUCAACCUGGUCUGCACGGUAUCUUCAUUUUCAUAUUGAUGAAUCCACCAAUCAGCUAUUUCCGGUGAAGAACGGGAGUUUGCACUGGACCUAGCUAGAUACACGAAACGUGUGAAUAUAUACAAGACAUAUCCAGAGAGUGCAUUUCACCCAGAUUUUUUAAAUCUUAAAGCAGGAAAUUCAUGCACAUACAUAUUGUUGAAUCAGAUUUGAGAGAGAGAGAGAGAGAGAGAGAGAGAGAGAGAGAGAGAGAGAGAGAGAGAGAGAGAGNNNNNNNNNNNNNNNNNNNNGAGAGAGAGAGAGACAGUACCGGCCAUUAUACACACGAGGCGGCUGGUUAUUACAAAAAUCUCUAACUACAUAAACAUUUUGAUUGACUGAAAUCGAUCCUCGUAGUAAUUAUCAUAUAAAAUGGUCACUAGUUUUAUACGAAUGGAUGCAUAUACAGCAUCCCUAGUUCUCUACGUACAACGAGGCUGCUGGUUACAAGAAUCUGUACCUACAUACGAUUUUGAUCGAGCUAUGUCCUCCUAAUUAUCAUAUAAAAUGGUUACACUAACGUAACAAUGUUUUAUUGGUAUAAUUUAUGUAAAUGUGAAGAGUUUAUAUAAGGUAGCCAUGUUUUAUUAGUAUCGUUAAUUUAUUAGUUUGGCAGAUGCAAUGUCCCUAUUUUUCGUGGGAUUCAUAUCUUCUAUCAUAUUGACAUAUUAAAUGGGAAGAGAUUAUAUAAUGUAGCCAUGUUUUAUUAGUAUCUUUAAUUUAUUAGUUUGGCAGAUGCAAUGUCCCUAUUUUUCGUGGGAUUCAUAUCUUCUAUCAUAUUGACAUAUUAUCUGCCUUAACAGAAAAACAAACUAAUAUAUUAACUAUAAUGUCAUGAACAGAGCCAUUUUUUUUUAUCUUAAAGACAAUUUUGUCAUUAGUACUAAAGUAGAGGGACAAUACGAAUCGAUCCACUGCCAUGCGUACAGAAGACAAUCAAGAUCAUAUGAUUCGUAUGAGGGCUGUAUCCUCAUUACAAAUUUCGACUCACAAGGAGCCUAUAAUCUAAUAGCAAAUAGAUCAUAGGCUAAGAUCUCACCUAAAAAACUAUAAAAAUGCUAAAGAAAGAUAGACUCAUAACGCCAAGACGCCAUGAGGCACAAAAAAUGUUUAGGCGCAAAAGUGCUUAGAGUCCUAAUGAAAGGAACUUAUUGUACUAGAAAACUAUAAUCUAAAAAAGCAUCUAAAGCCCAAAAAGAAAUUAAACCUAAACCCGAAACAAUUAACCUAGCCCAACUUUCUUUCACAAUUACAGGAAGGACAUGGAAGAGGAACAUAUUAGCCGUCGCCGCAAUGAGAUGAGGUUGCCUUCGUGAGACGUCGCCGCAGUUGCCGCUGUGGGACAUUGCCGCCGCCUUGUUCCGUACAGCCACAAGCACACCCCAAGGAGAAGAAACUCCAUUGUCGCCACGAACUUAGAGACCAAAUAACAUCUCCACCAAACCAAAGCUCCUCUCAUGAAUAAACAAGGAUGGAGAUGGAAUCGGGAAGAUGAAACCAGAUCUGCUCCUCGAGUCCAUGGUGCCAUACCUCCAAACCGAUCUGAAAAGCCAUGCUAAUCAAAAGCUGUUAAGAAUCUCUAGCAAAUUACCUCUCAAAGCAUUUGGUUGCUAACAUAUCCUUCAUCCGACAACAAAGUCAUACGGUUUCAGUAGAUCUAGAGACCCGUCUAACGUUAGACCGUCGCCGGAUGAGGGUUGGAUUUCGUGGUUUGCGGCCGACUUAGAGAAUGAACAGAGCCAUAUGUUAUCUAUAAUGCUAACAAAUGAUUUCCUCUCUCAUGCUACCAAUGAGAUUUGGAAUAACCAACAUGCUAGAGCUAACCAAGAAAUUACGAACUCAUGCAUAUAUUAUUAUAUAUGGACAAAUGUGUUGUCUGUGAUGAUAAAAAAUUAAAUUUGAUGCCCUACUCCUAAUUAGUAACGUGCGCGCGCAUAUUUAUAUAUUUUGUUCAUCGAUGGCUAUAAUGAAAGGAUCAUGUAAAUGACACAGUCUAUAUAAGUACAAUCGUGUGGAAGAUUAAUCUCCGAGGUUUCUUUUAUCCUCCAUCAAACAAGUGCAUUUCUUUUGCUGGCUACAAAGUAGUCGAAUUUAGGUUGAAAUGUCUGCAGCAAAUACUAUGCUUGGAAACAAUUGUUCACUCUUGGAAAAGGUCACACGCCUAUUUGUUACUAGAUUUAUAAGACAAUAUACCUCCACAGGAUGUAUAAUGUGAGUAAUGUAUACUUAAUUUUGGUCCUAAUUGUUUGACAUCUAAUUCAUUACAUUCAUGUUUAUACUUAUUAUGCAUGCUCUGAACCUUUUUCUUCACUCUUUCUCUUCAUAAAGCUCAAGGAAUCAUAUCAGUAUUGAUCCAAAUAAACAUUUAGUAGGAUCAUUUGCAUUGCAUGUUUCUCUCUUGAUCAACACAAUUCGCCUGAUUUGUUGCGAGUAUAUACGAUCUUCAAGUGUGUGUGUGUGUAUAUCUUAUGCAGUAGUUAACCCAGUUCCACUCGAUCUAUCUCCAGCUGUUUCUGUUUGAGGCAAUCAUAUCCCUUAAUAUAUUGACUCUUACAAAUAAAGUUUUGUGCACUACUGUCUUGUAUACAGUUUAAUAGAGGAAGACGGCACAACGUUAACCUUUGAGGGAACGAGCAUCGGUAGUUCUUUGAAAUCUGUUCUUAAAGUUCACAAUCCUCAGUUUUACUGGAAGGUAAACCAUUCUCAUUUUGGAUUUUGGAAAUUAUAAUUCUGAAUUAUGUACGUACUACUUAAUCUCAAAAGUACGUUCUCUCUUUCAGGUAAUGACUCGGUCUGAUUUAGGCCUUGCAGAUGCUUAAAUAAAUGGAGAUUUUUCUUUCGAUGAUAAAGACAAAGGUCUUGAGAAUCUCUUUACGGUAAUAUCACUGAUCAUGAUUUUCGACUGCAUGCAAGAUUGUUUGUUCAGUUCGAAGAUUAAAUUCCGUUUUACUAACUUAUUCAGUUUCCAGAUUCUCAUUGCCAAUAGAGAUUCAAAUUCUUCCCUCUCAAAAAUGAGCAAGAAAAGGUGCAAUUAACAUAUGUUACUGUCGAUCAUAAACUUGAAUGGAGGUAUAUAUACCUAUUGGUCAUCAAAAUCAUUGUGUCAAGUACUUAAUUAACUGAAUGUUGCUUGUUACAGCGGUUGGUGGACGCCAUUGUUAUUCGCUGCCAGUAUGACCCCUGCACGAUAUUUCUUUCAUCAUAUUACAAGGCAAAACACACUUACACAGGCUCGGAGGAACAUCUCUCGCCAUUAUGACCUGGUAAACAAUUUACAUAAUGUACGUUUAAGGAUUAAUACAUGCAUGUCUAACAUAUGACAUGAGAUAACUCAGAAGCUCAUUCCAAUUUUGUGUGCGCUGACCUAGAGUAAUGAACUGUUUUCGUUGUACUUGGACGAAACGAUGACGUAUUCCACGGCUGUUUUUAAGGUUAGCAUCAUCAGCUUUCAACAUAUUGAUAGUAAAUUACACCAUUUACACAGCAUGAAGAAAGUAUAUAUUGUAAUUUAAGUAUACAGUUGCUCCUCGUUUUUGAAUCAUUCUGUACGUAGGAAGAAGAUGAAGAAUUGAAGAUUGCACAGCUGAGGAAAAUCAGCAUUUUAAUUGAAAAGGUGGUUUUAGUUAAUGUUUCUUUGAUAUAAAACACUUUGUCAAGAAUCCUGCAGUGCUCCAAGAUCUUGGUUAUUCCAAAACACUUCGACUUGUUGACAAACAUAUUUUUUUGUGUUCUUUUUUCUUAUGUGGGAUUCUUUUUAUUUUAAAUGCGGGACUGCUUAUUCUGGAACAAAUUUCUUUUAUCUGAGAUUUAAUUUUUUGUUCGUUUCUAUCUGUUUCAUUUAGGCUAAAAUUAAUAAGAACCAUGAAGUCCUAGAGAUUGGCUGUGGUUGGGGCAGCUUCGCUAUUGAAGUCGUCAAACAAACUGGUUGUAGAUACACUGGCAUCACUUUGUCUGAGGAACAAUUGAAAUUUGCCGAAAAAAAAGUGAAAGAUGCGGGCCUUCAGGUAUCAAACUAAAUAAUUAAUUUUCCAUUAGUAACAGCUCUCAGAAUUCAACUGAUAGAAGGAUUAUGAGAUUAAUAUAGACUCACUCACUGGAUUAUUGUAAUUUCAAUCAUAUAAUUGCAUGAUACCAGGACUACAUCAAGUUCCUGUUGUGUGACUACCGCAAACUGCCUCCAAACUCCACUUAUGACAGAGUCAUUUCUUGGUGAGUAUUGUCCCCGUUAAAUGUCAUCUAGGCAAUUCAAAUUACUGCCAAACAUACCUUGAUGUGUGGUGAAUUUAAUUUGCAGUGAGAUGCUAGAACACGUCGGCCACAAAUUUAUGGAGGAAUUCUUUGGUUGCUGUGAAUCUCUCCUAGCAGAAAAAGGACUUCUUGUUCUACAGGUAACAUCCAAUAUAUUAAUGUUACUGACCAUUCUCCACUUUGUUGGUUUGCAAGGUGGGAAAUUUGGUUGCCUAGCUACCUAACACUGCUAUGUUAAACUACAUUUAAAUCUUAUAAAUGUAAACAUCCAAUAUAAUAUAUAAGCUAAUGGUUUUGGGUGGUUGAUUUCUUUAGUUCACAUCAUUACCGGAUGAGCGUUAUGAUAAGUACAGGCAAAGCUCAGACUUCAUAAAUGAAUAUAUAUUUCCUGGUGCUUGUAUACCUUCAUUAAGUAGGGUAACAUCAGCCAUGGCUACUUCUUCAAAACUCAGGUAUAUAAUAUAUGACAUAAUUUUAUAGUCAGUAUUAUAUAACUGUAGUGCUUGUUGUUUUCACUUAUGGGCUUAUGGCCGGAACUUCUGUUACUGCAGUGUGGAACACUUGGAAAACAUUGGAAUUCAUUAUUAUCCAACGCUAAAAUGUUGGAAAAAAAUUUUCUUGGAAAACCAGAAGUAAGAGAUUGAUAUUCUUUCAAGUUCAAUUGUUUACAGAAGGCUAUGAUGUAAAAUUGUUAUACAUGUUGUUGAUGCUAUUGGUGGUGCAUUGUCUUUUGUGUUUAUAGCGAAAUACUAGCUCUUGGAUUCGAUGAAGAGUUCAUCCGGACAUGGGAGUAUUAUUUUGAUUAUUGUGCGGCAGGAUUCAACUCAUGCACACUUGGAAAUUACCAGGUUCAUUUCUUGCUUCUAACAACCUUACAUGUUCAUUACUAAUCAAAAUUGGUAAUUCCUGUGUUGUAUAUAUAUGUACCAAUUUUCUGUAAUUGACUAACGUACGGUUAACAAAUAGUCAUAUACCGGCUCUUGCAGAUUGUGUUUUCUCGUCCUGGUAAUGUUCCUGUAUUAGGCAACCCCUUCAAAGGCUUCCCUUCAGCAUAUUGAUUGUGUUGUCAAGUCCAUCUUCAGGACAAACUGUUGCUGAUUAAGAAAUGGUGCUAGAAAGUUAUUUUGUGUUAUGUUUGAUUGAAUAAGCCUUAUCACAUGAAAAGGUUUUGUCUUCAAUGUAAUUUGCUUUACCAUAUCACAGUCUCCUUGUAACAUAAUUCCCUUCUUUGAAAUAAAAAGUUUGAUAAUCUAGACAAUAUAUUUUGCAGAUUUUCCUUAAUUUUUUGCUAAUUAACAACCGUAGGUUUCUUGAACUGUAAGAAACUGCAGAUGCGAACUCCUAGUUUCCAGCAGUUCAAGAGUACAAAACCUUAUUAAGAAAAUUAAAAAUGGAGUUUUACACAUUGCAUGUUCAAAUGACAGCAUCACAAACCCUAAUCUCUAUAUGUGUUAACUUAUAUAUUUGUUUGAAGAAUGGUGCCGCUCUGUUGAGACUAUAUAUACUCCACAUGUGAAAAACUAGACUUAUUUGUGGAUUUAGGAGGAUUUGAGCCACUCGAUUCAUUACUAAUUUAUUUUAGAUGUGAACUAUAUAUUACUAUAUCUGCCCCUUGCACAUAUAGCUAUUGUACAGAUGCUAUAUAGUUGAUGUAUACCAAGUCCAACAUAGCUAUAGCAUAUUGCAAUUUGAAUUCAUGAACAUGCAUCAUAUAUUCACAAAUCCAUAAUAAUUAAAUUAGAUCGUGUUAUGUUACAUUUCACUAACUUGACAAAUGUUCAGUCCCACACAAAACAGAUCGAUACAUAUCAGUAGUCAGAAUAUGUAUUAAGAAACAAGCUAGGUAGCAUAGGAUUGGUUUACUAAACAAUUAACACUAGCCACCGUAAAAGAUUACAAUUAUCAUUACUUUAAAAGGAACACAAGCCACCAUCAAUAAUUCAAAUGAACAAAAAUUAACAAAUGCAAUUCCUUUGUCUUUGGUUAGGGUGUUAUUGUGCAACGGAGCUGUAUAAAUAAUGGUACAGCUAAUAAUGCAGAGAGAGAGAGAGAGAGAGAGAGAGAGAGAGAGAGAGAGAGAGAGAGAGAGAGAGAGANNNNNNNNNNNNNNNNNNNNGAGAGAGAGAGAUGGCAGCAGAUGAAGUAUGUCCUAUGAAAGGUGGGGAUGGCCCCAAUAGCUAUGCCAAGAACUCCACAUACCAGGUUCUUGAACGCUAACCUUUACUAGCUACGUAUAGAGUGAUAUCAUAAUAAUCAUCUCUGCUUCAAAUAAAUUAACUUCUUGUAUCGAGUUGUAGGAAAUUAUUGAUAAAAUGACCAUCAACUAAAUGCAACAUUCAAAUUUGCAGAAAGCAGCGGUGGAUGCUGCAAAAGAACUUGUAAGCAAGGCAAUUGCAGAAAAUCUUGACCUAGAAUUCUUGUUAGCUUCCAGCAGUACUUUUCAUAUUGCGGAUUUGGGUUGCUCUAUUGGACCAAAUACAUUUUGGGCAGUUGACAACAUUCUUGAAGCUGUGAAAUUGAAAAUUCAAGGGAUGAAAAAGUCUCCCAUGACCCUUGAAUUUCAAGUUUUCUUCAAUGAUCAUGCCCCUAAUGACUUCAACAUGCUCUUCAAAUCACUCCCUAUGAAUAGGCAAUAUUAUGCUGCUGGUGUGCCAGGUUCGUUCUAUGGUCGCAUUUUUCCUAAAAAUUCAUUUCACUUUGUUCACUCUCUACUGCCAUUCACUGGCUCUCUAGAGUGCCAAAAGCUGUAGUGGACAGAACCUCUCCUGCUUGGAAUAAAGGAAAAAUCCAAUUCUCUUAUUCCUCGGAUGAAGUUAUAAGGGCUUUUGAAGCUCAAUUUGCUGAGGACAUGGAGUGCUUCCUGAAUGCGAGGGCACAUGAAAUUGUGCAUGGAGGACUCAUGGCACUUAUUGUUCCAGGCCGACCCGAUGGUACCCCUCAUUCAAAAUCUUCACUGAAUGUGAUCUAUCACAUUUUAGGAUCUUGCCUCAUGGAAAUGGCAAGGAAGGUAAGCAAUUAACAAGUUCUCUAUCUCGAGGUUAAUUUGAUUUGUUUUAGGGUAUGCCAGAUCAUAUCUAUUUGUUUUCUGCAGGGAGUAGUUAGUGAAGAGAAAGCGGAUGGAUUUAACAUACCAAUGUACUACAUGUCUCCUCAAGAACUGAAAGCUACUGUAGAACUAAAUGGAAGUUUCACUAUAGAGUGUAUGGAAAACUUACCUCGUCUCUCCACAAUUGACGAUGUCACUGAAAGUGCCGAACUCGUUGCAUCUCAUGUUAGAGCUGUCACGGAGGGUCUCUUCCAGCAGCAAUUCGGAGACGAAAUCUUAGAUGAGCUCUAUGACUUGUAUCUUACCAAACUCGAAGAGCAGCCUUCCAUCUUUGACCCAACAAAGGCUAUUAACUUUCUUCUUGUGCUUAAACGCCAAGGCAAAUUGAUUUGAUCGAACAAGCUGUUUUGGAAUCAAUAUAUCGUUAAACGAUUUUUAAGUACUUAAUUCAUUGUCCAAAUUGCCAUCCCCUUGUAACAUUAUUCCUUUUUCUUAAAAUAUUAAUCCUAAUUAAGAAAGAGCAAGUAAAUCGCUAGGAACUUUUAGUCAAUAGGUGAUUGUGAGUACGUAACUUAAUUGGGCCAGUUAUUUACCUUAUAAAAUUAUGCAUGGUAUUGAACAAACAUUAAUAUGACACUAGAAUUACUAUACAUGUCACUAAAAGGGCAAAGGCAAAAUCAAAGCGAGGCAAAAUCUGAUUCAUACAGUUCUAGGGAAUAGUAUACUGCUAAUCAAGCUAGCUCAUAACACAUGCAUGUUCUUGCAUCCACAAGAGUUGAUCUCACUUGCAAAGGUCUAUAGUAAAUGAAAAAGAAAAAAAUUGACUCAGCAAUAAGCAAUUGCUUCCUUGUUGAUGGAAGCUUCACACAAGUCUUCUCCUUAUAGUAUAAUAUAAUGCUUCAGCUGGUUCAUAUAUUGCAUACCUGAUCGAUCUGGUUUUGGAUCGAUCACCUUCAAUAUUAAGCAUCUUGUCAAAUCAAAUAAGCUGUAGAUGGAUUCAUUAGUGGAAGGUGUUACCUACAAGGUUGCAACCGUUAUGCCCUUGGCUGCUGGCUUCCUUACCUUUGUGGCUGUGGAGUGCUUUGUUGAUCAAUUGGUCGCUCCAAUCAAAUUCACAGUUGGGCAGUACUUGGCCAAGUACCUUCUUGCCUGCAGUGGCCCUAUGGUCACCAAAUACUUGAACAUCUAGCUUGCUUACAUUCUCAGCUACAAGACCAACAUCGAGAAUCUGUUGAAGCAAGUGAAGAAGCUCAAGGCCGCAAGAGACAUGGUGCGGUGCGCCAAGCUGCCGAAGACGCCAAACAGAGGGGCCAAGUUGCAAUCAGAGCUGAAGUUGAGAAAUGGCUGACCAGUGUGGACAAGCUCACCGAAGAGGUGACCAAAUUCUUCGAGUACAAAGGUGAUGCCAACGACGGCUGGUUUCGUUGGUUCUAUGGUUUGUUGAUGUCGCGAUACCAGUUGAGCAAGAAGGCAAACAAGAUGAUAGAGCGUCUUGUUCAACUCCAGGCCGAUGGAGCCUUUCUAAUGAAUUAGUUAGUAACUUAGUAUAAGUUGCUUGUGAUUUUAACUUGUUUCUUCAGCACUUGUAUGUUUUGUAACAAUUGAAUGAUGUCUCUGUGUUUAUGAAAUAAUUUGCGUAUUGAUCGAUUUAAAAAAAAAAGAAGAAGAAGAAAAUAUCAUACAAGUUUGAUCUCCAUUAAUGGAGAUUAGGGCUUUGCCUUUCUCAUAAUUUUUUGCCAAAGGCUUUCUUUGAAUUUUCCUGAUGAAAUGCCAAUACUCCAUCUUAUGAGCAAGCACUCUCCUAACCAUUUAAUUUUUUCCAUUAUUGUCUUGUAUGCCUGCUCAAACAAUCUAAAAUCAUGAACUGCUGAAGUCGAUCGAGAUCUCAAUGCCCUUAAUGCAUGGCAGCCUUCCACUAGGCUCAGCUCAGCUUUGAUACUUCAUACUUGAAGGCACAUACUAAUGAUACUAAACAGCUCAUUUCUAUUUUCAGGUGUCUAGGCCUAAGCCCAAGGAUGAAGCAUUAGUUUUUCAAUUUUGAUAAUAAUAAUUGCAAAGUGCAAUGCUAAUUAGUCCUAAAUCUUUAAUUAGCUAGAGCAUUGACAUUUGUAGGAGGAACAAGGAUGAGACAAGAGCAGCAGAGUCUGAAACCCAAUCGGACUACAAAGUUGGAAGAGUAUUGAACUACUGAUCUAGCUUCCAAUGACCUGUCCUUGACAAUAUUUUACUUGGAACGUAUCCCAUCUGCUAGCUAGAUCGAAGCCAAAAUUCAAAUGAGUCGAACACUUGACAAUUGGCAUGAUUAUUAUAUCAGCCAAAGGGUCCUGCAAAUUAAUAACCAGAAACAUGCAUGCAUGUGGAGUUUUACACAAGACAACUAGACAAGGAUGGUGAAACCCCCAAUGAAAUGCAGAAAAAUUUGACAUCUCUAGCAGGGUUUCUGGUUUAAUUGCAAUUUUAAAGUUCCAGUAGGCUAUUGCAAUUGCAUUCAUUUAAGAAUGGGAUCCUUAAGAUCGAUGAGGAGGCAAAUGCAAACGACGGAUCCCUUAAUGGAUUCUCACUUAAUUUGGAGUUGAAACUUGUCGUAUUGCAUAGGAUGCCAAAUUUCCAAUGGGGAUAUCUUCUAAACUAGUUCCAAUUGGGGUGAGGUAGCCUAUUCCAAGACCGAGCAUUACUAUAAGGCCUCCUUGCAUAGAUCGAUAAUGCAAACUAAGAGUUCAAGCUUCUGUCAUGUUCCACAUAUCCAAACACAUAAACAUGAAAAACUCAGACCCAAUCAACAUUUCAUAAUUAAGAUACAAUCCGUAACUUAUUGCUUUGGUUGCUAUAAAAUAUCCAAGAUCUCAUUUCUAGUCUUUACCAUACUUGUUUUGUUUCUAUUAUUAAAAUUCAACAUUCAACAUCCACCUGCUUAAAAUUUUCAAUGGGGAAAGCAACAGUUUUGUAUAAGCCUAAUAAUGCACCGAAAUGAAACCAAAAAAGUCUCCAUCUUCAGAAAACUAUGAGCAAACCAGAUUUUGUCGACUUGCAGCUUAGCCAUGGUCAUCCUCUUACUUAGGGACCAUAAAGAAAUGGACAAAGGCUCUUCCAGUCAAUUUCAUAUCAGCAAUGCCCGCCGCUCUUUAUUUUUUUGAUACAAGUUGUAGAAAAAGAAGGCUAAACUGAAAUAUAUCGACAUUGAUGUAAAAAUCCCACACAAAUUUAAAAGAGAAAUUACACACUGAUCUGUAUAGUCUCCUUUUUCCUAAUUUCUAUACCUAUUUCAGGCGGUUUCAAAAAAAAAAAAAGAAGAAGAAGAAGAAGUACAUGUAUGCAUUCGUCUACGAUCUUCCAUUGGUUUGGUUAUGGCCAUUGGUGACACCAUUUCGUGCCAUGGCCAUUUCAGUCUCAGCAGCUUUAUCUGCCUCCUCUCGGAACUUCUUGUAUAUAUCACUCUGGUAAAACUUCCUUGUCCUCAUCACUAAAAUCAAUGAAACCAAUGCCCCAAAAAAUGUGGCAGCUGUGAUUAUAAUGAAGGACAACUUGAAGCACUCUCCACCAAGACAAGUCAACUCCUCGUCUUUAUUCCUCUCGAGCCCUUUGGCCACCAAUUGCUUCAUCGCCUCCUUAUCGUAUACAUGACCGGUGAGUUUCACGUUGAGCAAGUACAAGCCGACGGGACUCGCGGCUGAACCAAAAUUGUACAAAGUCGAGUAGUACUUGAGCCCGAAGAGCUCAGAAAUUAUGGCGAAGAGCAAAGGCCAUUGAGCGCCGAAGCAAAACCCUAUUAUGACCGAGGCUAGGUAGAGACCAUUUUUAACAUUGAAGGCAAUGAGGAGGUGACCAAAGCAAGAGACAAAGAGGGUUAGGGUUAGAAUGAGAGGACGAGGGAACUUGUAUCGUUUUAGUAAAAAUUCCGAGACGAAUCCGGCGACGACUCUACCGAGAUAAUUCCAUAUGCUGACCAGGCCGACGAAAGUUUUCCUGCUGCGUGUGGGAUAUCCCAACGAAGUGCCAAUCUGACCCAAGUUGUCAAUUGCUGUCAAUGUGCCCCCAACACCACAUAUGCACGCCAUGAAUAGUAUGAGCAUGUCAAUGCUGAAUAGGGCUUGAAGAAUAGUGUAGUCUUCUCCUCUAUUUGGUGGCCUAAAACAAGUUUUCCAACAAGAUUGGCUAGGUUGUUCCUCUGUGGACUCAGGAGUUUCAUAUGUGACCGGCUCCUUUGACACCUCUAAUUGUUCUUCCGUGGGAACGACUGGCUUUUCCGUCACUAUUUUGACGUCACCAUUCAUCUCGAGCUGUUUUCUCUCCCAAAGCUUGUACUCCUCGAUUACAACAACAACAACGGGAAGAGCGAGCAAGAAGAGCACCAUCGCCGUGCUGGCGCCGUACUCUUGUUGAGUAAAGUUCACCCUAUUCUCUACUAUGAUCAUGAUCAUCAGAAAUCCGGCGAGGCCGAGAGAGAUGUACAACAUGUUGUAGAACACCUGGACCUCGUUGCUUUGUCUAAUCACCUUCAUGAUCCUAAUAGUCCUCAGAAAAGCGAACGAGAUCGCCGCCGGAAGCCACCCGAUGAGCAGAAUCAAGGCCCUGGUGUCGUUGUAGUAGAAAGCAAAGUACAUCUGCGUGAUGAUAGCGCCACUGAGGCCGACGUAGCCCUUGAGAAGCCCUAAAACGACGCCGCGGCUCUCGGGGAAGUUCUUGACGCAGGUGACCAGCGAGCCAGUGUUGGCGAACGACUGAGAAUUGGCGCCGAUGCAAAUGUACAAGCACAUCUGCCAGACUUUUGGUCUCGCGAUUUUUUUGGUGACGGAGAGCCAGAUCAUUAGGUAUCCUAAGAAGUUGAGGACGGCGCCGACCAGCAGGACCACCCACGGCGGCGUGACCUCGUUGAGGAGGCCGGAGAGGAUGCCGACGUUGGAUCCAAAAUCUUUGAAGAAGCUGAGGAGGUUGAGUGUAGAUUGGUCGUAGGCUAGAGCUGUCUUGAUGUCGGGAGAGUAGAGGCCGAACAUGUAGGUGGCGCCGGCGGCGGACAUGAUUAAGAGACAUGCAAAGACCAUGAACCACCGGCCGUUGAGGACCUGGAGGGUCAGGCUUUUGGUGUCGGCCCAUCCUCGAGGACCGGAACCCGCCAUGGCUGGAUUGAUAUAUGUAUCUAGCUAGCUAGGUUGAACCAGAGAGAGCUGUAAGCAAACUUUGGUGUGGAGUAGAGAGAAAUGUAGGAGGAAUAUAUAGAGGAAGUCACACAAAGAGAGCAAGUGACAGAGAAAGAAGAAGAUAUAGUGUCACACCAAGACUUGGUUGACUACGUUUAUAAAUGGAGUAAAUGGGAGGAGUAAAUAACUGAGGAACAAGAUAGGAACGAUAAUCCGAUCCCCUAAUAUAUAUUUCAUCUUAUCCAGAGGAAAACUAAUGUGGGGAAAUUAAAGAGUGAAUUUCUUUAAUUUGGAAUCUUCAGCUUCAGCUGACAGUUAAGUGUUCCCUGCUCAUAUUACGCCACCAUUUUGGACAAAGUCUACUAUACGUACUUAUCCAAAAUGAAUAAAUAGAGAUUAAUUUUUUUUUUUUAAAAAGACGGAUAAAUAUCCUAGCACCAAAAUUUUGAUUAAAUAAAUAUUUAGAUACUUUCUUUCUAAAGAGCAUGUGCGGGUAUUUUUUUUAUAUUAAUAUUAUGGCUACUAUCAAUAUGUAAUAUUUCAUUUUUAUUACCUAAUAAAUAAAGUUCAUUAAUGUCAUUGAUUCACCCUUUAAAAUCUAAAAGGAAAGCUUCUUGAGUCUUCUUCUCUUGUGGAGGUUCUGGUAACCUAUAAAAGGAAAGCUGGACGUCCGAUUGGAAGUAAGAAGCCGCGACAAAACAAUAAGUCUGUCAUACCUCCGCAAAGCAUUCCUGUCACUUGGGAGGUUGGUACGUGCUCUUCUGAUAAGGGCAAAGGUAAGGCUUGAGCUGUUGGGUGUCCAAAUCCGGGGUGCCCAAAGUAGUUGGGCUUGGGUUCUUUUUGGGCCUGUGCUCGAUCCUUUGGGCCCCUAGGUUUGUUUGGUCCCGCAGUUUACCUAGCAUCUCAAUUUUAAUUUUUGAUAUUUAAUUCUUGGUAACUCUAGUUGUACACUAAUUGCGGUCUCUAAGCGACUAGUUUUACUUCCAAUGAAAGUUAGAUAGACACUUUGAAAUUCGGGUGUGUACGUAGGCAUAAUAAGUGAGCUUAUAUAUAUGCAGUGAGGGCUACCUAUCAGUUAGUCUGUUAGCUUGGGUUGAAUUCAAUAUUUGGCACAAGACGUUAGUUGAUGUAAGUGUUUUUUUGCCGUGGAUAAAUAAUAAAAUUAUUUAUUUAAAAAAAAAUCUAAAAGGAAAUAGAAAGGGUAGAAUUGAUAAUGCAAUAUUAUGAUUUAGAAAAAUAUAUUAUAUGGAAUUGAAAAUAAAUAUUUUUAUUUAUAUGACAUAAUAUAUAAGAUUAAAGCCACAAAUUUUAGGUCUCACCCCCUCAUAAUAUCAACGCCCUUAUUAUGUAUGACUCAAUAACUUAUUACUUUCUCACCUUUUUUUUUUCUUUGAUACGUACGUAGUUUUCUUGAAUUUCUUCCAAUACAUCAACAUGAUUAAUUCGUUUUUAUUGUUUUGGAUGAAGGUUUAACCAAGAUAACUACAAAGCCUAAGGAGCUGGGGUCCAUGCAUCUCGCCUUAUUCUAAAGGGUAGGAAGUGGCUGUUGAAGAUGCUCGAGGAGGAUGGUUUGCUAGAGGAGGUAAAUCCCUCUACUGAUUCUUCAGAAGCAAUGGAAGUGGUUGGCAAAGAGGUAACUCUGCCUCCAAAGAAGAAGCUUUCAACUGAAGUUGCUACAGUACAUGGAGAUGAAAAAGGCGGUAGUUAAAGUGGUGAACUCCACUUCGAUUAUUACAUCUGCUUGAUCGGGAGAUCGACAAGAAAAAUAAGAAUUAUGUUGACACAGUUUAUAACACUUCGGAGUUUUUAAUCUCUUUGUUUUUGGUUUUAUCUUCGUAGAAGGUGAGUGUAUUUGGAUUUAGCUAGGAUAGUUUGUGUGAGAAGCGUAUUAUGGGCAUGUCGUUAUUUGUAUUGUUUAUUGAGAUUCAUUAAUGAAUAACCUCUCUUUACCAAAAAAAAAAAAAAACGUCACAACAAUGGAAUCACGAGCGAGUUAAUUGGAGCAUCAGAUCGUACUUUUCUAUCAUCUAUGAUCACUCACAAUAUCAAAUUCCACAACGUUGAAAUUUCAUAAGAAAUGGGAACUUGUAGUACGUGUCUCUACGUACUUGCCUCAUAUGGUUACUUGCCCCUACUUGCUUUCUCUCAACAAAUAUUGUCAUACUAGUCCUCUCUUUUUUCUUUUUUUUUAUCACGUUUGAAUAUCCAGCAUUUAACCGUCCAAAAAUAAAAAUAAUCUUAAAAAUUUAUUAAGUACGUUUUAUCUAAAUUAAGUGUCUUUCUAGUAACUUUCGUUGAUGAUGAGAUUGAAUAUUAACAUGCACUCUAUGAUCACAUCUUGCUGAUUCAAGUGAAAAAUUUAGUAAAUCAACAAUCUGUUCGAUCGGUUAUAAUUAGUACUACAUAAAACAACAGUGAUUGAUUCGAUAAUAAAUCCCCUUAUCUUGAUGCCUUAUACAUAAGAAAUAAUUGGAGUAGUAGUUUAAUAUAUGAAUUCGUCAAUGUAGGUGCUGGAUAUUUCUCUAGAGCAGUUCGCAAAUGGUGAUGCAUGCUUGACGCGGAGCUAGCUCGAUCGCAAGUAGCUGGGAACACAAUACUGGAAUUUUCAAAGUCAUGCAGUAGCUUUGACUAUGAAGAUCAUGACUGAUGGAUCCGAUCGCCCCUCAUAAUAUCAGCAAUUUAUUCAUUUGUGUAAUACAAAGUCGGUCGGAAAUGUCUGGUACAAGAGCAAUCAAUAGCUUUGAGGAAAUAGUACAUCUUCAAAUAUGUGGCUAAGCCCUGCCCAUUGAUUUCUGAUCGAUUGUUCAUACGGAUGUCGAUCGAUGACAAUAUGUUGAGUGGCUAUAUAUUAAUUAGUGUUGUCUUGUUAAUUACCAAUUUUGUUCUUCUUCAAAUCAUCGUAAGAUAAAGUAUCUCGCUGGAUCAUUAUCGACAAAAUAUAAAGUCUUUAAUAUAUAAAGAGUAUUAGUUUGUUAAAUCUAUAUGUCAGUUCAAAUAUUGGUGAACAACAACAGAUCGACAACUAGAUCAUGAUCGAUCACGCUAGUUGGAUAUCAGAGUUUCGAAUGUGUGAUUCCCUUAAUUAAAAUCUUGCGAGAGUGCAAAGUACCUGAAACUCUGGUCACAUUUGUUUCGCCUUCCUUUCAUUCUUUCCAUCGUUCAUACAUUAAUCUUAUCAAUUUGUGCUCCACUACCCAACAAACAAUACAGCCUUCGUGUUUGUGUGCCUGGUAAUAUAUAAUGAAGAACUACAAUGCAUGUAUACACGGAUAUCGGAACUCCAAAUGAUCCUAAAUGAUUAAUUUUUUGCCAUCAUUUGUAAGGUCUUUAUCAUAUCGUGCGUGAUUGAAAGUCGUAUAUAUUCCCCCAAUUAGGGUUUGGAGUUAGCAAUUUAAAUUUAAAGAAAGAACAUUAGUUUGCAUCAAUACCAUUUAGUCUAGUGGUAUUAGUCUUCUAUUUGUAAGUAUGAGGUGCUAGACUCAUUGUAGCAUUUCAGUUAUUUGUUUGAUAAAAGAAAAAACAUUAGUUAAUUAAUCUAUAAUUAAUUUGGAGUUGAUUAAUCAAGAAUAAUUCAUGAUUUUAAUAAAUAAAUAUUUAAAUUCCUCUCUAACUUUAUGUAUCAAAUUUGAACGUUGGGAUAUGCCAUCACCUUGCUUGUACCAAACAAUCUUCUAUCUUAGUUUUAGUCAUUGCCAAACUCUGUCAGGUGUUAAUAAGGGAAUCAGAUCCUACGCCAUUCCCAUAUUAUAACCUUGAUCUGAUCAAAAACUCAAAUGUGAUCCAUUUUAAUAUGAAAUUCACACCCUGUCCCAUGUGUAACUCAUAAGUGCUCUUGCAAUAUAUUCGUGAAAAAUAACGACUUCAUGUUAUAUAUAUAUAUAUUGACCUAUCGCUACCUAGUGUGUAAGUUGUAUAGCAAUUAGCAUUUCAUUCUUUAAUUAUAAAUCAUUAAUUGGUCACUUUCUUCGAAAUUGGCAAUGGCAUUUCUAUUUGCUUAAUUGCUUGCUAUGUGAACUAAUCCUUAUCAUGCAUAGUGUGAUUAGCUAAUUAAAUAAAGAGUGCAUUGUUAAUUACAAUAACUGAUAAGCCAGCUUCAUAAGAAACAAAGUAUGAAUGAUAAGCUUUCAAUCAGUAUCAUUAACGUCUUAAAAGAAUGCGUUAGAUUGGAUUCUUAUGUUUUUGAUAUCGUUUAUUCAAACUUGCUGAAGGGCCAGCCUUUGCCGCACAGAUCGAACUUCUUCUAAUUGUAUUCUAAUUAGUUGAUUAGUCGUCUAUAGAUGUUCAUGUCAAAUUCGUAUAUACCUGAUAUGAACGCUCACAAUUGACCAGUUUGUUUCGUAAUCCAUUUUGUUAAGCUUAUUAGCACACACUCGAGUGAGGCAUCCAAAAUCUAUUUUCUUUAAUUUCCUUGCUCAAGUACGUAGACGAUUUGAUAUACUCCAAAUUACUCCAAUUAGUUUGUAACAGACUGUGGUCAAUGAAAUUCGCGUUUUUGGACAUUUGUAGUGAAAUUUUAGUUUUUUUCAUUCUUAUUUUACCAAACAAUGUGUCAUUCUCAAAUGACUUAUCUAAUAGUACUCACUAAUUGUUAGAUACUAUUGUAUUUGAAAAUACGAUUCUCGAUCAUUCACAAUUUGACAACUCAACAUAUGAACCGUAAGUAUAUACUCUUUUGUACUACUAACCCGACCUCGUUAAAUACUAGUUAUAUACCCGAACACAUGCUUGUAAGUGUGACGACUUUUUCGAUCGGUCCAGUCAGUACGUAGCCCUCAUAAGUUGUCAUUUACGAACAAAGCAUAGUUGAAUAUUGAGCAGACUACCCGUCACCAAUUUCUCAUACCAUAUUUGAUAUAUCCAUCCAUACAAGCCAAACCAGAGAAUUCAUACCGGUGAAAGCUACAACAUUACCUAUUCUAUACAUGGAAUCAUAUAUAGUACUAUUUUCCUCAGUACUCAUUCGUUUGGGGUCAAUGCCGCUGUUCAUACGCAAAGAGCAGCCACACGUAUACUUGCACAGAAACUUUGGAUAGAGGUUUGGUAUUCUUCUCGAGCUUGAUAUGUUGACGAUUCGAAAGAAGCGAAAGAUUUCCUGGUUGCUCUCUGUCUAUUUAUAUAAGAUCAACUCAGCUGGCUAGUCAACUCCCUUGAACAUCCGGCAUUGUAGUUUUCUGUGCUUUUGGAAAUAUGUUGAACUGAGCCACAAAGCGAUUCUGAUCUCUCUGUUUUUCGCCUUCGUAAAGUAGGCAGAGACCAAGUGUUUACACAGUGAAAGGGAAGAAAGAAAAGUCUUAAACCACAUGUUUAUGAUUCUAAUUAACUUAAUCUAUAAUCUUCAAAAUUCUGGAGCUAGACAGAUUCGCUUCCUUGUAUGCAGUUCUUUUGUUUUUGUUUUCCGAUAGUGGGUGUCAUUUCCAGCACUGAAAGGUUCUAGUUGAUGACAUCUUAAUCCAGAUCAUCAGAUUAUGUUUCUUUCAUAGAUAGAACUUAGAAGCUUCAUAUUUGACUUUGGAAAUAGGCCCUAAAAGAGCCUCAAUUUCAGACUUCGCUAGUCUUCUGGUUUUACUUGUAAAGUAGAAAGCUGCUUGAUGCUUUUCUCAGAUUCCUCUCCUAGCCGCAACAGUGACUGGGAAUUUUGACCCAUCUUGGAAUACAGAGCCCCUUGCGAAGCAGCUCCGCUCAUGAGUCCUUUCAUCCAUCUCGAAGACUCAAGAGAGAUAACUAGUCUGAAAAGAUCUAUCAUUAACAAGUUCACAAUCCCAUUGAGACAUUCCACAUGGAACUCAACAAACUUGUAUACUAGCUCUGCGGUAAGAACACGAGGGGAGAUAAUCUGGCCAAACAAUGAGUGUGGACUUUGUUAUGGUUUGGUAUCCCACAGUAGAACCAUCCAGCACGACUGAGUUAAGAAACAAAGUAAUGUUUGGACUCAAAGCACGUACUGCAGAGAGCCACAUAUGUUCCAAUAACUCCGUUUCAUCACAGUAUGCUUACACAAGGUCUAGAGACUUAUAGUUGGGGGUAUAGAAUUUCUACUACCAAAAAGACUAAAGAGAUGAAAAGAUGAACACAAACAAAUACUAAUUUUCAACAACAGGUCUAUUUUUCCAAUUAGAAUUACCCUAAUCUCUCAUGUUCCUUUAUUUCUUUGUCAACAAAAGAAUUAAAGGAUAGAAAGAGAGAGGGUUACAAGUAAUACUCAAACAAGUAACUAGUAAACGAUAGUAAUGCAUAAAAGUCCUCCUACGCAAAUUUACUUUCAACAUCCCACAGCAAGAAUCUAAAAAUCGUACACAUAACAGCUACAAGUUCAAUGAAAACUGACAAUCCCACUUUUAGACAUUAGUAGCGGUCAAAAGAAGAUGGGCGGCCUCCCCUGCUAGGGCGGUCGUAAGGGCCAGCCCUGCUACGGUAACCUCCCUCAUCUCUUGCUGGACCUCCUCUUCCAUAUCUAUCACUGCCACCUCUCACUCCACCAUCCCUGUCAUAGCCUCUGUCUUUUCCAUAGCCAUUUUGGGGGUAACGAUCAGAACCACCAUAUCUGUCACUAGCGAAACGAUCACCAGCUGGGUACCUGGAGAGAAUAAGUGCAGAAAGUACAGCAUAAGUGCAACUGUAUAAUUAAUUUUUUUUUUUCUCCCAUCACAUGUACAUAAAACAAAAUGUUUUAUUUAAGCAUUAAAGAAUAUAAAAGGGGGUCUGAAUGCACGCAACUCAAGUCUAUAAGCUAUAACCAUACAUAACGACAGAAUGGAACAAGUAGUGGAGAAGUAAUUGAUACCUGUCACUGACAUAGCGAUCACGGCUCCCAUAUUUGUCCUCCCUGCUGUCAAAACGAUCCCUAUCUCCAUAGCGCCCUCCAUCAUAACGGUCAUCCAUGUAGCGAUCAUGAUCUCCACCAAAGCGAUCCACACGCCCACCUCCCCCAAACCUAGAAUGUGAAGAGAAUGAACCUCCCCCUCCACCUCUUCCACCACCAGCAGAUGGGCAGUCUCGAGCCCAAUGUCCUGUACGCCCACACUUGAAGCAUUCAUCUUGGCCCACAGAUCUAUCACCACCUCCUCCAUAGCUUCUCCUGCCACCAGAAGAGUAUCCUCCCCCUCCUCCUCCUCCUCUAUAGCCAUGAUCAGAAUCUUCACCUCCCAUCCUGGGUUGGGCUUUGUUCACAGAGAUAGUGCGGGAACCCAAUUCCUGUCCAUGCAUCUCCCGGAUUGCAUCUUCCAUUGCUCGUCGAUCUCCAAAUGUGAUAAAACCAAAACCACGAGGACGCUUUGUAUCUCUUUCCAGCAUGAUCUGCAGAAAUUCUACAUUAGAGUGAUCAUACCCAGCGUCUACAUAAACAAAAAAAUUAGAGUGAUUUCUUCUCAACACAAUGAUACUUGCAAGAUUUGCAAGUUAGACAGAAAGAGCAUCAAACAACAAAAAUUAAGGAUGCAUUGCAUUAGACAUGUAUGACUCCACCACUCGGAAAAUUAAGGAUUCAUUGCAUUAUAAUAUGCAUUAUAAUUGCAUUCUACUAAUUCGAAGUAUCAAUAUGUAUAAUGUGAUACCACUGAACUGACAAAUGUGUUUCAAAGCAUGAUAAAUAAUGAGAAUACAAUUCAUAUAAUAUAUAAAUAGGAUAGAACAUUGCAAGUAGGGCAUGAUCCGGUUUAACUGAGAAUCUGAGAUUAACAAGCAAUUGAAACUAAACCCACACCGUAAACACACAUCUAAGAGAGGACAGGCAUUAUAAAUUAGACCAAUCAAGCAAUGAGUGAUUCAGAAUAUAUUUUAUCGUGCGAGUGACUAACUAAAGAACAAUAAAAUUGGAGACGCAAUAGGGAUUGUACCUAAAAUACGUUUUGCAACAAUCUAACUGGUAAUUAAAAAUGAGUUUAUACUUACUUUCCUUUUAUAAAUAUGGAUAACAGAGCACCAUUUCAUACUGGAAUAUUUCUGAUACUAGAAGAAUCCACAUCUGACAACAGAUGACCACUGACCUCGAAUUCCCACAACAUCAAAUGUACUGGUUCCAGCAUAAACUGUUCCAGCAUAAAUGCAUAUAGUCUCUACGCCCAGAACACUAUCACUUACACCAGCAGUUACAUCGACACCCCAAACAUCUGUCUUGUAGUCACAAAACCAAUAUUCUUCUGGCAAAGCUACACAGAUCAGCCAGAAAAAGGCAGCUCUUGCAGCAGUUGAUCUUUAAACUAUUCAAAAUUAACAACUUAUAAAUACAUCUAGUUACCCACGGCAGACAUCUCUACUCUGCAUACUAUGACCAACGUGUUCCAUAACUACAUGGCUCCAUCAGUCUUUCAACAAGUCAGAAACAGUAACCAAAACAUUCAUAAACAAGCAAGAUACUCUGUCCAAGAUAAUGCUGAUUCUCUUUCCAUCAACUAACCCUGAUAUAGUCAACACCUGAAAUCAUAUUUGUGUUUCUGGCUUUUUUGAUUUUUAGGAAAAUCCUACAAUUUUUAGUACUAUCAAAAAUUCGAACCCUCAGGUAUUAAGGAGUCUUAAAUCAAAGUUUCAACUAUAAAUACGCUAGAAACCAUCGAUAGAUAGUGAAGCAGUGAUGUUGCUGAGCUCAGACUUGUCCACACAAUAUGAUAAUCAAACAGAAUACUCCUUCUGACACUUUCAAAAGUGAAACUGAUCUGAAUGAUGACUCAAAAGACCAACAGACUGCAUUGCAAAAACGUGGUCAUAUGUGAACUUGCCAGACUGACAGUGUUGGAAGCCCCAGUGCUAAUGUCAAAAAAACUCUACAAGGUCUAGAUGAUCUUCAUUCCCCGCUAAACCAGCAUAAAUAGCUUAAUCAUCACAACAAAACAAUAAUAGCAGAUAAUAAGCAGUUCAAACAAAGUUCAAGUGCAAGGCUCAAAAGCAGCCCUAACUUCAAGUGUGCUCCUCAUUAGCAGAUGAGAGGAACCCAUUGUCAGCCAGAAACAGUUUAGAGUCACUAACCCAGACUAACCCCUCAAGCAUGAACUAACUAAAUCUGACACUUUGGAACCUCACCCAAUCAGUCAUCAGAAGUCUACUAUAUCUGAACAAAAAGUUAGCAAGAGACGACAAAAGCUUUGCGAUAUAGUAGCCACUAAGAAUCUGCCCACAUAACAGAUGAUUGAGUUGAAGUAGAUGACCCUCUGAAUUCUAUGAGAGCAGAAACAUGUGACAUGAAGGAGGAGGAGAAAUUAUCCGGCUCAAAGAUCUCUCAGAAGACAGACACAACCUUCACCGUCAUGUUUUGAAUCAAACCAACCAAAAAUAUUGGCAAGCUGAUAGAUAUAUGGGCCUUUGUUCUACUUAGAAAAAUAAAAUAAAAAAACUUCUUGCAGCAAAAGAACCAAAUCACUGGUUCAAGCAACAACCAUCUGAGGCUUCAGCACUCGAUGAAAAGAACCCAAAAACAGAAAGCAUAACUUCAGAGCAAGAAACUUCUCAUAUUUGACAUGUCAUCUGACUUGUCAUUUAGUCGUUUGAUCCUCUAAGCAAUACUUAUGGUCCAACUUCCCAACAUUACCACAGGACUUUCUUGUGGAACUCGCAUCUCUUCCAAGAGAUUAAACCUAAAAUUAGCUGCCUUGAACCAAACUCCACAAAUCGCGAGACCAUCUGCUAAUGUUUCUAUUUCCUGUCUUGAGAUCUGUAGUCCCAGCAGCUAUAAUCUACUACCAAAAACGACACACAGUCUGCAAACUCGAUGCGACCACUUAACAAAAACAGCUCUACGAAAUAUCCAUCAAUGCACGGCAUCAAAAGAUCAUAACUCCACAGAACAAGAAAACAAAAGAGCAUUAAUAUACAAAGAUAACAGCAAAGUAAAAUAAAGUAUCGUACAGAGAAUCAUCAAAACAGUAUCAAACACAUCUAUACAAUCUAUGUAGUGUACUAUAUCCAUACAAUCUCACUGCUCAAGAUCCCGAUACUACAACACCUUGCGUUUUGAACAGUAAAUUCACCAAAAUCAAAUCAAAAUUAAGCAUUUUACACUCCGAAAACCUUUGCAAGUCUCAAAUUUCAUUCCAACUUUAAAACCGAAAAUGUCAAAUUUUCUUUUUUGUUUCACAAAAUAGCACCGAAAUUCUCAAUCAAAGAAUCUAGCAGCAGAUCAAACGAGAGCCUCCAACUGAUUAACACAACCAAUCUUGAACCUUCUUUUACUAAAAUCCCUAAAUCGAACCCCGAAUUUCAGAAAGAAAUUUCAAAACCAGCAAAAAUUUUUCAUAAAGUUUUCAAGCAAAAGCAAAGAAGCUUCAACCUAUAAAGCGCAAGGCACACAAUUACAAGCGUCGGAGAACGAAUUGGGGGUUACCUGCGCUUCAUGGACUUUGCCAAAGCGAGCGAAGGCGCUCUCGAGCUCAUGCUCUGUGACUUCAUAGGCUAAACCUCCGACGAAGAUUCGGUACUCUUCUCUCCCGGCCAUCUCUCUCUUUCUCUCUUUCACUCUGUGUAUUUUGGUUUGUACCCAAACCCUAACCGCUUCGGCUUCUCUUUCUAUUGCCUCAGUCUUGCUUUGAAUUUCUUUUUCCCCUUUUCUUUUUCUAUUUAUUUACUUUGUAAAUUAGGAUAGGCCCCAAUUUUUGAGGUCCUUUUCACUUUAGUCCUCCAACUUUUGUUUUUUUUCUUUAGUGCUCCAAAAUAUUGUAAUUUUGUAGUAAGAGUUGUUAGAUUAGAUUUGAAUGAGACAUACAACUAAAUAUGACUAAUUUAAUGACUCAAUUAUAUAGUUUUAAUACUUCGGAGCACUGUGUAAUGUAAAGAAAAUCUCCAAAGCAACUAUAAAUCCCUCUAGAAUUUUGUGUCUUUUUGUAGAGAAUUGUAGUCUAAUAGUAAUUUUCUCUUCUCCAUCUUUGAUGUCAGGUCAAGUGACAAGUGUCGAGUUCGAAUCUCAGGGCGAAGCAAAGACAAGAAAGAGAAAAAAGAACUGAUCGAUCUUGAUUCAUUAUAGCAUUGGAGGAUGAAACAAUUGCAAAUAGUUACAGCUGUGAAAGAAUUACAUCAAUGGACAUACAUAAUUUACAGGGCUGUACAUGAAAUGGCACAGGUAUCAACAAGUGAUUGAAGUGUGAUCAACUUUCAGGCUUUUCAUCCCUACUUCUAUUGUUCUGAUAAAAGGGGGAGCCUAGUAACACUGCUACCACCACCCCCACCAGUUAGUGAUUUAGAGUUGGUCGAUUUUAUAGAACCGGAUUUUACAGGUUUUGAUGAACUCUUCUUGUUUAUCCUCAUGGGAAGAAUCUGCAACCUCGGAUUGCGCUUAGUGCCUGAAUUUUCAGCUGCCAACUGAUAACUUUCCACCAGUUCCAGCUGUCUAGCAAUUAUUUCGGAGCAUCUUGGAAGGAGCUCUACUGCCUCUCCACCAGGAAUUACAAUAUACUCGAUUGCAAGUCGAACCUCCUGACACAAACAAAAGGAAAUAUGUGGUACCAUUAAGCAGAUGAUAUAUGCUGACAGAUUCAAAAUCAGAAAUACUGAAAGCAAAUGUGGAGUUGCAUAGCGUACAACAGAGAGGACAAUUUCUCAGAAACUGCCGGUAGAGGUAUCCAUAGAAAAUACGUGGGAUGGGAAAGGAAAUGCACCUCCAAUGCAUCGAUCUCUUCUAAAGAUGGUUUUCUUUUGGGUGCAUCAUCUUCAAUUUCAAUGUCAAAGGAAUUAUUGACAAGCUGCUUUGGCAAAGAGCCAACUGAUUCCAUUUCAAGAAUCAUACGAACUGCCUUCACGAUUUGAGCCAUGGUAUUUGACUGCAAGAUAAACAUCAAAUAUGUGAGUGAGCCCCAGCAAGAUUACAGGCAUAUACAGAUACAAUACAUAGACACAGAAAGUCUAAACGGACAUUACCUUCAUGACAAAUACAGGCAACUGGUGAAAUUUUGCUACACUACGGAUCCAUGGGUUUUGCUUCAUUUCAGCACUUGAUGCUAUAAUUGCAUCUGCUGUUCCAAUAUCAUCAGAUACCUCAAUUUCAUCCUCAAGCCCCAUUACCUUUGCUACUUGCAGUAGGUCAGCUUCAAGGAUCUGCAAACAAACAAAAAUGAAGGGUCAAUUGAGAUCAUCUGCCUAGUCAGCAACUAUUGACAAUACAAGUUCUUAGGGGUUUUGGUCAAAUUACAUCCUUCAUGGGUGUAGAUUUCCAAUUAAAGCAGAAAGUGAACCAUGUGGAAACCAAGUAUUUUACCUUGUAUGUAUAUAUACACACUGGUGAACUUCUCUUCUUCGCAGAUUUAUCACUGCUCAAUCUUCUAGACACAUUGGGUGGAGGAUCUAGAUCUUCCUCGUCAGACUCCAAAACACUAGCAACUAUGUCUGUAGUAACAACAAAAUCUGAUGCUUUCAGAUAGUUGUGUUCAGAGAUUUGAGUAGGCAUGCAAGAGUCAUCAGCAUCAGCAUCAAUACGACGAACUUCAAACAAAGGAGAUUUCCCUAUAAGCCAGAAACCUUCAUAUCAGAUUAGGUGUUCCCUUACAACUACUCAAGUAAUAAGUACAGAUUCUAAAGGAGAAAAUGUGAAGUACCAGCUAGUAUAGCAUCAACUGUUGCAUCUAAUCUGUGAUGAACACGAAAUUCUGUUUUAGAUAUGAUCUCAACAGCACAUGUAAAUGUAGGAGGCCCCUUUCUUUCAAGAAUUGUCUUUUGAACUUUCCUCUUUCUCGCUUCUUCAUCUCCCAGGGUCACACUCUGCAAUUUACAUGAAGAAUUCCUUUAAUCUAUCAACAUUUCUUAUCCGGGAACUGCUUAAAUGGUAAUACCAAUAAUGAAUGAUCAUUGCACUGGAAAGGAUAAUUCAUACAAUAUGGCACCUUGCAGAAUUAAUGCCACUUUGUAUACCCUCUUUUAUUUGGUUAAUCACUUUGUACACUUACAAAAUGAUAAACUUGAUGCAUACCAGAAACACAAUUGAAAAAUGUAUAUAACUCCAAUUUGAAUGAAUAUAGAGUGGAUGGCAUUGUACCUCUAUGCCACCAACAAGGAUUUGUAAAGAAGGAUUCUUUAUGAUGUUGUCUAUUGUCAUUCCAUGUGCAGUUCCAACUAGUUGAACUCCUCUUUGGGCAAUAGUGCUGGCAGCCAAUGCUUCAAGCUCUGUCCCAAUUUCAUCUAUUAUAAUGGUUUGAGGCAUAUGAUUUUCAACUGCUUCAAUCAUAAUCUGCACAAAAGGAAAGGGCAAAAGAGAUUAUACAACCAAAUGAGUUGCAAAAGCGUAAUACUACUGGGGAACUAAAGCAACAGUGACAGAAAUGAGCCCUAUAAUCAAUGUCAACACUCACAUUAUGCUGCAUGUUGACAUUAGGAACUUGCAUCCUCCUUGCACGGCCUAUUCCUGCAUGCGGAACAUCUCCAUCUCCUCCAAUCUCAUUAGAUGUAUCCACUAUUACCACACGCUUCAUAUGCUCAUCUGCCAACAUUCUAGCAAUUUCUCUGCACCAACAACACAUCCAAACAAAAUUCAGAACAUCUUCGCUCUUUGAUUCCAGGUCACAGUAGGAAAACAUCAAAGUAGUACAUAUACCUGAUCAAGGUCGUCUUGCCAACUCCGGGAGGUCCUAUCACCAAGAUUGAACCUCCACCCUCAACCAAGUCGCGGAUGACCUCGGCACUCCCUGACACCGCUCUCCCCACCCGGCAAGUAAGUCCAAUGAUUUGCAGCUUUCGGUUUCGAAUAGCACUAAUACGAUGUAACGAGUUAUUAAUUCCAGAACGGUUAUCAUCCGAAAACUCACUAACCUGCAAACAAAACAAAAUUUCCAAAAUCGAAUAAGAAAACAUACCAAAAAAAAUAGUUCCAUCUUCAUCAAUCAACUUCUAAGUAAGCAUAUAAAAAGUUGCAGUCUUGUUUAAAUUGUUUAAAUAAAGUGAUUAGUUACCUACUAAAGAAUUAAACCAAUAAUUAACACCGCUAACCACCAAAAUGGCUUAAUUACUAUUUCUAGAGAACAAUUGUCACAGUCUUUUAUCACCUUAGAAACAGCGAGCCGGAGAUCUUCAUGGCUGACCGGAGUCUCCGAGAUCACCCAAUCACCGGUCGGAAACCUCGCGAUCGGAGGCCGCCCCAAAUCCAUCACAACCUCAAUGAGCUUCCCGAUCUCCUCAUGCCUGUACAGCUCGCUCUUCAUCCUCUCCGGCAGCAGCUCCAGAAACAUCUCCAUCUCCGUCCGCGACGUGGACGCCGAGCUCCCGGAACUCGAAGACGGAGAGUUACCGGAGAAGAACCGAUCCGAGGGGCGGCGAAUCUCCGGCGCCGGCGAGGUGGAGGAGUGUCGGGACGAAGCGAUUGACUUGUGCGCGCCACGUGUCCGACGAAAUGAGGAGGAGAGUUUGGAGGUGUGGAGAUAGCAGAGGGUGGAGAUGGGGAUUUGGUUGGCCGAGUGCCAUGAGGUCUGGAGAUCGAGUAGCACCAAUUGCGAGCUCAGAGCUCUCAUUCUGUUACAGACUGGGAUUUUGCUUUGAUAAUUUUUUUUUUUUUUUUUUAAGCUAACGAUCGGCGAGAAGAUUCGGGGGUAUCUCCACUGGGAUUGGAGCAUAUUUUGGAGGGAAGAUGGGGCCCACUAACCAAAGAAGUUCAUACACGUGGGGGCUGCUUCAACAGCCACACAAUUUUCCUCACCCUCCUUUUCAUUUUCAGACAAAAUAGAAUUCUCGAAAAUUUGUAUUUCUCUGUUCCUUGGUGUAUACGAUUGUGAAAAAUACACACUACACUGAGUACACGUAUAGAUUAGUCUGAUUCUGCUGAAAUAUUUUCAUGAAUCUCGAUGUAAAUAAUUAAAUACUGACGUGGUGGCUGUGUUGAUCAAGGAUAUAAUUGAAGUAGCUUGAUAUCUAAUUUUAACCCAAGUAGCUGAUAUCUAAUUUUAAGAAGAAAGAAAACAAGGAUGAAAAAGAAAAAAAUUGUAUGAAAGGCUGGAUGGCAAAUCCCAACACGCUUCCAGUCCUAUAGGAAUGGUCCGAAUGUGAGUAGGAGGAAAUUUUGUACUUAGUUGACGUUGGAAACUAUCAACUUGAACCAAACUAAAUGAACAUAAUUUCAGCCGUGCAAGGUUGGGGCAGGUCACUGACAAAGACGGCACCGCUGUGGCUGCUGACUAUUUCGGAAACUCAUACUAUGGUGGAAGAUCAAAGAGAGAAAGAAAUGCUAAGCAGUUGGCAUCUACUAAGAUGGCAAGUUCUAGGAGCAAUGCAAGUCAAGGUGGGAGGUAUGGGGGGUUAUGCAACUGAUAAACGGUCAUUUAUUUAUGCACAUUAUACGGUUUACACUUCAUACUCGGUUAGAGUAUUGCUGCAAUAUAGGCUUGAGGCUCAGAAACUACGCUGUACAUUGAUAAGGAUGGAAGCUGCUGACUAAAUUUGGCGCAAUCUAUUCCCAACCCAUCAGUAUAUUUCUUACACCUUCCUCGAUUUUGUUCCUUGGCACCGAAGGACAGAAUCCUUCAUCUAGCAGGAAUCUGUAGACCUCCCACUCCCGAUCUCGGAUCAUGUGUCUCACUAUCUCAGCCUGAAACAAGUUGGUAAAGAACACAAUGAAUGGUAGAAGGACGAAUUAUGUUGGAUAUCAAACCAAGAUGUAGGAUAUCACUGGAAUAAGACACUUAUAGUGGUGGUUAGAGCUAAUACCGAGAAGAUGCGUGUGCUCAGAUCUUUGAGGGCAAGAGUAAUGUCAUAAAAGACAAGAGGCCGGCCCCUGCCGGACAACUCAACCGGGUUUGCUACCAACAGCUCGGUGUCAGGGCCGCGGUUCACCACAGCCACACGAAGCGGACACAAAAGCUCCGCUCUCAAGCGAGAACACAAGGCAUCUUGCUUCUUGCUGUCAACAAUCUUCUUGCCAUCUGGUUGCACUACAAACAAGUCCAGCUCACAAUUCCCUUUUGUGUUCUCAUAGAAUCGUCCAUAAGAAACCUGAUAUUAAACCCAUAUUUUAUAUACAAUGGUCAGUAUUAUUCACUAAUAUGGUAAAUCACAACAACAACAAAGAGGAGGACUAAAUUGAAUUUUAUCAGCCAAAAAAGGCUAGAAGCACUGGCAUGAUACAAACCUUUUGCUCGCCAGAACUCACUACUGAUUAUAAAUAUAUCAAUUAUACCAACUUUACUUUACAUACAUCUCUCUAGUAUGAUUUUACCUGAACUCCUUGACCCAUGUAAAGUUUAUUGAAGUUUUAUUAGGAGAUUGAGAGCAUACAUCAAGCAUUUAACGUCAAACUAAUUAGUUUCUGCAUACUAACAUCUAUAUUAACAACAAUGACAUGUUUGAUGUGAGAAGGUAAAAUUGUGAACAGACCCUAAAAUUUUAUUUCUCCCCAAAAUUACAUAGCUUAAAAAAGAUGUACCUGAAGGUUGCAAUCCUUUAGUGUUCUCAUGAUGUCAUACACUAGACCUUUAUGAUCUGGACAGAAUAUUUGAACUAGUGUGUGAGAUGGGCUGAGGUUAUUGUCCACUGUUAUCGAAAUGGGAAUGGAGGCAAAAGGUCUUUUUAGGUGGCCGUUGGUCCACUCCAAACUUAACAUUUCUUCAGUGAUUUCAGAAGGAAGAUAAUGAGAACCCUGUGAACAUGCAGUAACUUUUGACUCGGCCAAUUCAAUUUCACAACCCAAUAAGACAUUCCCCAAGACAGCUUUCAGGCAAUGAAUUGUUUCAUCUUGCCGUCUUUUUGUAUGCAGCAGUUCUCUGAUUGAGAAAGAGAAAGAAUAUGAUUAGCCAUAUCUUAGGAGGAAAGAUGAAACAAUCUCAGAACUGACCCUCAACUGAUGUGCCCUCACACAGACACGAUGAUACACUAACACCUAGACCGGUAUAUAAUAAUUGCAAAAACAAGUUUAAAGAACCUAACUGAAAAUAUUUUGCAAACAAAAAUUGAAGGAACCAUGUUGAGGAUCUGUUUCUCUUUUACUCUAGAAUGAAACUUGAGAAGUAGAUAUACCAAAAAAAGAAAGAAAAGGAAAGGCAGAAAUGAUGCACCAUAUAUAGAUAGGGAAAUAAUGUCAAGAGUGACAAACCUGGUAUCUGUAACAAAAAAAAGGUCCAUCACUUUCCCAUCUGGGGUAGUAGACACCUUCACUCUCUCUAUUGUGAGUUCAAGCUCACAAAGAACCUUAGUGACAUCUAUUCAGUAAAAAGAAUCAAUAAUAAUCCCAAACUAAAAAUAUAUAGAAGUAUAGAUGGCACUUUUUUCUCAGAUAUAGAUACAUCGAAACAAGUAGGGUAUACCAGGUAAAGGAAAUGAAAGAAAAGACACAGAUAGAACCAUCACUUCUACAUUGAAGUUGCCAAAUGGAUAUGCACCUCAUUAUUCAUUCAACAUGACCCCUAGUUUGAUUUCUUUUCUCUAAAUGGGGAUAAUACAAUUACUGUACUCAUCUAUGCAUAAAAAUAGAUCACAAUGUUAAAGCUUUAAAUAGGCCAGUCUGAAGAAUAGUUUAUGAGUAACCUCAAUCAAUUUCAUAAAUUACUAAAUUUGGUAAAUUUUAGUUUAUACAUUAUGAGGGAAAUAAAAACUACUGAUAAAGCUUACAUCCUCGUAUACUGUUAUACAUAGAAAUCAAUUAUUUUCAGUCAGUACUCAGAUAUAGUCUAUAGUCUAUAUGAAGAACCCAAAUUGUCAUCAUUAUAAAGAUCACCGACUCUCUCUCUCUCUCUAUCAUCAUAACAAAAGAAGUGAUCUUUUCCAGCUCAAACUGUUACUAGGAUAGUUGCAUUGAAGAUUGAGAAAGUGUGAUGAAUCAUUUAGCAAGAGCAAACAACCGAAACAUUACUGUUAGAACCCAAAUGACAAAAUUCUCUAAGUCUUGUUCAUCUAAGUAAAAGUAAGCUGUGAAGAAUCAAUUCAGAGUGAACAAGUAAUCAUGCAAUGACAAUCUUGGAAAUGAAAGUUUACCAUGCAAUAGGCCUUCCUGUUCAUAAGAGCACCAGAAUUUCAAAAGGAACACAUCUAGUGGCUUCGGCUGCUGAUUCUCCGGCCGAUAAUAGUAUAUCCCAGAAGUGGUAAAGUAUGAUGGACACACUUCUAACAAUCUCUUUGUCAGCAAAUUCCACCUAGUCUCCGGCUUUCCCACCACCCAAAACACUAUGUAGCACCAUUUUCCGUCGGUCGAAACAUCUUCAACACAAAAGCAACAAAAAAUGUUCACUUUCAUCAAAACAGUAUUGAAUUCUACUAAUUUUCCACUACAAAUUCUAUGAUCCAUCAAGAAUGCCUUACUUUCUGCUUUACAACAAAAGAUCCUAAACUGAAGACUCAUUCUUUGUGUCUCUCUAAAGCUCGGAUCGACCAAUUAGUGUUUCAGCAAACUUCAAUAAAAUUCAUUACAUGCAUUCUCAAGAAUUUCAGAUCCAAAUAGUAAAAAACUUUUCAAUGUUCAAAACAAACCACACCACUUUCCCAGCUCAAAAUAAAAAACCACCUCCAGAAAAACCUCAAAUUACUCAGAAAAACAAAGCAAUCAAACCAAAAGCUUAAGAAAACCUCACCUCCUCUGCAAAUGCUCAGCCCAAACAACAAUAUGACCCUGCACAGAUCACAGCCUAACCCAGUUUUGUCGGGGCAAUUCACAGUGACCACAGUGGGAUCUCCAGCCUUCUCUCCCUGGCUAAUCACUACCACGUCCUCAUGCAAAAUGCCCAUUCCCGCCAAGUUCCUCUGUUUUUUUUUUUUUUUUGUUCUCUGUUUUCCGGUGACCAGAAAACUGAGCAAAAAGAUACCCAAGUUGGGUCUGGUGGGUAUCUUCCGAUUCUUGCUCUUGUUUUUUAAUGAGCAAAAUUAGUGGGAGAUUCCAAAUAAUAGAGGAAGAGUUUGAGAUCAGAUAGAAUCAUCCAGAUAGAAGAUAACAGAUGAUGGUUCUGUUUACUUAUGGAAUAUCAAUUUCUCAUAUUUAUCGGUGGGAGAGACUGAGUGAGAGACAGAGAUUAAAGUCUUCGAGACGUGGUGAGUAGGUGGACUCGAGUAUAGUUGAGACUGAUUUUCAAAGACAACUUUUUCGGUGUUGGUUUCCGACCGUCCUUAAUUUUCUGCUAUUUCAUGAAAACUAACAAAUAGAGUUUGGUGAAGUUCAAGUGGACCGGAAUCGUCCUACUAUAGGGGAACACCAUUAAUCAAUUUUGUUUUACAUGAUUUUGUUAUAAAUGAAAAAGAAUUAUGAUUAAUGAUACAGUCAUGAUUUAUUAGUAUAAAAUCUUAAAAAGGAAAUGGCCAUUAAGAAAUUUUUGGUUUCUAUAAAAAAAUAUGUCGACGGCAAGUCCCCUCAUCAUAUGUGGAAAUUGCGAAAUCGGUAGGUUAUUUAUGAUAUACAUACAUGGAGGAAGAUGCUACCGGUUCGUUGGGAGGUGGCAGAGAUAGAGAUCUAGUUUCAAUUAGUGUUGAAUGCCCUUUAUUGUUUCGAGUCAAGGUAUGAUAUUAGACUUACUAGUAGGUCAACAUAUUUAUGAGUUGACUGAAUUAUAAGCUGAUUUCAUGUCUAGUUACUCAUGUUGCUCUUAUGUCAAUACGGCUCAUGAUUCAAAAGUUCAUUAUAAGUAACGUUGCGAGCCUCCGUUGAGAAGCAAAAGAACCUAAGAAAAUUUUGAAUUCAUCGGUAUUUUAGAUAAAAUCUCAACAGUUCAUUUCUGACUAAUUUGGUGCUAAUCUCUUAUAGGGCUGAAUUCAGACGUUGCAUAAUGUGAUAUGUUGAAGUUUACGUAAGAAACUCGUAUGAAUGACUAUAAUGAAAAAUGCACAAAGGAGUACCAUAGUUCCCCAAAUGUAGACCAACAUUACGAAAAGGAAGGAAAACCUUCACCGAACACAUUUGAGAAAAGCACCUCACGCACAACUUGAUCUAGAGUGAGAAAUUGAAAAAUGUUGAAAAAUUAUUCUUGAUUCUAAUAUGCCAUUCUAGAAGCUCCAAAAGCUAGUGAGGUCAUGUAUGAUAUAACUUCGCAUGUAAAAAAAUCAGCUUUUUAUUCAAAAAAUUUAGAUUUUAUAGUGUUUAGCAAAUUAAUGAAAAUCAGCUUUAAAAUAAAUAAAUUACAUGUUAUUGCAAACGCUUUAAGAAACAAUCAGAAUGUUACUUUUAGAAGCUAUUGUCAAUAAAAACACUAAAAAAUAUUACAUUUUGUAUCUGCAUCAUUUUUAGAACUACUAUUACUAAACACAAACCAUUUUAAUUCAUAACUAAUUAUUUUCGUAGUACAACAACUACAUUUUUUCUACUUCUUAAAGUCGCAAUAACAAACUAACCUUGAUUUGAGUUCAAAUUUCCUUAUUUUCACUCAUCCGGGACUUAAAACGUGAAAUAUAAAUUACGUUAUAUGACAUGACACCGAUCCGUAAACGAGUCGCAAGAAACUAUCUGCUACACAUGUCUUUUUUUACAACAAACGGUCAUAAUUCGUAUGACAACUAAAGUUGUAUUGUGCUAAACUAACCCAUAUCUUAGCAAUUCAUGUCUUGUUAUCACACAAUAUAAGAAUGCAAAAAGUCAUAAAGAAACUAGAAAGUUUUGAACAAUUCUUCUACUCCCAUACUAAGCACUUUAGAGUUGUUUCAAAAUGUUUCGAUAGAGCGCGUCCUAGUGACCGACCCUAGCAGACUUGGAGGAGUAUGUUGUGGGAGGACAUAUAUUACAAUAUUGAAGUUCUUCCUAGAGAUGGAGCUCCAAAGACCCAUCUUCGUACCAGCAUCAAGGUUGUGUGAAUCAUCGACAUGAUUAGAAAAAUCCUCCUUAGUUGGAGUGCGGAGAUCGCUCUUCUUGCAGCGGUACACCGACGAAUCAACACAAUCAUGAGAUAUCUUUUGACGAAAGCCUGCAGCUUCUCACUUGGGAGGUUAGUAAACGAAAGCUUACUCUUAUGAGCCAUCCUCUUCUUCUCUCUUAUUCAUCCACUGAGAUUCUCUCUUCUUAAAUAACAAAAUUAUCAUUGAAAUAUCGGCGAUUUAAUCUUUACACAACAUGAGAAUAUCUAAAUAUUGCAAUAUUUGCGCGAAACUCACGAAAUCUUGUUAAUAAAUCAGCCCAUUUCUCUUUAUUGAGAAAUCGAAGAAGCUAUCCAAAAGGUUUUGCCAAGCCUACUCGUAUAUAUGGUCAUUAACUCGGCCCAAACUUAUGAAAUUAACACUAAAGUCUUGGCGUAGCGUAGGUAACAUGAUUCGAACCCAGGUUGUCACAUGUUAUAUCUCACAUUCUCAACCAAUCCUCUUAAGUCUUAAGAUACACUUAAUAGUCUAUUAUAUAAACUCUACAUAUAUUUUCACACUUUUAAACUUUCCUUUCGAAAUUUUAUUAAUAUCACUAUCAAAAUAUCUAUUUUUCUGACAGUCGAAAUUUUCUCGAAACGCGAUAUUUUAGUCCUUAAUUUGAUGCCUAAGCUACUUCGCUCCUCCAAACUGGGCCGGUGUUGGAUCAAACAAACAGAAACUUGAAAGGAGGAGAACGAUACAAGUCAUACAACUACGUUGAUUUUAAACAGAAACUUGAAAAGAGAACGAUACAACUACGUUGGUUUCUAACCCAAUGGAUGCCUAUGUUUGGGCCAAUAUUCCAUUUUCCUUUUUAAUAAUUUUUUUUCUUUCUAGCAGCUAGACAGCUAGUUAACCAAUUGUGAAGCUACACAACUAGGACUUGCAGCGGAAAACGACUACCACGCGUUGCAUGGAGAGGUUAGGUCCUGCAUGCAACUCCGCCGCCCGUAAAUCUCCUACUGACAGCUCUACCCCUCGAUUUGCAGAUACCGAUGUAUAACCCGAGGACAAAACGGUAAUCGUUGAUACUCCGAGCCGGACAUAAAACCAUCCAAGAACAAAGAAGAGAACCACCACCGGAAAAAUGGCCGGACCACCUCUACCUCCACCUCUUCUAACGUGUUUGGUGGGUGUUGCAGUCUUAAUCUGCGCACUAACCCUCUGUGUUGCCCUAGAUGUCAGCCCCCAAGACCCAAUCAUCCACCAAGUCACAGACCAUGAUACUAAUAAGCUCCUUGGAACCGAAAAAGAGUUCAAGAUUUUCAUGGAGAAGUAUGGGAAGAAGUACCCUACUAUGAAGGAGUACAUGCACCGCCUCGGUGUUUUUGCCAAGAACAUGAUCAGAGCCGCCGAGCACCAAGCUCUGGAUCCGACGGCGGUUCACGGCGUCACGCCGUUCUCGGAUCUGGAGGAGGAGGAGUUCAAGAGGAUGUACACCGGCGUAAGAGGUGCGCCCGGCUUAACCAACGGCGGAGGCGGUGCGGGAAGCACGGUUGAGCUUCUGGAUGUUAGCGGGUUGCCUGAGAGUUUUGAUUGGAGAGAAAAAGGAGCUGUUACUGAGGUCAAGAUGCAGGUAGUUAAUGUUACAGUUUCUAAUUUUCGUUUUUUUAUUAUUGUUUUUUUAGGUUGGUACUACACAAUAUAUGUGAUUAACAGUUUCGGACCGUACUUAAAUCCUAGCUUAUUGCAAAUCAAGUUAUGGCAAAUACGAUAUAGAAUUCUCGUAGCUGGUUGUAAAUUACUAAAUUGUGUAAUCUGAAGUCGAUCAGCUGAUCAGGUGCUGCUGGUUCUUUUGUUUAAUUGAUUGUAUAACUAGCUUGUGUUUGAGAGUUUGAAGUUUUGUACAGAAAGAUUUGUCUAAUGGAGCUAGGGUGUUUGUGGAACACGGAAUUUUUCUUCAGGCAAGGCGUUGUAUUGUGAUACUUAAAGCCUCUAAAUCUCUUGUUAUGGAUGCAGGGUGGCUGUGGGUCAUGCUGGGCCUUUAGCACAACAGGAGCUAUUGAAGGAGCCAAUUUCAUUGCCACUGGGAAGCUUGUUAGUCUCAGUGAACAGCAGCUUGUUGACUGUGAUCACCAGGUAAUUAAGCCUAGCCUCUCUGGAAUAUAUUGAAGUACUCAUUUAACUUUAGGGCGAUAAAAAUUUAAUUGAUUGAGCAUAUAUAUAAUAUUUGGCAUGCCUACUUAAUUAGUUUCGUUUAAUGUUUGUGGCAACUAUAAUCAAGUGUGAUGCAAAAGAGAAAGAUGCAUGUGAUCGUGGUUGUGGUGGCGGACUUAUGACAAAUGCCUACAAGUAUCUAAUGGAAAGCAGGAGGGGUUGCAAAGACGAGGUUUCAUACCCUAUACGGGGGAAAAAAGGGGCGAAAUGCAAAUUUAAUCCCUGAAAAAAGUAGCCGUGAGAGUAACCAAUUUCACCACUAUUCCCCUUGAUGAGAAUCAGAUUGCAGCGAACUUGGUCCACAAUGGUCCUCUUGCCAGUGAGUACUAAACCUGAUAAUAUGCUUAAAAAUAGCUAGGCUUUUUAUGUAUCUAUGUGUGCGUACAUAGAACUGCCUUAAGUGUCUUAUUUUCUGAAUAUGAUGUGCACUGUUUAGCAUAUUUAGAUCUGAGUGUAGAUACACCCCACUGAUACAGAAUCUUAAUUGAUGUAUGUAUGCGCAGUUGGCUUGAAUGCUAUGUUCAUGCAAACCUACAUUGGCGGUGUGUCAUGCCCUCUUGUUUGUUUCAAGAAAUGGGUGAACCACGGUGUUUUACUUGUUGGAUAUGGUGAGAGUGGCUUCUCGAUUCUCAGGCUCAGCAACAAGCCGUAUUGGAUCAUCAAGAAUUCAUGGAGCGCAAAAUGGGGAGAACAUGGUUAUUACCGACUUUGCCGAGGCCAUGGCAUGUGUGGGAUGAAUACUAUGGUGUCUGCAGUUGUGACCAGUACUCGGGCAUCCUAGCUGCAUCUCCCGAGAUUAGCUAGUAUACAAUUAUACACUAUAAUAUAUAUAUGCACCUCUCCCUUGUUUUUUCUUAAUCCGAAUUUGAUGUUCCUAUAAUCAUAUUUCAAGAAUAUUAUUGUUAAUAUGCCGAAGUGGAAAGUCUUGUUUACGUCAAAACCAAUUCGAACCAUAUUAUGUUAGCUUUAAAUGCUAGAUUGUCAGACUUCAAAUUUAAGUCGGGAAAAUUUUACAAUGUGUUAAUGUAUGUCAUGUAUUAAUUUUAUCCUAAAAUUGUAAAAUGAGUCUCUAAAAUAGUAAUAUUAGUACUCGAAGUUGUAAUAUAUAUGAGUAGUUGUAAAUUUUAUAGUUACAACAUUAGUCAUCAUGUGUCCUUAAUGUGUCUUUAAAGUAAAUUUUAUAGUUACAACAUUAGUUAUCAUGUGUACUUAAAGUGAUAAAUUGCGUGCUUAAAGUCGUAAUUGAAUCCUUAAAGUGAUUAAAAAAAGUUUUUAUAUCUUUGAGGAUUUGUAUUACAACUUUGAGGACUCAAUUACCAUUUUAAGGACACAUGAGGAUUAAUGUUGUAACUAAUUUUUUUUACAACUUUAAAGACUUAUAUUACAACUUUGAGGACUAGUUAAUAUUACUCCCGUAAAGACUCGAUCAUUUUAUAACUUGAGGACAAAGUUGAUGCAUCACAUGCAUUAACACACCAAAGUUGAUUCUCCACAAGCUUGUUGAAGAACUUGGUAGAAGUUUUGAUUUGUUGAAAGGCUUGAAGACGAGGGUUGAUCAAGGGCCGUAGAGGGUUGACGUUGAUCGAGUUUGGGCCACGAGCAGUUCCAUAUGGUGGUUGCUCUUCGUCUUGUAGUUGGUGAAGAUGUCUGCUAUUUAGCAAUUUGGGACUCUUUGGGAUUUGGCAACUUCUAAGCUUGAGAUUGAUGAAGAAUCGGCUAUUUGGCAACUUGAUGAUUCUUCAACGGUUUUGGGAGAAUUCUGAGUUCUCGGGAGUAAUUUUUUUCUCUUGUCCGGAAGUCCUUAUCUUGAUAUGAGAGGGGGUAUUUAUGGUGUCGAUGCUCCUCCGUAAAUAGAAUGCAUUAAAGUCACAACUUUAAUUGUAUUUCCUUAAUGAUAUAAUUAAAUCAAUCACUUUUGAUUGAUUGAUUCAAUUAUUCAAUUUACUAUAAUUAAAUCAAUCAAUCUUAAUUGAUCGAUUUAAUUAUGACCGAUAAGGUAUUUCACCAAUUUGAUUAAAUUCCGACUUCCUUUUCGAUAAUCGAUUUGAUUUGAUUGAUGUUUGAUUAUCGAUUGACAUUUAAUAUUUGAUUUUAGUCGGGAUUGAUGAUUUUGUUGUCGACCGACCAUUAUCAAGCCGCCAUGUGUUAUUUCCGAAGACUUUUCAACUUUGCUGACUCACGAGCCACGUAUGUAAUUUGUCAGGCCCAUGGGUUGUAUGAAUAAUUUAAUAAUUAUUAUUCUCAUUAAAUUUUAUGCGUCUACAAAUACCCCCACUUUAAGGUGUGUUGUAGUCAUGUUGUUGUCACGUGUCAGAGGUGCGACUUGAAGUUAUUUUUGAUGACACUUGUGGCGUGUUUUGCCAUCCACUCGUUUUUACGUCUGAAAUAUUGGUCCGUACCAUGAUGACAUUUUUGUUGCCUUUGAAAUUUGUAUUUUGAACGCUUGAGAAUCAUGCAUUGCGACCUUUCCAUAUGUUUAGAAUACAUGAGCAAUUUGCAUGCUUAGUGGAUAUGAUCUUCAUUUGAACAACUUCCAUACGUGGCUUUAAAUUUACCCGUCUCGCAACUAUUUUCAAUUGGUAGGAUUUGAAUGAGAGAUGAAAGCUUUUCUUUUCUUUUCUUAUCGAUUGAUGCGUGGCUGACAUUUCCUUCAUUGGUAUAAAUAAUUACCACCUUCUAAAUGAGUUUGGUCUUCUACAAGUAAGAAAUCGUGUAAUGGCUUGAUGACUUCUUGACCAAAUAGAAAAGUGAACGCAUGAUGACAUUAUAAAAUUGUACUGUAGGGUUUUGCCCUAAUCACUGUAUUCUCUUCCGUAGCUAGCCGCCCGCCCGUACUUCUUGUAAUUCUUUCUUCCUUCUUCUUUUUCUUUUUCUUUUUAUUUUUUUAUUUUACUGUAGGCCUCAGUCGUGAGUGAAGUUUGGUACGAAAAUAGGUCCAACCUUGUACCGCGAACUUGACAACGAAAUUGUGGAGGCAGGAUCAAUGCGAUGGUGCCAUGCAAUUGCGUUGUCGUAAUCCUCUCUAUUGUUUGAUUAUUGAUUUUACUAUCGCAUGCCUCCAUGCUUACUGACCCAUCCUUAUGCAUAGUGUAGUCGAUAUAUUUUUUUUCAGUUGCGGCUGAAGGGUCAUCUUUUCGGCAAGCACAGUUGAAGAAAACCCACGAGGUACGCACAGUUGAAGAAAACCUUCGAGAGACCAGAGCCUUGAGGUACUACUUUUGUUUUAGUUGAUUUUCUUAAUCCUUUGGCUUGUCCAUAUGCUUUCCGGAAGGAAACAAAGAUUGUCAAGAGUGACAACCCUCGUUUUUCAUGGUGGGUGAGCUUACUCUUUAAUCAACUUUGAUUGUCAUCUCAUUAUGCAAAGCGGCAAUUUUUUUUCUUCGCCAAGUUCGGCAGCAGCAUGGUACUAACUCUUUUUUCUAUUUUUCUUUUCAGAAUUUUGAUGGCAAAUUGAAGAACGCGAACACCUAACCGCUUGGUUUCUUUUACGUCUUGGACGUGAGAUAAACCGUUGAAAGUGUUUAGGCUUUACGUACCCUGACAGUAAUUGAAGAACAAGAACACCUAACCGCUUGAUUUAUUCCACGUUUAAGAUGUGGGAUAAAUUGCUUAAAGUGUUUAGGUUUUGCGUAGACGUAUACUAUUCCGCAUGGUGUUCUCCAAGAGUUUCAAGAAGGACACAAACAUCAUCUUUGAAGAUAUCGAGGAUAUUGAAAGUGAUGGCACCACCUCUCAUCUAAGCUCGCUCAUCUCUAACAACUUCUCGCUCAUCCUUGAUUUAACUAAUAACUUUGAGAUCAUGGGUUCAAACCUCACAGACAUAUGUAAGGUGCGUGAGUUAUUUAAUAAAAGUUUUUUUUUUUUAAAGAGCUCGCUCAUCAUGAUUUCACCUCUGUGAGCUUCGAGAAAUUUUUAAAUGCUACGGGAGGACCAUGUGGCAGUCUAACGUGGUCCUACGAUCCAAUCAAAUUUAGACAUGUGGAUUUUUUACAACUAAAAUAUAAACAAAUAUUUUCUAUUUUUUGUGAAAUGACAUUCAUGGGUAUUUAGCAAGUUCAAAUUAGGGUCUAGGGUAUAGGGUUUAAAGUUUAGGGUUAGAGUUUAGGGUAUAGGGUUUAGGGUUUAGGGUUUAGGGUUUGGGGUUUAGGGUUUAGGGCUUAGGGUUUAGUAUUAAAAAAACAACAAAAAAUCUAAAAUGGUCUUUGACAAAAUAGCUGAAAUAAUUUUUCGUAAAGAAAAUCUACAUGUCUAAAUUUGAUUGGAAAGAAGGCCCACGUCAGACUGCCACGUGGUCCUCCCGUAGCACUGAAAAAUUUCUCAUGAGCUUCAUUGACGUUUCUUCAACGUGGUGGUUGAUUCAAUUAUUUAAUUUACCAUAAUUAAAUUAAUAAUUAAAUUCAGUUUAUCUCUUUAAACUUUAAGUCGAAAAUUAGUUUGAUCCCUGAUUUUUUUUUUUUAUUUCACGUCAGUCUAUAUACUUUCACAAUUACAUCACUGUAGUCUAAAAUUUGAAUUUGGCGCUGAACAUGACUCUGUUGAUGUAGACCCGACAACAUGGCCCCAUUUUUAAGAUAUUAAAUUUUAAUUUGAACAUAAUGUCCAAACUACCCUUAUCUUCUUUUUUAGGAGAACAAAAAAUUAAUGUUGGGUGGGCUGGGUUUGAAGCCUAGACCUUAUCUUUUUUUUUUUUAAUCACGUCUGACUCUGCUGAUGUAGACCCGACAGCAUGGCCUCACUUUUAAGAUAUUAAAUUUUAAUUUGAACAUAAUGUCCAAACUACCCUUAUCUUCUUUUUUUAGGAGAACAAAAAAUUAAUGUUGGGUGGGCAGAGUUCGAAGCCUAGAGCUUGCUGUCAAAUACUAUGCUCCAAACCACUGGAGUAACUAUUGCUCAUAUACCUUUUAGUACAUCUAUAUUUAUUAGUACGAAAAAAUGAAAGGAAAAUAAUAAAUAAUAAAACUAUUUGUGAUUGUGUUCCUACCAUUCACGCCCAGACCUUUACUCCAUGCCUUCACUGAAGGUCAUAAUCCCAGAAUUUUUUUUUCUUUCAGUUUGUUUAUCCUCCUCUUCUUUUUCUUCUUUUUCCUUCAAAUCAAACUAUCAAAGAAAUCACGCUGCAAAUUCCGACCGGGAGGAUGAAGGGUGAGACGGCUUCUUCGUCGUCGGGGAAGCUAAGGAGCUUAAGGAUUGUUUCUGACGAUUCUUGAGCUUGGCAGAAGAGGGGUUUGAUAGGAAAUUCGGCAUCGAUGCGAUGGCGGAACUUCUCUGCUUUUGAGGAGCUUUGUGGCUGGAUUGGUGGGGUGGGGGGGGGGGGGGGGGGGGGAUUUGGGGGUUUGGGGUUUUCAAUGAAUUGGCUUGGUGGUCGACGGCGAUUCGGAGGUUGAAAUUGAUGGGGUGGCAUCCUCGAGGCUGCGUUCGAGGCCGGGAUCAGAGGGGUGAGGCGGAGGGACUAGGUCGUGGUCGCCUAAAGUUUAUUUUAUUUUAUUUUUUUUCCCUAGUCUCUUUAUUUCAAAAUGUCUGUUUUGUCCUUCUUAUGGGUCAUCCUGUCUGGUCCACAUCAGCAGAUGAUGUCAUGUUCGGAGUCAAAUUCAAAAUUUUAGACCACAUUGAUAUAAUUGUGAAAGUACAAGAACUGACGUGAUAAAAAAAAAUCAAGACCAAACUGAUUUUCGAACAAAAAAUUUGAGGGAGUAAACUGAAUUUAAUCCUUAAAUCAAUCAGUCUUAAUUAAUCGAUUUAAUUAUGACCGAUAAAGUAUUUCACUAAUUUGAUUAAAUUCCGACUUCAUUUUUAAUAAUCGAUUUGAUUUGAUUGAUGUCUGAUUAUCGAUUAAUGUUUAAUAUUUGAUUUUAAUUAGGAUUGAUGAUUUUGUUGUCGACCGACCAUUCACACGCCGCCACGUGACAUUUUCGAAGACUUUUCAACUUUACUGACUCACGAGCCACGUAUGCAAUUUGUCAGACCCCUGAGUUGUAUGAAUAAUUUCCGAAGACUUUUCGAUAAUCGAUUUGAUUUGAUUGAUAUCUGAUUAUUGAUUGACAUUUAAUAUUUGAUUUUAGUCGGGAUUGAUGAUUUUAUUGUCGACCGACCAUUCACACGCCGUCACGUGUCAUUUCCGAAAACUUUUCAACUUUGCUGACUCACGAGCCACAUAUGCAAUUUUUCGGGCCCCUGGGUUGUAUGAAUAAUUUAAUUGCUUCAGUUCUAUAUAUACCGCGUCCCACAUGUUUCAUCAAGUGUCAGAUAAUACAGAACCUACUUCGCCAAAAUGAAGAAAAUUGAGGUCAGUAUAAAUUCCAAACACACCAUCAAACCAUCAUCUUCCUCUACACCACUACAGCCUUACAAGCUUACCCUCCUGGACCAGCUCACUCCUCCAACGUAUGUCCCUAUGGUAUUCUUCUACCCCAUUACUGACCAUGUCUUCAAUCUUCCUCAAACCCUAGCAGACUUAAGACAAGCCCUUUCCGAGACUCUCACUUUGUACUAUCCACUCUCUGGAAGGGUCAAAAACAACCUAUACAUCGAUGAUUUUGAAGAGGGUAUCCCAUACCUUGAGGCUCGAGUGAAUUGUGACAUGACUGAUUUUCUAAGGCUUCGGAAAAUCGAGUGCCUAAAUGAGUUUGUUCCAAUAAAAACAUUUAGUAUGGAAGCAAUAUCUGAUGAGCGUUACCCCUUGCUUGGAGUUCAAGUCAACAUUUUGGACUCUGGAAUAGCAAUCGGUGUCUUCAUCUCUCACAAGCUCAUCGAUGGAAGAACGGCAUACUGUUUUCUCAAGUCCUGGGGUGCUGUUUUUCGAGGGUGUCGUGAAGAUGUCAUACAUCCUAGUCUCUCUGAAGCAGCAUUGCUUUUCCCACCGAGAGAUGACUUGCCUGAAAAGUAUGCCGGUCAGAUGGAAGGGUUAUGGUUUGCCGGAAAGAAUGUUGCUACAAGGAGAUUUGUAUUUGGUGCGAAAGUCAUAUCUUCAAUUCAAGAUGAAGCGAAGAGCGAGUCCGUGCCCAAGCCAUCACGAGUUCAGGCCGUCACUGGUUUUCUCUGGAAACAUCUAAUCGCUGCUUCUCGGGCACUAACAUCAGGUAAAAUCAGUUUAUCAACAAGCCAAAUAAUAAAGCCUAAUGUAUUUGGGGUACUUAUUUAUAUAUUUUUAUUACGUAUAUCUAGUGUACUGUGUACAUAGCUCAAAGAAUGAGAAAAUAUAUGAACUUGCAGGUACUACUUCAACAAAACUUUCUAUAGCAGCCCAGGCAGUGAACAUAAGAUCACGGAUGAACAUGGAGACGGUGUUGGAUAAUGCCACUGGAAACUUGAUGUGGUGGGCACCGGCCAUACUACAGCCAAGUCAUACAACACCAGAGAUUAGUGAUCUUAAGCUGUGUGACUUGGUUAACUUGCUCAAUGGAUCUGUCAAACAAUGUAACGGUGAUUACUUUGAGACUUUCAAGGGUAAAGAGGGAUAUGGAAGAAUGUGUGAGUAUCUAGAUUUUCAGAGGACUAUGAGUUCUAUGGAACCAGCACCAGAGAUUUAUUUAUUCUCGAGCUGGACUAAUUUUUUCAAUGCACUUGAUUUUGGAUGGGGGAGGACAUCAUGGAUUGGAGUUACGGGAAAAAUUGAAUCUGCAUUUUGCAAUUCCACAAUGUUGGUUCCAACACAAUGCGAUAAUGGAAUUGAAGCAUGGGUGAAUCUAGAAGAAGAGAAAAUGGCUAUGCUAGAACAAGAUCCCCAGUUUCUAGCGGUAGCAUCUCCAAACCCCCCAAUUUCAAGGUGUUGAUUAAAAAAGAUUAUGUGGCUCGUGCAAUGUUUCGAUUUUGUAGUGAAUAAGGUUUAAAUUAGUUCACCAGCCAAUCAAUAAGAUGCAAGUAUGAUAGACUCUGUCUACGUAUGUUAUCCGAAUGUGUUUUCGAUAUGCUUGUAACCAAUAUAGCUCUUGUUUGUAAUAAUGCUCUGUUAAGCUUCUAUCUAUAAAGUUAUUUCUCUUGAUUAAAGAAAAAACUAUACAAGUUUUGUUAAGCUUUAUUCUAUUUUUAAGAUAGGAUGUAUGUAGUACCUAUAAAGAUGGUUCACCUAUUAUUAUUUUCAAAUACAUGAUUAUCCGGUACAAUUACGUAGAAUAUUUCUAUAGCUAAAAAAAUGUAAUUUUGAUCCGUGACAACAUGAUUAAAAAAUUACAUAUUCUGAUACAUUUGUUCUCUAACGACAAGCAUGGCCAUAAUGCCUCACCUGAUCAUCUAUGUGAUGGGGUAGUGUCCUUUCUUUUUAAGAGAAGGUAGGCACCUAAUGUGAAGGCCUCUACGAGAGACUAAUAUUGUCUGAUCUUCUUUUGUUCAUCAAAUUAAAGAAACGAAAAUGGCCACAAUGCCUCACUAUUGAUAGAAGAUAGAACCAUACAAUAAUUUGGAACAUAUGCAUGGAGACAAGGAAAUAUAACACAAUAAAACCAUUAUAAUUUCACUUUAUGUGGGAAACUUGGCCAAAACCGAAUCACAUCCACGUUGGCAACAAAAAGUGACUGGAAAAAAAGAGCCCCCAAAAAGCUAAAACACUAUAAAAACCAGAAAACUUGAAUAAGCGAAAAACCAAAAGUAUGACAUUUACACACACACUCUAUCUCUCUCUCAAAGUCUGAAAACUUGCGCAAUAAGGUACCUAGCUCUCUGGUCUUUUCUUUCUAAUGCAUAUAAGUCCCUGUAAAUUUUAUGGCUUUUGGAAUGAUGAUUUUAUGCUUGUGGAUCUCAGAUGGGUUUGUUUUGUUUUGGGAUUUUUAUAAAUGAAUCCAUUGAAAAUGUUGAAAGCUUAUGCCUUUGUUCCUUGGUUCACUGUUCUGGUUUUGUAAAUUGUGUGUACGAGAGUUGAAAUGUUGGUUUUGGUAAAGAGAAAUGUUCUAUAACCAUGUAAGUUAUCUUCUAAAGUUGUUCGAGUACUGCAUAGGAAAUAACGACCUAAACUGCUAGAUGCUCUGAGAAACUUAAUUAUCCGAUUCGUUGUGAUAAAUUAAUAGAACCAUCAAUAGCCGUGAUAGUCCCUUAAUAUUUGGUGGCUAAUUAGCAAUGCAUUCAUGGUAGUUGCAUGUGCUUAUUUUGUGCAGUAUUCUAAUUCUAUCACUUGCAAAAUCGUUGUGGAAGGUCAAGAGGAGAAAACUGAAAAUGGGGCAGCAUGCAUCUCAUUUUAUUUUUUUAUGCAAUAGAGCCCUAUAUAUAAAAUAAAUAAUGUAUCUAUAACCUUCUCUAAUUAAUUUACUUAGUAAUUGACGCAAUUUGGCCGAACUGUUUCUAAACACACUAAGCUUCAGUUCUAUAUAUACCACGUACCACAUGUAUGAAUUCAUCAAGUGUCUGAUAAUACUAAACCUACUUCGACAAAAUGGAGAAAAUUGAGGUCAGUAUAAUUUCCAAACACACCAUCAAACCAUCAGCUUCCACUCCACGACUUCAGCCUUACAAGCUUACCCUCCUGGACCAGCUCACUCCUGCAAUGUAUGUCCCCAUGGUAUUCUUCUACCCCAUUACUGAUCCUGUCUUCAAUCUUCCUCAAACCCUAGCUGACUUAAGACAAGCCCUUUCCGAGACUCUCACUUUGUACUAUCCACUCUCUGGAAGGGUAAAAAACAACCUAUACAUCGAUGAUUUUGAAGAGGGUGUCCCAUACCUUGAGGCUCGAGUGAAUUGUGACAUAACUGAUUUCCUAAUGCUUCGGAAAAUCGAGUGCCUAAAUGAGUUUGUUCCAAUAAAAACAUUUAGUAUGGAAGCAAUAUCUGAUGAGCGUUACCCUUUGCUUGGAGUUCAAGUCAACAUUUUCGACUCUGGAAUAGCAAUCGGUGUCUCCGGCUCUCACAAGCUCAUUGAUGGAAGAACGGCAGACUGUUUUCUCAAGUCCUGGGGUGCUGUUUUUCGAGGGUGUCGUGAAGAUAUCAUACAUCCUUGUCUCUCUGAAGCAGCAUUGCUUUUCCCACCGAGAGAUGACCUGCCUGAAAAGUAUAUAGCUUUGAUGGAAGGGUUACGGUUUGCCGGAAAAAAAGUUUCUACGAGGAGAUUCGUAUUUGAUGCGAAAACCAUAUCUGCAAUUCAAGAUGAAGCGAAGAGCGAGUCCGUGCCCAAGCCAUCACGAGUUCAGGCCGUCACUGGUUUUCUCUGGAAACAUCUAAUCGUUGCUUCUCGGGCACUAACAUCAGGUAAAAUUAGUUUAUCAACAAGCCAAAUAAUAAAGCCUAAUGUAUUUGGGGUACUUAUUUAUAUAUUUUUAUUACGUAUAGCUAGUGUACUGUGUACAUAGCUCAAAGAAUGAGAAAAUAUAUGAACUUGCAGGUACUACUUCAACAAAACUUUCUAUAGCAGCCCAGGCAGUGAACAUAAGAUCACGGAUGAACAUGGAGACGGUGUUGGAUAAUGCCACUGGAAACUUGAUGUGGUGGGCACCGGCCAUACUAGAGCUAAGUCAUACAACACCAGAGAUUAGUGAUCUUAAGCUGUGUGACUUGGUUAACUUGCUCAAUGGAUCUGUCAAACAAUGUAACGAUGAUUACUUUGAGACUUUCAAGGGUAAAGAGGGAUAUGAAAGCAUGUGUGAGUAUCUAGAUUUUCAGAGGAUUAUGAGUUCUAUAGAACCAACACCAGAGAUUUAUACAUUCUCGAGCUGGACCAGUUUUUUCAACCAACUUGAUUUUGGAUGGGGGAGGUCAUCUUGGAUUGGAGUUACAGGAAAAAUUGAAUCUGCAUAUUGCAAUUCCACAGUGUUGGUUCCAACACAAUGCGAUACUGGAAUUGAAGCGUGGGUAAGUCUAGAAGAAGAGAAAAUGGCUACGCUAAAACAAGAUCCCCAGUUUCUAGCGGCAGCAUCUCCAAACCCCCCAGUUUCAAGGUGUUGAUUAAAAAAGAUUAUGUGGCUCGUGCAAUGUUUCUAUUUUGCAGUGAAUAAGGUUUAAAUUAGUUCACCCGUCGAUCAAUAAGAUGCAAGUAUGAUAGAUAUGUUAUUCGAAUGUGUUUCGAUAUGGUUGUAACCAAUUAAUAUAGCUCUUGUUUGUAACAAUGCUCUAUUAAGCUUCUAUCUAUAAAGUUAUUUCUCUAUUAAAAAAAAAACUAUGGAAGUGUUACCAAGCUUUGUUCUGUUUCAAAGGUAAGAUGCAUAUACUACCCGAAAAUAAUGUUCACCUAUCAUAAUUCUUCCACAUGAAAACCCGGUAAGAAUCACAUAAAAUAUUUCUAAUACUUUAGAAUCUAAUUUGGGUUUGUGACAACAUAAUUGAAGAGGUACAUAUUCUGAUACAUUCGUUAUUUAACGACAAGCAUGUACAUAAUACCUAACCUAGGAGGAGGGUGUACGUAGUGUUCUCUCUCCUUAAGAAGGCCUGCCUUUCGCGAAGGCCUCUUUCAAAGGACUGAUAUAAUAUAAUCUUCUUCUUUUUUUAAUCAAAAGAAACGAAAAUGGCUUCAUUGUUCAUAAUUUGGAAUAUAUGGUGGAUUGUACGGUGUUGUUUUGAGGGAGCUUCUCUCUCGGGUCAAGGGUUUCCAAUGGAUUUGUGCAAUGAGAUUUGAUUGGCAACAGUUAUUCGGGCAUCAACGCUCCAAUUUAGCACUCCUCAGUCCUCACUACCUCAUUGUUGUUGACGAUGGCGAUGACGACAUUAGCGAGCAUGGGUGAUGUGUGUGGCAUAUUUGUUUGUAUUGUUGCAUUAUUGCUUUCGGAUGUAAGGGCUUCGCCCUAUAGAUUAGCGAGCAAUUGGUCUCCUCUCAUUCUUUCUACCUUGAUCGAGUUGGAGAUCCAUGCACUUUAUUUGUAGUACUUUUUUUGGCCUCGCGUUUGCAAGCUUUGAAAUUCCCGUGAUUAAGGAAUUAUUCAUUUUUUACAAAAAAAAAGAAGAAGAUUUUUUCCUGAAAAAUAACACAACAACCAUCAUAAUUUCACUUUAUGUGGGAAAUUUAGCCAAAUCCGAAUCACAUCCACGUCGGCAACAGAGAGUGACUUGAAAGAAGUGCACCCAGAAAGCUAAAAAACCAUAAAAACUAGAAAACUUGAAUAAGGAAAAACUAAAGUAUGACAUUCCAAUCUAUUGUUUUAUGGUUUUUGAAGGAUUCAAAUUUGUCAACCACUUUUUACUUGACCACCUUAAUGACCACUAUCUAGAUUGGUGAUACGUGUCUUUUCAAAUUAUUUUACUUUAUUGUUUUAUUGUUGAUAAAAAAAAUAAACAUGUGUCACCAAUCUAAAUAGUGGUCAUUGAGAUGAUCAAGUAAAAGUGGUUGACAAAUUUGAAUCCAUUUCUUAUUGCGGUUUUGUUCUGCCAAAUCCAAAUCCCAUGACCCAAUCAUUUACACUCCCUCUCAAUCUCUGCAAAACUGACUGCUUCCCUUGAAAACGUGCGCAAUAAGGUACCUAGCUCUCUGCCCUUUUCCUUGUAAUGCAUUCAAGUCCCUGUAAAUUUUGUGGUUUUUGGUAAUGAUUUUAUGCUUGUGGAUCUCAAAUGGGUUUGGGUUUGUUUUGUUUUGGGAUUUUUAUAAAUGAAUGCAUUGGAAAUGUUAAAGCUUAUGCGUUUGUUCCAUGAUUCAGUGUUCUGCAAUUUGUGCCUUCUCUUCCGGAUCUGAUGUACGUGAUGUUCUAGCUAGUUGUCUUUUGGAUUGAAAAGAUAUUAUCUUUUGAUUGUUUUUGAUAGAACAUCAACAUCAAUCAUCAAUGAGAUGAAUCUGAAGUAGGUUAUUAGUUUGGAGAUAUGUUAAUGGUUAAUGAAUCAAGCUGAAGUUGUUCUGGUUAUUGGAGCAAUAGGUUCCAUACUGAAGCAUCUAAUUUUGAAUUUGCAAAGAGUGGUUGACGAGUUAUCCUUGGGAUUGGCGGGUGACAUUGAAAAAGUCUUGGUUUUGUGUAUAAGAGUUGAAAUGUGAUUUCUUUACUGUUACCAUGAUGUGGGUUCUACUAAAAGACUCGUUCUUGAAUCUGGGGUCAUGUCCUGUGAUGACUCAAUUCUUGCAAAACACAACUGAGAUGUGUCAAAAUGGGUUCGGGAGCGUCUUUAUAUAUCGAAGUAUCAUGAGUUUCGAUACUAAGUGAGGGUGCUGGAUAGAAUUGAGUUUGGAGGUUCAAUGCUUCAAAAACAAAGAAGCUAGAGGGAACGUAAUUCUUGAUGAUUCAAGACGGAUCAAUGACCUUGUAAUUAAGUUGCUUAUGUGCAAUUGUUGAGCUUAUGGUGUUUCCAGUUUGGAUACGGAUAGCUAUUUCUGUUUUCAGUAUAACCACCAUGUGUUGCAUCCUCUUACUCUUCAUCUUCAUUUACCUAUCUUUGAUCUGAUGUUCCAUUGGCAGAGCUCCCUUAUGCUAAACUGUAAAACCUGCAUUCCAGGUGGUCAUUCUGUUAGAACUUUGGAAGGUCUCGGAAAGGAAACACUCGUCGACAAAUUUUGGGAGCAGUUGCAUAAAAGGAAUGGUCUCCCAACUCGGAGAUAAUGGAGACGCGUACUGGAAAUUCCCGUCCCAAUAAAAAGCAAUCGUCGGAGAAGUCUAAAUCUGCCACUGAAGAGAAAAGGCCUGCAGAAAAGAAGCAAACACUUCUGUGUUUGUCAACUAUGGUAAGUUCAUUAGAUAGUAAGUACUGAGUUUUCUAACAUCGGUGUAACACCAUGCAACUAACUCAGUACUGUAGAAUAGACAUCUAUGUUAGUCUCUUUAGAUAAUAUGCACACUUUAACUUUUCAAAUGACGUCCUGCAUUAGUUAGUCAACUGUUCAAAAUCUCGUAGGUUACAAUUUUCCCAUCUCCAAAACCAAGUGUCCAUAAUCUUUUUCCCUCUUUGUUCACUAAACUAGUAAACUCCUCGUUUAGAUUAAUGUUCUAAAUCUUUUAGUUUUUGUUCCAUCUUGACAUAACUUGUGGCUCAUUACCUACGUUGCAUGGAAUCGGAAGCGGAAACGUGGAAGCGAAGCGUUUGGAAGCGCGGAAGCGAUUUUUUUGAAAAUAAUUUGGAAGCGAAAGCGUUUUAGAAAUGUGAGAAUCAAAAUAAUAUAUACAAAUAACAAAUAUAUAUCACCUAAUUUUAAUUUCAUUCAUUUAUUUUAAUCGUUAAUUUUAAUAAGUUGUACAAAUUAGUUUGAUUGUUUAGCAGAUAACAACUCAUUCUUAAAAAAAAAAGAUAUCACUAAACCUUAUAAAAAUAAACUUCUUCACUAAAAAAAAGUCCACCAUGAAAUAUUGAAAGCACACGUCUCUCUAAUCUCUACACCUUUUAAUCUUCUUUCUUCACCUCUCUAUGCUCUCUCACCCUCCAGGUUGCCGUCAUCUUCUUUAACUUCAUUCUCUCUCACUCCUCUCCCUCCCUCCAGUUUCAAAUCCUUUCUUAACAGGUCCUCAAGCAGAAGAUCUGAUUGAUUAUAGAUUUCGAAAGAGAUAGAGAGAAGAUUGAUGUGCCGCUGAAUCAGUUCUCGUGCAGUGGACCAUCGCGCUUCCAAAUCAAAAUCGUGAGCUUCCAUAUUGGAAGCAUGCGCUUCCGUCGUGCUUCCAAAACCCUCUUUUCCCGGAAUCACGAUUCCGGGCGCUUCCGAGCGCUUCCACGGCGUUUCCGCUUCGCUUCCGCUUCGGAAGCGGGCGAGUGGCCCGGCGCUUCCGUGCUUCCUAGCUCAUUACUGCCCUGUAAACCAACUACGGCCGAGUUGUACCAAAAGGAAAUUCGGCCUCUCAUCAAUGAGUAAAGGUUUUUUUUUUUUUUUUCUUCCUUUUGUGGGGGAAGAAGAAGUAUGCAAUAAUUUUGGAAGUAACAUAUCCCCUAUCACCAUUCCUUGCAACAAGCAAUUACUUCUGGCAUUUUGUGGUUGAUGUUGAUCAUUUUGUAACUUUUGUUCUUUCAUGAUAAUAAAGCUAAUUUCUCAUGUAGCUGCAAUUGCUUGGCAUGAGAGUAGAAGAAAGUGGAUAGGGGAUCAGCGGCUGCAAAGAAUGGCCAAGGAUCCAAUUAUAAGGUAUUUUUUCCUCACAAAGGUUCCUGGAUAGAAUGGGGUUAGCAAGUCAUGGUUAAAGAGUUGCACCUUAAAGUUUAAUAACAAAAGAAAAGUUGGAGAGCAUAACUGCCAUAACUUAUAUUCUUUGUAGGUACAAAUGAACUCAUUAACACUGGUGUGUCAGUUUUUAGGAAAUUACACUUAUAUUUGAGUAUCUGUCACUCUGUCCACUACUUGCACCCUGACUUGCUGAUCUGUAAAUCCUAGAUUUUUCAAAAUUGCUCCUUUAGUCCUUUUGUUUGGUGUGUGUCCAUAUUAGUAGCUUUGUCCAUUUAUGCUGUUAAAUUGUAGCUGCUAUAUGAAUGUCAGGAAGUUAAAUGUGAAAACUAUAUGCUGCAUAUUAUAGCACCAUUGUAAUGAUUGAUGAUAUUAGUGUCUUUGUCCAAUUAUUUUCUGUUCAAUUAUUGCUACUUCUUGAAGAUAAUGUGGAAAGUUUAUGUUUCAGCUGGUCAACAGCCUAUGAGGAUCUACUCUCAACCAAUGAGUGUUUUUCUGAGCCGAUCCCCUUAACUGUAAGUCGAUCAUAUAAUAGCACAUACCUGUCCAAUAAAUAUCUUCUGAUAAGUCAUAUAUCUCUAUUACUUGUGUUUAUUUGACAUUGGAAAUAUUUUCUAAAGUUUGAUGUUUUUAUAAAAUUGGUUUUAAGCAUGUUUUCAUACUGGAGCUCCACUUUAUGUUUUCAAAAGUCAUGGGUAGUUUUCUUGAGCAGCGAGGACGAAAACUCAUCCCUACAACAGUUUGUGGAUGCAUGUAUUGUGCACUGGGACAAGAUAAUGGCGAGGAGUUGGGUGUGCAUGUUUGUGAUCGGUAAUUUAUUUUCUAUGCUUACAUGUUUAUUUUUAGACUCAAGUUACAUGUUUAAAUUGUAUUCUGUUGGCCUUGUUAUAAUCUCAUCCGUGAUUCUAUUAAUGAAGCUUGUUAAUUACUGGCCAUUCCUUAUAUCAAGUUUUAUACGAACAUAAGAGUCUAAUCCUGAUAUGAUUUUGUCUUGUGAGACUCUCAUUGCAAUUUGUAUUCUUUUGAGUUCAUUAUUUCUUAACGUUUAUUGUGUUAGGUUUUAGACGAAUGACUUUACCUUAAGCAAAUUAAAUAUUUUUCUUUUACAUACACCUCAAAUAGUUUUACGCUUCCGUGGUGUUUGCUUAAAUGAUUUCUUAAAUAAACUGUCUUGCGUUUCUCUUGGUUUUUAUUUUAGAGACAUGCGGCACUGUGACGUGUCUAAACUAAGGAGGCGUAGUUUGGGGCGUUACAGAUUUAAUCUUUACACACUAUGAGAAUAUCAAAAUAUCACGAUAUUUGUGCAAAACUCACGAAAUCUUGUUAUUAAAUCAGCCGAAGUCAUCAUAUAUAGUCAUUAACUCGGGCCAAACUUAUAAAAUUAACACUAAAGUCUUGGCGCAGCUAACAUGAUUUGAACCCAGGUUGCCACAUGUUUGUAACAUCCUGAAAUUUCAAAUUUUUAUUUUUAAAAGGAAAGUUAUUUUUAUUUCGAUUUCUAUUAUUCUUUUAAAUUCUUUAUAGUUUUUGAAAAUUAUUCAAAUUUUGUUUUUGGAGCCCAUCGGAUUAAACUAGAGGCCGUGAUGAAUUUGUGGGAUUUUUCGGAACACCGUUUGGAUAUCGGAUAUAUUUUUAAUGAUUUUUAGAAGUUGGUAUUAUCUAAAAAUUUAAUUAAAAAUAGAAAAUCAAGGUCGGUCAAAUUUGGUCCGUCCAGAUUAUAUGGGUAUGGAUCAACUUGGACUUCAUUAUACCCAGUCCCAGACCGACUCCGUCUCCAGCCUCUAUCAGCGACGGAGACCUCCGGUCACUCCUCCGUUGUCCGGCCGUCUCCCGCCGCAAAACGACUGUCUACAGCUCUGUCUCGACGUCCCCGACCUCCCUGGGAUUCCAGCUUGAUGAGUGGAGCUCCGGAAAAGGAGGAGAGAAGGCGACUGUGUUUCCGAUCGGGUUUCCGAUUCCGGUGACGGCGGCGAGCGUGAAUGGUACUGGAAGCAUCCUCUCGUCCUCGUGGUCUUCCCUAUGUCCUCAGUUUCUUCAGAAGAGGUCGGGAGAGAGAGAUUCGAAGUGGAGAAGGAGAGGCUGGGUUCGCCGGCGAGUUUCCGAUUCCGGCCAAGUCGAGGUUUCUCACUGGUAUGAAUAGCUUCAUGUCGGUCUCGGGAACCUUUCCAUGUUGGUGGUUUUCGAAGAGAAGCUCGGAGGAGGGAGAAUCGAAGAGGAGAAGUUUCUGAAUUUUCCGGCGAGGGUUCGACGGAUUCCGGUGAAGCUUGAUGUCGACUCAGGUAUUAAAGUUGGUCUAUUCGAUGAGCUUUACAUGUUUCUAUAAUUGAAAUUGAGAUUGGUUGGGUGUUGGAGAAGUGGGAUUUUGGACAGGUUGUCGACCACCGUGUACGGCGGCGGCGGCGGUUGUUCUUGUAGUUUCUGGCUUUUGUUAAUACAUUGAUUGUGGAGGAGUGUUUUGAGAUGUAUUAGAAUUGCAGGAACAUGAGAAUUGUAUGAAGUUGGGUUUUGAGCAGUGUGGUGUGUGGCCACUGUUCACGGCGGCUAUGGUGGUGUUUUGAAAUCAGAAGACUUGUGUGAGGGAGAGGUUGAAGAUGUGUAUUAUGUUUGGUAUGAGUGUUCAUUCAAUUGGCUUUGGUAUUUGAGAGCAGGGUGCUACGAAUAUCUUGGUUUUGUGAUCAAAGUUGAAGUAAAGCAUAUAUGUUUGUAUGGUUGUGAGAUAUGGUGGUAACUGCAGCAAUGGAUAGUUGAUCAAGGUUCACAUGAUCUUGGAACAAAUGUCCAGUCGAUAACUUUAAGAUGUAAUUGGUAUUGCUAUGCUUGAACAAUUGUGUUUCGGUGGAUUGAAGAUUUGCCGGAAGGUGUGUAGUAAGAUGGGUGUCCAAAGUAAUUGAUGGAGACUGGUGUGUUCUCUUUUGAAUUAUUGUUAGAGAAAGAUGAUUAGAGGAGUUGGGUGUAAUGAACGUUAAGUUGGCUUUGCUGGGUUGUUGUGGAGUCUUAAGAGCAGUAUGGGUACGGGAACAGAAGAAUUGGAUUUUCAUUACUUUCAUAUGGAUUUGAUGUGUUGCUGGGGAGUAGGAAACAGUAAAGGAUUUAGGUUUGGUCAUGUCUGGGUUCGUUGAUAAGUUGUUAUGCCUACAAUUAAGACAUGAGAAGAUUGAUCAAGUUUGAGAUAGGCAAAUAUAAAGGAUUUAGUAGAAAAGAGGAAUUGGGUGUAGAGAGUAAAUUCGGUGCUUAGCUUGGUGCUUGGAGCAUGGUUGGGAUACGACUAAUUAUGGGUGGCGUGUGAUUUGGUAAUUGUCGGAAAAGGUGAGCGGAAUUGGAAAUAAAGAUUUUGAUCGUUUCUAAUUAAAGUGUUUGCCGACUUUAUUGGAACAAGGAUUUGAUGUGAGGGAGCAUGUUGCAAUCCGAGGAGCAGAAUGAUAAGGAUUUCAAAAUGCGUGCCGCGGUGUUAUUAAUUUUAGUAAGCGUCGGAGUCAAGGCUUGGAUUCCAGGUAGGGUCUCUCUCAGGGAACUUUUCUUUAAAUUGAUAAUUAGGUUAUUGUUGAAAUCGGUGCAUUGUGUGGCAUUGGUUGAUAUAACUCUUGGUUGUUAUCGAUUUUGUUAAAAGCAUGUGAUAUCGUUGAUUUAUAUGAAAUUAAUGUUAUUGCUUUCCGUAAAAGCAUGAGUUGAAUGUUAUGAUAUGAGUAUUGAUAUUCAAUUGACAUGCAUAAUGCAUUGUGAGGAAUUGUGAGAAGUGAGAUUGGUGAUUCUGGAGAUGAGAAAGAGAUUGAUAGAAUAGAUACAUUUUGUGUAGUUGAGUUUCCUCAUGGGUUGUCCAAGAUCCAGGGUAGUCCACACGUGCAUAAGUUCAGGGAAUGUAUGCCAUUUCGAUGGCGGACAUCGACAAAACAAUUUUAUCGGGUUUCGGGUUUGGAGACCAUGAGUAUAACAAGAUGAUUAACAAUAGAGGUACAAGCCAUAAGAUAUUACUGAUUAUUAGAUCAUAUAUUUGAGACAUUUGUGUCACCCCCGGUUGGUAAAAUACACGGUAUGGGACGUGUAGGCUCACAUAUCUUUGAUGUAUGGACUGAUAGCCAGUAAUUGAGGAAGACAUUCAUUAGCAUACAUGUAUCAAAUUGUCGUUAUUUAUUUAAAGUAUUAUUUGAUGUUUGAUAACUUGUUUGUGCGAUGUAGUUAAUUAUAACUUAAAAAGGUUUGGCUCUUUGGCCCUACUAAGCGUAAGCUCACCCCUAUAAACUUUUGUUCAGGUACGUUUGAGGACACGUUUUUCUAGAAGCGUAACUGUGAAGUUUAGCUGACGUGUACGAGAGUAGAAGAGUUACAGAAGAUUAGAAGUCAGAUAGAUCGUAAGGGCUUAUCUUUUUGUCUUUGUAAUUGUUUUUUGUUAUUGUAAACGUUUUAUUUUCUUUUAUUUCUGGAAAAGUAUUUGAAAUUGUUUUAUUUUCUUUUACUUUUCCCGCUCAUGUCUCGGGUACGGCGUCAGGUGCUUGGAAACCACCGACACCGGGUCCGGGGUUUGAUGUAUGGACUAGCCAGUAAUUGAGGAAGACAUUCAUUAGCAUACAUGUAUCAAAUUGUCGUUAUUUAUUUAAAGUAUUAUUUGAUGUUUGAUCACUUGUUUGUGCGAUGUAGUUAAGUAUAACCUAAAAAGGUUUGGCUCUACUGAGUGUAAGCUCAUCCCUAUAGAUUUUUGUUUAGGUACGUUUGAGGAUACGUAUUUCUAGAAGCGUAACUGUGAAGUUUAGCUGACGUGUACGAGAGUAAAAGAGUUACGGAAGAUUAGAAGUCAGAUAGAUUGUAAGGGCUCAUCUUUUUGUCUUUGUAAUUGUUUUUUGUUAUUGUAAACGUUUUAUUUUCUUUUAUUUCUGGAAAAGUAUUUGAAAUUGUUUUAUUUUCUUUUAUUUUUUCCGCUCACGUCUUGGGUACGGCAUCAGGUGCUUGGAAAUCACCGACACCGGAUCCGGGGUGUGACAAUGGUAUAUCUCACAUUCUCAACCAAUCCUCCUAAGGUGAUACUUGAUUACUACAUUGAACAUUUUAUUAUAAACUCUACAUAUAUUUUCAUACUUUUAAAAUUUCUUUUCGAAAUUUUAUUAAUAUUGAUAUUUUCUAAUAUUUUUAUCAAAAUAUCUAUUUUUCAGAUAGUCAAAAUUUUCUUGAAACGUGAUAUUUUUGUAAUAUAUCGAAAUUUCAAAUUUUUAUUUUUAAAAGAAAAAUUAUUUCCGAGCUAUUUUUAUUUCGAUUUCUAUUAUUUCUUUCAAUUCUUUGUAGCUUUCGAAAAUUAUUUCAAUUUUUAGUUUGUCAAAAUUUAUCUUUUGAGUCCAUAGGAUUAACGGAAGCGUUUUCGGACAUCGGAGCUAUUUUUAAUAAUUUUUAGAAGUUAAUAUCGUCUAAAAAAAAAAUAUUUUUAAACCCGCUUGAUCUGGACCGUUGGAUCAUUUAAACCGCAAGAUCUGGGCUGGGGGAGACUGGAUCAGAUCAGUUCAGACCCAGACUGGGUCAGCCUCGAUCCAAAUAGCAGCGACGGGUGACCGGACUGCCGCUUUGUCCUCCAGCGACGGCGUGGGGAAAUCAUGGCAGCUUCGGCUUCGUCUCGGUCGCCUGAUCCUAUCUGUGGUCUCGAUUUCGUCGAUGGAGCUUCGAUGAGAGAGAAUCGAAGAAGGGUAGCUUUUUCUGGGUUUGUCGACGAGUUUACUAUUUCAGCCACGGCGGCGAGCAUGAUCGGUCUUGGUAGCUUCACCUCGACCUGUUGAACAUUUCUUUGAAGAGAAGGUCGGAGGAGGGAGAAUCGAAGAGAAGAAGUUUUUAGGUUUUAGGCAGUGUUCUUGGUGUUUUCCGGCGACCUCGGACUUCAAUUCAGGUAUCAAAGUUGGUCGACUCGUCAAGCCCUACAUCUCUAUAUAAUUGGUUUUCAUUUUUGAUUAAGUUUUGAAGAAUCGAAGUUUUGGGGUUUUACUGUGCAAUUUGAGUUUUCCUGUUUGUGUGGUGAUUUUGGUUGCCUUGGGGCGUUCUUCGAUUGGAAUUGACUUUAUGAAGUUGAUUUGAUGAUCUUAAGCCCUUGAAUUACAUAAUUGGAAAAGUUGGGUUUUGGGGCAGUGUUGUUCGGCGAUGGAAGUGGUGGUUGAUGGUUCUGGGUUUGGUUUAUGUUUUAGAUGAAAUUACAAGAGCAUUAGAACUUAAUUAUGUUGUUGUGUCGCCUGGAUUCCAUAAACGGAGAAGUUGAGUGUAAGAAAAUUAGAGUUAUGCAAUUUGGAAUUGAGCUAAGAUUGGAGUAGAUGAUAGUAUCGGGUUUUCUGCUGAUUUUGGUUUAUUGUUUGUGGUGGUGACUGCAGUAUUCUUGUUCCAUUUCCAAUCAUAUGAAAGUGCAGGAACAUGAAUUUGGAUGCUUGAUUGGUAAAAGAUGAGUUUUGGGUGGUAGGAAAUGGAGCUGUGUUAUUGGAAUAGGGAGGGGAAGAUGGUUGUGUAUAGUACUAAUACUGAACUUGGCGGAGUUGAAGGAUGCAACUAAGAACUGUUGAUUUGCGAUAUGGAACUAGGAGCUUGAUUUCAAAUGGAGAAAGUGAGUAUUGGCAAGUGCAGGAGUAGGACAACUUGAGAAGUAUAAAUUGGCUAAAGAGCUUAUGGGUGUCCUUAUCAAUUUCAAAGACUGGAUUGCAUCGACUUGAAAUCAUCAGAGUGAAUAAAUGCGGAUUAAGGAACUCAUCUGGGUGUCUUAGUAGAUUUAUGAAUUCGGUCCGGUUGACUUAAAGUGACUUAAAUUUGGCUUAAAGUGAGUUUUGCGGAUUAAGGAUUCAGGGUGUCCUUAGUAAUUUUAAGAACAUGAUCAAUUUUGGAAAUUGAUUUAGUUUAUUUGAGGUUCGACGGCUUUCUCGGUAAGGAAUUGUGACGAGGAUCGAGUGACUAUCGACUUUUUCAGAAGCAGAAGGAUAAAGAUUUCAGAAUGCGUGUCGCUGAGUUAUUAGUUUUAAUUAGCGUCAGAACUAGCGCUCGGAUUUCAGGUAUGGUCUUUCUUGGGGAACCUUUUUUUAAAUUGAUAAUUAGAUUGUUAUUGAAAUUGGUGAAUUGUUUGUCAUUGAGUGAUUAACUCUUGGAUGUUACUGCUUUCUAUAAAAGCAUGUGUAAUCGUUGAGUUAUAUGAUUGUUAUUAUCGCUUUUCUUAAAAAGUAUGUGUUGGAUGAUAUAAUAUGAGUAUUGUUAUUCGUUGCAUACAUAAUGCAUUUUGAAGAAUUAUGAGAUUAGUGAGAUUGGUGAUUAUGGAGAGGUGAGAACGAGAUCAAAAUAUACAUUUUGUACAGUUGAGUUUCCUUAUGGGUUGUCCAUAAAUCUAUGUCAUCCCACUUGCGCAAAUGAGUGGGCAAAGUAUACUCCUUCGAUGGCGGACAUCAAUAAAACGAUCUUUCGGGUUUCGGUUUUGGAGAGUAUGAGUAUAACAAGAUGACUAACAAAAGAGGUACAGGUGAUGAGAUAUUACUGAUUGUUAGAUCAUAUAUUCGAGACAUCUGAGUCACCCAUGGUUGGUAAAAUACACUGUAUGAGACGUGUAACUGAGGAAGACAUUCAUUAGCAUAUAUGCAUCUAAUUAUCGUUAUAUAUUUAAAGUAUUGUUUGAUACUUGAUAACUUGAUUGUGUGACGACAUAGUUAAAUGUAACUAAAGAGGUUUGGCCCUACUAAGCGUGAGCUCAUCCCUAUAUACUCUUAUUCAGGUUCAUACAAGGACACAUAUUUGUAGAAGACUAACUGUGACGUUUAGUUGACGUGAACGAGAGUCGAGAAGGACUACCGAAGUUUCUAGUGAGCUAAACAACAAGACUAGUUUUACCUUUAUAGUGAGCUAGACUGCAAGACUUGUUUUGUCUUUAUAAUCGGUUUUGUUUUUUGUAAUCGUUUUAUUUUCGACUAUUUCGAGAAAAAUAUUUAAAAUUAUUUUAUUUUCUUUUAUUUUUCCCGCUCACGCCUCGGAUUCGGUGUUAAGUGUUUGGAAACCACCGACACCGGGUCAGGGGUGUGACAAUUUUAGUCCUUGGUUUGAUGCCUAAGCUACUUCGCUCCUCCAAACUGGGCCGGUGUUGGAUCAAACAAACAGAAACUUGAAAGAAGGAGUCCGAUACAAGUCAUACAACUACGUUGGUCGGAGCGGAUUUUACGCAUCAAGGUGCCCUUGCACCAUUAAUCUGUAAGUUUUUAAAUCUUCGUAUGCAAAGAUUUAAUGAAGACUAGAGACCUUAAAUUCUUUUCUUUCAUUUUUAUUUUUGACCUGAUCAAAUUAAACGCCAAUAAUUAGAGUACCUCUUAUUCAAUCUCAUGUCCUCAUCUCUUGUGUUGAAAACACUUUUGAUUAUUUUUUUGAGUUUUAAUUUUGUUAAUGGUAUUAAAAUACAUGCAUGAUAAUGCGACAUAGAUGAUCGGAUCAAAACAUUGCGUAUUAAUUGCUCGAUUCACUUGUAGAAGAAUUUUCGAGCUUCGGGCCAAUAUUCCAUUUUUCUUUUUAAUAAAAAAUUCUAGCAGCUAGACAGCUAGUUAACCAAUUGUGAAGCUACACAACUGGGACUUGCAGCGGAAAACAACUACCACGCGUUGCAUGGAGAGGUUAGGUCCUGCAUGCAACUCCGCCGCCCGUAAAUCUCCUACUGACAGCUCUACCCCUCGAUUUGCAGAUACUGAUGUAAAACCCGAGGACAAAACGGUAAUCGUUGAUACUCCGAGCCAGACAUAAAACUAUCCAAGAACAAAGAGGAGACACCACAGGAAAAAUGACCGGACCGCCUCUACCUCGACCCUUUCUAACGUGCUUGGUUGGUGUAGCAGUCUUAACCUGCGCACUAACCUUCUGUGUUGCCCUAGAUGUCACCCCCCAAGACCCAAUCAUCCACCAAGUCACAGACCAUGAUACUAACAAGCUCCUUGGAACCGAGAAAGAGUUCAAGAGUUUCAUGGAGAAGUAUGAGAAGAAGUACCCUACUAGGAAGGAGUACAUGCACCGGCUAGUUGUUUUUUCCAAGAACAUGAUCAGAUCCGCCGAGCACCAAGCUCUGGAUCCGACGGCGGUUCACGGCGUCACGCCGUUCUCGGAUCUGGAGGAGGAGGAGUUCGAGAGGAUGUACACCAUUCCUCGAAAAGUUAAAGUAAUCUUUUUUAGAAAUCGAAUGGAUUCGGUCUUAUACAUACGCAAGGAAGGUAAUAAAAAAAAAGAAAGAUGAGUUCUUUUAUCACUUAGGAGCUGUGCGAGAUAAAAGUCUCAUGCACGGUUUUGAAUGAGAGAAAGAAGUGAGGAAUCCUUUUUUCGACACUGACUCUCCCACUCCAGUUGUUGCUUUUUUUUUCUUUUUUUUCUGUUACUUCAAAAGUCGUUGCUUCAGUUUCAGCCACUCGAAUUUUCGAUGUUCUUUUUUAUUUCUCAUCAAACGAAUGGCAUUUUCUUCCUAUUACUCAAACAAGCAUGAAACGUAUGCUUGCGUAUUCGUCCAUAGGUCAAAUUGGAUAUGUAAUUAUUGGAAUAAUUGUUGGAGACUCAAAUGGUGGAUAUGUAAGCAUGAUAACUUAUAUGUUGUUCUAUAUCUCUAUGAAUCUAGGAACUUUUGUUUGCAUUAUAUCAUUUGGUUAGAGGUGCGCCCGGCUUAACCAACGGCGGAGGCGGUACGGGGAGCACGGUUGAGCUUCUGGAUGUUAGCGGGUUGCCUGAGAGUUUUGAUUGGAGAGAGAAAAAGGAGCUGUUACUGAGGUCAAGAUGCAGGUAGUUUCUAAUUUUCGUUUUAUUUCUGAUUUUUUAGGUUGGACACACAAUAUAUGUGAUUAACAGUUUCGGCCGUACUUAAAUCCUAGCUUUUUGCAAAUCAAGUUAUGGCACAUACGAUAUAGAAGUCUCGUAGCUGGUUGUAAAUUACUAAAUUGUGUAAUCUGAAGUCGAUCAGCUGAUCAGGUGCUGCUGGUUCUUUUGUUUAAUUGAUUGUAUAACUAGCUUGACUUUGAGAGUUUGAAGUUUUGUACAGAAAGAUUUGUCUAAUAGAGCUAGGGUGUUUGUGGAACAUGGAAUUAUUCUUCAGGCAAGGAGUUGUAUUGUGAUACUUAAAGCCUCUAAAUCUCUUGUUAUGGAUGCAGGGUGGCUGUGGGUCGUGCUGGACCUUUAGCACAACGGGAGCUAUUGAAGGAGCCAAUUUCAUUGCCACUGGGAAGCUUGUUAGUCUCAGUGAACAGCAGCUUGUUGACUGUGAUCACCAGGUAAUUAAGCCUAGCCUCUCUGGAAUAUAUUGAAGUACUCAUUUAACUUUAGGGCGAUAAAAAUUUAAUUGAUUGAGCAUAUAUAUAAUAUUUGGCAUGCCUACUUAAUUAGUUUCGUUUAAUGUUUGUGGCAACUAUAAUCAAGUGUGAUGCAAAAGAGAAAGAUGCAUGUGAUCGUGGUUGUGGUGGCGGACUUAUGACAAAUGCCUACAAGUAUCUAAUGGAAGCAGGAGGGUUGCAAGACGAGGUUUCAUACCCUUAUACGGGGAAAAAGGGCGAAUGCAAAUUUAAUCCUGAAAAAGUAGCCGUGAGAGUAACCAAUUUCACCACUAUUCCCCUUGAUGAGAAUCAGAUUGCAGCGAACUUGGUCCACAAUGGUCCUCUUGCCAGUGAGUACUAAACCUGAUAAUAUGCUUAAAAAUAGCUAGGCUUUUUAUGUAUCUAUGUGUGCGUACAUAGAACUGCCUUAAGUGUCUUAUUUUCUGAAUAUGAUGUGCACUGUUUAGCAUAUUUAGAUCUGAGUGUAGAUACACCCCACUGAUACAGAAUCUUAAUUGAUGUAUGUAUGCGCAGUUGGCUUGAAUGCUAUGUUCAUGCAAACCUACAUUGGCGGUGUGUCAUGCCCUCUUGUUUGUUUCAAGAAAUGGGUGAACCACGGUGGUUCACUUGUUGGAUAUGGUGAGAGUGGCUUCUCGAUUCUCAGGCUCAGCAACAAGCCGUAUUGGAUCAUCAAGAAUUCAUGGAGCGCAAAAUGGGGAGAACAUGGUUAUUACCGACUUUGCCGAGGCCAUGGCAUGUGUGGGAUGAAUACCAUGGUGUCUGCAGUUGUGACCAGUACGCGGGCAUCCUAGCUGCAUCUCCCGAGAUUAGCUAGUAUAUAAUUAUACACUAUAAUAUUAUAUGCACCUCUCCCUUGUUUUUUCUUAAUCCGAAUUUGAUGUUCCUAUAAUCAUAUUUCAACAAUAUUAUUGUUAAUAUGCCGAAGUGGAAAGUCUUGUUUACGUCAAAACCAAUUCGAACUAUAUUUUGUUAGCUUUAAAUGCUAGAUUGUCAGACUUCAAAUUUAAGUCGGAAAAAUUUUACAAUAUGUUAAUGCAUGUUAUGCAUCAAUUUUAUCCUAAAAUUGUAAAAUGAGUCUCUAAAGUAGUAAUAUUAGUCCUUGAAGUUGUAAUAUAUACGAGUAGUUGUAAAUUUUAAAGUUACAACAUUAGUUAUCAUGUGUCCUUAAAGUAAAUUUUACAGUUACAACAUUAGUCAUUGUGUCUUUAAAGUGAUAAAAUGCGUGCUUAAAGUGGUAAUUGAAUCCUCAAAGUGAUUGAAAAAGUUUUUAUAUCUUUGAGGAUUUGUAUUACAACUUUGAGGAUUUGUAUUACAACUUUGAGGACUCAGUUACCUCUUUAAGGACACAUAAGGAUUAAUAUUGUAACUAAUUUUUUUACAACUUUAAAGACUUAUAUUACAACUUUAAGGACUAGCUAAUAUUACUACCGUAAGACUCGAUCAUUUUAUAACUUAAGAGCAAAGUUGAUACAUCACAUGCAUUUUUUUUUUAUUGGUUAAUGAUCGAGGAUAGGCGAAUAAUCACCUAUCACUCUAUGUUAUUAAUAAAAGAAAAAAGAAACAAAGGAGGGGGAUCAAAACCAAAACAUCCUAAAACAAAUGACAGACUAGCUGAAACGAAAUUGAGGCAUACCUCUAACAUCGUUAUUAUAAGACAAUAAUAUGAAAGGUGGAGGCUCAUCCCACCAUAUCAAUUCAGAGCAUGACGUACCUUGAUUUGCCAGAGCAUCAGCUAUCUUAUUCCCUUCACGAAAAAUAUGAGUAGCCUUGAAAUUCAUUUUAGAGAUUCGGUAUAAGCAAUUCAACCAACGAACUCGAAGAGGCCAAGGAACAAGAGAAGGUCUGCGAAUAUAAUCAAGUACCAAAGAUGAGUCAACUUCCAACCAAAUAUGCUUCCAAUCACGAACCCAAGCAAGCUCAAUAGCUUUAAUAACAGCCAUUAUCUCCGUUGAAAUUGAACUAGGAAUUUCAAGAUUAGAGGCAAAAAGCACCUAGAAAGUGGCCCUUGUAAUCUCUAAAAAUAGCACCAUAACCACCCACUCCCUCUUCAUGCUUCCAAGAGCCAUCAGAAUUUAUCUUCACCCACCCAAGAGAAGGAGGAAUCCAAUUAACUUCAACCACUCUAGGAGUGGCACGAGGUCGACAUGGGGCUCCAAAACAUUUCAAAAUUCGUAGCUCCUGGACACUGUUAUGCAUAUGACCCGUUGUAAGAUGACUAGUGGCUCUUAUAUGACUUGAUAUUAGCUUGCAAACAACUUCAACUGAAAAGCGACAACCAUCAAAUCUGGUUUUAUUUCUCACAUGCCAAACAAACCACAAAAUGGAGGUAAAGCAAAUAAGCCAUAAUUCCAUUAAUUGAGGACUUCUUCCAUUCUGCAAACCCAACCCAUAAAGCUCCAAAAUAGAAGAAGGAAUCAUACCUAACUCAAAAAUAGAGCCAAAGUGACAGAAGAGACGCCAACGGCACCAACACCCAAAGCCAAAGGUAAAGUGUUCGUCAAAGGACUCCACAAUUCCAAGAAUGCUUUCCAUGUGCUCGUGCAAUAAUGGUAAGGAUAUCGAGAGACGCCAACGGCACCAAAUAUUCCAGCUUGAUUCAAUACGCCUUCAAAAUUGGCUAAUAUGAAUUCUGUCCACUCCAUUACGCCUAUCUCAAGUGUAGCACAACCCCGGAAACAAAGGCUCGAAGACCAAUCUUGUUUGGUGUUUAGCAUCCUGUGAAGUAUCGGGUAAAAAUUCUCUUCGAAAGUGAAAAGACCUCCAUCAUGUCUGUUAUCAACCUUCUCCAAAGUAUGCCCCUUAAAUACAUGGGAAAAGUUGUGGGUUGUUCUUAUCACUUGAUCCUCCAAAUCUUGGCGAAAUGUAAGAAAGCCUGAGUUCAUUUCAACUUCUGUCACCAAGGUAAUGAUGUCUUUAGGAGGGACAUCAACAUGAAUGGAGCUUAAAGGCUGUGAUCUCACGUACUCUAUGCCCUUUCCAACAACCUGCCUGUGUUUGUCCAAAGCUGCCUCGCGGGAAAUUCGACCAUAUGCAUCCAUUACCUGAGAUUAUAGCACGCAGAGAUGUUAAAAGCAAGCAAUAGCAAGUCAAGCUUUGCGCGAGAAAAGCAAGUUCCACGUACAAAGCUUGAGGGGGCACUGUUGAUACCAAAAAAAAAGGAUUACAGAAAAGGAAAAAAAUAAAUAAAAUAAAUAAAUGGAAGAGUAUUUAUUCAUGUCAUACUCUUCCGUUGGUUUUGAUUACACGCACAAAGCUUUUGAGUUCAAUUACAACUCUUGCAAGCAGGUGCUUGGAUAAGAACAAAUCAGUACGAGCACCAGAGUUUGAUUGUAACUCAAUUAUCCUAACCAAGCACUCUAUAUAAAGAGGCCAAUACCUUCAAAAAAAAAAAAAAAANAANNNNNNNNNNNNNNNNNNNNAACACCAACGGGAGGAGGCAGGCGGGCAACAAGGAGGAUCACAAAGGAGCGGUUCAUUCUUUACAAGGUUCGGAUGGAGAGUUCUCUUUCUCUUUGCGCAGCUCUCUUUAUGUUCUGUUGAUGGAGGCAUCACUGCCUUCAUAUUCCUCGCAGAUGGCCUCUGGUGUUCUUGGUUACUAUUGUUCCUGGUCACCCAAAUCCCUUGCGGAUCGAUCUGGUUAUUAUAGUUACUGUGUUCUGUUGGUUACUUGGUUACUACUGUGUUCUCUUGGUUACUUGGUUACUCAAAUCCCUUGUGGAUCGUUCCUGGUUACUCGUUACUUGGUUACACAAAUCCCUUGCGGAUCGUUCCUGGUUACUUGUUACCCUAAACAUUGGUUACUGGAUACUAUGGUUACUGGAGACUAAUGGCUACUAUGGCAAUGGUUCUAUGUUACAAUGGUUAUAUGACACUAUGGUUACUAUGAUUCUGGUUCUAUGGCUACUGUAGCACUAUGGUUACAAUAUGGUUCUGGUUCUUUGGGUACUUUGACACUGGUUACUAUAACAGAUCGGUUGCCCUUUGAUCCUACAAAACCAAACACAAAACCAAUACUCAAAAUUCCACCACAAAAGGCCAUUGUUGUCCCUGUUCCCUGUUAACCACCACAGCCAAAUACCUUUCCAAAUUCCAUGUUUCAAGCACCAACUCAAAUACUGUGCAAUGAAACUAAAAGAGACAAUAACAGAGGCUUACCCUCAAACUAUGACAAUCGAUCUAUUCCGAUACUACAACUACUACCUGUGUUUCAUACCUUCAUGCUGUAGCAGGAAUGGUGAUGAUAUUGCAAAAAGAGAACAGCAAGUUCCUGUCAAGUUAACCUCACAAAAACAUCCGAGCAAAGAGAGUCAUUGAUUCUUUGGCUCUGUCCCUUUAAAAAAAACAAAGGGGGCUCGGUGAGUUUUCUCAUGAUUCUUCUCCAAUAUCACAAGAUGACAAGAAUCAAGCUUGGCGGUGACCCUCCCAAACAGAGAAGGCUUACUCAAACAUAAAUAUGCAUUCACCACCAUGGAGUAAAACAAAAGAAGCAAACUUAAUUAAACAAGUUUUGUUUCUGGAAGUUCCAAGGCAGCGAGCCGAAUACACCCACAGUCAAAUAAAUUGGAGCUAAGAAGUUUAGAGUCUCAAAGCAAAAGACGUGUUCUUCCUCAAAUUAAAGCCUGCAAAUUGAAGCCUGCAGCAAAAUUAACCUACUCGAAGCUAAGCUCAUCCAUUCGACGCUAAGCUAAUCUACUCGAAGUUAAGGAAGCGAAGGAUAAUUAAUUUUGCCAUUGAAGAAUUGUAACAAAGCACCUAUCCAACACAAGGCAGUAACCAAAUUGAACGCUACCUGUGAAGAAACAAGCUUUUGACCAGUGGGAAAUCCUUCGAAAUUACUCUGAAGCAUAAUGGAGAUACUUUCGUCAUGAGGGUAUUUGAAUUGUAGGGAUGAAAGCAGGAACACAAUAGGGGUUAUCCUUACCCAAUUUCGCACAGUGAGAAAGAGCACAGCAAAUCUCAAGCCUCCCAGUGUUGAUAAAUUUCUUCUCGGCGACUUAGGAGCACUGCCAUCACCAAGUCGGUUGCUGCGCCAACCCCUCUCCAUUUGAUCAGUUUCGGCCUUCAAGUUCUUCUGGGUUACAAUAAACAAGGCAGCAGAAGAUCAAAAGAAAGAAAAGAAAUGAAGAAUGGGGAGAGGGAAAGCUAACGGGCCUCCACAUUGACGGAUGCUACUCACAAGCAAGGCCCAUGUCAAAUUUGGGCCCAUCUGAAAAGUUCAACGAGGCUCAAUAUAUGGGUGUUCAAAUCAAAAUACCCAAACUUCGGUUUCGUUUAAAAAUUCUUCGGAACCCGAAUGAAGUUGCGUUUGGUACAAAACCAAGAAAUACUCAAAUACCCAAAUUUUUGAACUACAAUGGUUUGAUCCCUUCACAGGGUAUGUAGGCAGUCCAGAUUUAAAUCUGGAUAUAACCACAUUUAAAGCCAAAUCGUUGGUUCUUUCCAAGCCAAAUUCUAAAACACAUAACCAAACCUUUCGACAAGUCAUCUACUUCGUCGAAACCCCAAAAGCCAUAAAACUUGAACUACGAGUGACUUGAUCCCUUAUGGGGUACGUAGGCAGCCUGUAAAACAAAUCGGGUGCAGUCGCAAUUCCCCUCGAACACACAUUCCCCAUUUGUUACUUUGUAAUUAGAAUCAAAGGGUCUUCCCCCGAAAGCAAGGGUUGUAAUUAAGAAAUUUAUUUUAUUUCGAAUGGGUCGAACCAGACAUAAUUAAAACUCUAUUUUAAUCAAUGAGAUAGAGUGAAAUUGUGUUGGGUAUAUUUAUUUACAAUUUUUGCUCAACAUAGUUUUUGGCGACUUCACUGGGGACUCUCAACUGGUCAUCAGACAAAUAAAUGACGAGUAUGCAGUCAAAAAUGAGAACCUUAUAUCAUACUACCAAAGAGUUAAAUAUCUCCUGGGACAAUUUCGAGAGAUAUAUGUUGGCCACAUUCCAAGAUCAGAGAAUGAUAAAGCAGACGCAUUGGCUAACUUGGCAGCUUCUUUAGUACUUCCUGAAGAGAAAGACAUCCAAAUAACAGUUGGAGAACGUCGAUUGCAGUCCUACGUCACUUGAACGAAUGGAAGCUACCAAUGAAACAAAUGUAGUUUCUGUGUUCGAAACUGAGGAAGAAUCUGAUUGGCUCAAAUUGAUGCAGUGAACGAGCAAGAGAGGAAAGUAUGAUUCAAAGUCUCCGAGCAAACACCACAAAGCUCACAUCUAGAAACCCAAGGAAUACCUCGACGCUGAAGUAAAACAUCAGAAAUAACUCUACCUCUUAACACCUUCCAUGCUAGGAAAGACAUUCUUGGCAGAAUAUAUUUAGCCCAUAAUCUCUUACCCCAAAUUACUGGAUUAGAAGAAUGCCGCAUAAAAGUAUAGGCUUGUUUUGCGGUUAACUCAUCGGAGGCUGAAGAGGUCCAUAUAAGUUUGUCAUUAACUGAAGGAUCUUCUGACACAGGGACUUGAUUGAUCAUACCACAUAAGGCUGGGUAGUGCAACUGUAGUAAUGGAGGAAGAUUCCAUGAACCAUUGUCUAUAUAUUUUGACACCAAAUCCGAGUUAUCCUGCAUCAACACAUUAGAACCAAAGAACUCAUUUAUUGGCCUACCCAUAAACUUGUCGCGCCAAAAGUAAAUUCCAUUCCCAGAACCAAUGAACCAUUGAGAAUUAUCUUGAACAGUCUUCCAGAAUUGACGAACACCAGGCCAUAUAGAAGAAGGAGCAUAAGAUUUCCGUCUAGAGAAACGAUUGCGAAUAAAAGCACAACCCUCAGAUUGAGCUGUAUAGAUUUCCCAGCAACGUUUCAAUAAGAGAGAUCGAUUAAGCAGAACUAGUUGUUUGAGCCCCAAGCCACCUUCUGCAAUUGGGGAACAACAAGACUUCCAAGCCACAAGAGGGAUCCCUCUUUUAUCAAUUGAGCCAGACCACAGAAAGUUUCGGCACCAUACCUCAAUUUUUCGCACCACAGACACAGGCCAUUCAUAUACUUGAAAAAUGUAUACCAACAUGCUAAAAAUAACAGACUUGAUAAGCUGCAAACGUCCUGCCAUUGACAAAAAAGAACUCACCCAACUCGAUAACUUUAUCCUUAUUUUGUCAACAAUCUGAUGGAAAUAAGAAGCACGAGGUUUGCCAUGAAAAAUAAGGGCACCCAGAUACAUGAAUGGAGCAGACCCCAAGGGAAUACCCAAGAAGUUCGAAAUAGAAUGCCGCCUUGAAUGUAUACUAUUUCCAAUAAAAACCUGAGACUUCCCUUUGUUGAUAACUUGACCUGAAACUCUACCAUACUCAUCGAAGAACCGCAUAAUCCGCGAUAAAUUCCGCCUAUUGCCCCGAAAAAAAACAAUAACAUCAUCUGCAAAUAGGACAUGAGAUGGAGCAAGAGUAUUUCGUGGAGAAGAGAUACGCUGCAGUUGUCCCGAUGAAACAAGUAAAGAGAUCCCACGACUAAGGACUUCUUCUGCUAAGCAAAAGAGCAAGGGAGAAAGAGGGUCACCUUGACGCACACCCCUUUCACAAGAAAAAUACCCCACAGUCCUCCCAUUAAUCAACAGAGAAAGCUUGGCUGACAGAAGCAAGGCACGCACCCAUUGUACAAAGAUCGGAUCAAACCCAAAAGCCUGAAGAACAUGAAGAAGAAAAUCCCAUGACAGAGUAUCAAACGCCUUUGUAAUAUCAACCUUAAUUGCAAGGUUACCCCCCAUGACAUUUUGAGUUCAACAAAUUAAAGCACUCUGAAGUAGUUAAUAUACAGUCUGAUAUGUUCCUCCCUGCAACAAAAGCAUGCUGUUGAGGAGAAAUAAUACGAGAUGCCACUGAUGCCAACCGGAUAGCUAUGAUCUUUGGGAUAAUUUUAAACACAAAGUUGGUGAGGGCAAUAGGCGAAACUGCUUUAUGGAGUCGGCAUGAUCAACUUUGGGGAUUAAGAUGAUAAUACCUGAGUUAAAGGAAGGAGCCAAAUAACCAUGUUGAAAAAAUACUGAACAGCCUUAACAACAUCAGCACCAACAACAUCCCAGCAAGAGACGAAAAAAUGGCCAUUAAAUCCAUCUGGCCCCGGGGCACUAUCAGGAUCCAUUGAUUUGACAGCUGCCCAAAUUUCCUCUGAUAAUGGAACACUAGUAAGCAUCGUAUUUUCCUCAGGAGUUACCAUAGAGUGAAUCACUUUGGACACCAAGCCACUAUCUUCAUACUCUGCAUGUUUAGUAAAAAGAUUUUUGUAAUAAUCAACUAUAUGAUUUUGGAUAUAAUGAGGAUCCUGAAGCACCUGAUCUCCAUCACGAAGCAGAGUAAUAGAAGAACGAUUUCGGCGCACUUUACACAAAGCAUGAAAAUAAGAAGAAUUACGAUCACCUUCUGAUAACCAUCGCAACCUUGACUUCUCACGCCAAAGAAUUUCCUGAUGCAGAAUAGACUCAUUCAAAAUGGCCUGCAAUUCAGUCUCUUUUUCAAACUCUUCAUCUGAUCCCCCAGAAGCUGCAAUUUUAUUUUGAAUAUCAGCAAGGGCUGCAAGGUCAAACUCAACCCGACGGUGAACAUCCCCAAAGACCUCCCAGUUCCAAGUACGGAGAGAUUUCCUUAAGGUACGCAGCUUAUAUUGCAGGACAGAAUAAGGACAACCAAACGAAGUAGUAGAGGACCAACAUCCUUUGACAAAACUCAUAAAAUCCUUAUGCUCCAACCACAUUUUUCUAAACCGAAAGAGACUAAAACGAGACCCUGUAAACUUAGAAAAGGACAUUAGUAGUGGAUUAUGAUCAGAGCAAGUUCUGGGUAAGGUGCAACAGUCAAACUGAUCCCAUUCCUCCAUCCAAUUCAAAUUAGCAAGACUUCUAUCUAAUCUUAGCUCCACAUUACCACGAAAACCACGCCGUCUCACCCAUGUAAACUCUGCCUCUUUAGUAUCUACAUGAAUAAGUUCACAAACAUCUGACAUUGUCUGAAAUUCCUCACAUGAUCGCCGACAUAGAGGAGCACCUCCUUUCUUUUCAUGAGCACCAAGAACUGCGUUAAAAUCUCCAAAAACCAACCAUGGUCCUGUAACAAAACGACCUUUGAAAUCAGUAAUAUCUUCCCAUAACUUCCGGUGGCCAGAGAUUGUGGUACGAGCGUAGACAGCUGUAAGAAAACAGUUUACCGAAUCAAACAUAACUUGUAAAGAAACCUGCUGAUCCGAGGUAGACAACACCCGAAUCCAUGGAGCCAGAGAAGUCUUACAAAAAACCCAUAGAUUAGGUAAUGCAGAACCCCGGUCAUUUGCACCAACAAAUCGCAUGCCUAACGAACGCCAAAAGAAUAGAGGAAUUGAAGUCAAGGCAACGAAAGGCUCAGCUAUACAUAAAACUUCCAGGUUGUGAACCCGUACAAACUGUUUCAAAGCAUCUUGAGUGGGGACAUUAGCAAUGCCCCGUAUGUUCCAAUAAAGAACCCUCAUUUAGGAGUGUCUUUGGAGCGACGGAGAUAGGCUUCCCUAUUCUCCUUCGAAGCAGCCUUCCUCUUUUGAGACCUGGACAUAACAACAGUAAAACCAUCAUCAAUGUCAACUCGUUCUGUCUCCUCAUACCAGCUAUCAAUUCGAGUUACUGAAUUUGCAGCAACAGCAACCCCAAUGUCAGAAGACUGCUCAUGCAUACUACCACCGGCAGAGUCAUCUUCACUAUUCUGCUCGUUCUGAUCAAUUGCAUACCUAGUAUCAUCUUCUUGCUCAACCACAUUACCAUGGAUAGCUACUGGUACCAAAACCACAUUCACCCCCGGCUCAACCACUUCUUGGACAGGUGCCACCACUUCCACUAGCGGUUCCGGCACAACACUAGAUAUCACUAGUUGGCCGACCGGUGCUGGAGACUUCUGCACAAAGGAAGGACCCUCACCAAAAUCUUCCCUGGGGUUUGGAGUUGAAUCAAUAAUCAUGCUCUUACCUCGAUCUGCUGGAUUAGAUGGGUUUUUAGGCACAUACACUUUGGAGACUCGUUGCUGAUCACGGUUCCUGCGAGAUCGUCUACUACGCUUGCGCGAUCGACCUCUGCCUUUCUCAGUCUCAUUAUCCAUUGGAACCGGGUCAGAAGAUCUAUGCACAUACUUGCAAGCUGUGACAAGGUGCCCAACGUUGCCACAAUGAGCACAAAUAUGUGGAAGCUUCUCAUAAUCCACAGUCUGAACAAAAGACGAACCGCACUUACGCUUGACAACCAAUUCAUGCGGUGGAUCAACAGAGAGAUCAAUAUCAACCAAUAUUCUAGCAAAUAGGGUUCUAGGUUCCCAAAACUCAAGCCCUAGAUCCUAAAACCUCACCCACACCUGAGCAUUAGUAUUACGUUGAUUCGCUGGGGAGAAAUUUGGAACCCAUCGCAUGAAACGCAAGAAGCCAGGCUUGAGAGCAAUUGCACCCUUUACCCAGACUGUAGAGAGAUCCUCAUCCGUAGAGAAGCUAAACGUGAAAUAACCUUUUCCCAUGGGAAUAAUCUUCCAAGCCCCUAGACUUCCCCAAAGAAGAGAAAGCUUAUGAGACAGAUCUGAUGCAGAGUAGGGUUUAUCCCUCAAACCCAAUUGCACCCUUCCGAUUAACAUAUGUUUACAAUUAUCCAAACCCGAUUGAUAGCCCUCUUCUGAAAUAGUAACAGUUGUCUUGCCAUCUAAAAUCUCAGGAAUAGGUAGAUCAUCAAUUGGGAUGAAAGCUUGCGCCGCCGCCGCCGCAUAAGAUUUCGUCGGCUUCGCAGCCCCCUCGUCGAGAAAAGACCACGGGCAGAAGGGACGAUGCUGAACAGCCAUGACGUCGUGAAGCAAACGGAACUCGAAUUCAAGGAUUUACUGCAGGGAGGCUCCAGCACGGGGAAACCCUAGCAGAGCCAUCACCAACAUAAUGUAACUCGAUGCAUCACAUCCAUUAACACACUAUAGUCUUACCUUUUAAGUUGAGUCAAUGCAAGAGUUGCACUAUUUAGACCAUUUGGUUCUUCCGAAAAUAUGUAUUAUAUUUUUGAGAAUUUCAACGUCUGUAGUAGAGUCGACGAGGAUUUUAGAUUUGAUUUCGUCGAUGGCGUUGUCGAGCUAUUGCGUCAAUAGGAUGAUGAAGAGCAACCGGAAUCACCUCUCUUCUGACGCAAUUUGUUUUUCAAAGAUCUGGUCCGUUGCACUGGCCGGUCGAAGCCUUUUCAGUUCUCAAAACAGUUCAGAAACUACAGGUCUGAUAAUGAAAUGCAUAAAACAUUUAUAACUAUUGGUAAUUUAUAUCCUAGAGUUGUUCGAGUGUACUAACCACAGGAAAUAACGAUCUAGCUAGACUACCUUAUUUUCGUUAGGGCUGCUCUAAUUAGUCAACAUAUGCAGCUAGGUGAUGAUAAACUUACCCAAUUCGUUGUGAAAAUAAUUGAACCAUCAGUAGCCGUGAUAGUCCUUACGUACCUGCCCUUUCAUGAGCCUUAAUAUUUGGUGGCUUAUUAGCUACGCACUAAUGGUAGUUAAUUGUGCUUAUUUUGUGCAUGUGUGUUCUAAUACAAUUACCUACCUAGUUCUAAUUGUUCUAAUUCGUCGUGGAAUGUUUUCAGAGGAGAAAACUGAAUGGGGUAGCAUAGAGCCCUAUUACAAAAUAAUGUAUCUAUAACCUUCUCUAAUUUACAUAGUAAUUGACGCAAUUUGGCCGAACUGUUUCUGAACACACUGCUUCAGUUCUUUAUAAACCACGUACCAUAUGUAUGUAUUCAAGUGUCAGAUAUACUGAACCUACAUCGCCAAAAUGGAGAGAAUUCAGGUCAGUAUAAUUUCCAAACACACCGUCAAACCAUCAGCUUCCUCUUCACUACUUCGGGAUUGUCUAUGGUACAGCGCUGUAUGCCAUACAUCCUCUAACAGGACUUGUGUGCACGUGCCUUGCAGUGGGGGUGGGUGUUUUGUUUUGAAAUUUUUAGCCUUGAAAGCAGGCUGCAUAUCAUGCAGGGCUGCAGAUAGAAUUUUCCCUGAAUAUCACGCAUAUCAGCGCUGCAUGAUAUGUAUGAUUGUCUAUGGUACAACGCUGCAUAUCAUGCAGCGCUGCAUUAAAGCAGACUGCAUAUCAUGCAACGCUGCAGGAUAUGCAGCCUGCUUUCAAGGCUAAAAAUUUCAAAAUAAAACACCCCCACCUGCAAGGCACGUGCGACACAAGUCCUGUUAGAGGAUGUAUGGCAUACAACGCUGUACCAUAGACAAUCCCACUACCCUACUUCAGCCUUACAAGCUUACCCUGCUCGACCAGCUCACUCCUCCAUCGUAUGUCCCCAUGGUAUUCUUCUACCCCAUUACUGGCCCUGCAGUCUUCAAUCUUCAAACCCUAGCUGACUUAAGACAUGCCCUUUCCGAGACUCUCACUUUGUACUAUCCACUCUCUGGAAGGGUCAAAAACAACCUAUACAUCGAUGAUUUUGAAGCCGGUAUCCCAUACCUUGAGGCCCGAGUGAAAUGUGACAUGACUCAUUUUCUAAGGCUUCCAAAAAUCGAGUGCCUAAAUGAGUUUGUUCCAAUAAAACCAUAUAGUAUGGAAGCAAUAUCUGAUGAGCUUUACCCCUUGCUUGGAGUUCAAGUCAACAUUUUCGAUUCUGGGAUAGCAAUAGGUGUCUCCGUCUGUCACAAGCUCAUCGAUGGCCGAACGUCAUACUGUUUUCUCAAGUCCUGGGGUGCUGUUUUUCGUGGGUGUCGUGAUGAAAUCAUACAUCCUAAUCUCUCUCAAGCAGCAUUGCUUUUCCCACCGAGAGAUGACCUGCCUGAAAAGUAUAUAGCUUUGAUGGAAGGGUGGUCGAUUGCCGUAAAGAAAGUUGCUACAAGGAGAUUUGUAUUUGGUGCGAAAGCCAUAUCUGCAAUUCAAGAUGAAGCGAAGAGCGAGUCCGUGCCCAAGCCAUCACGAGUUCAGGCCGUCUCUGGUUUUCUCUUGAAACAUCUUCUCUCUGCUUCUCGGGCAUCAUCAUCAGGUAAAUCAGUUUAUGUGUCUUCUUAAAAGUGCACCACAUGCAAUUGCGUGAUUGGCAAAGGAGGGCUAGGCGUGAUUAAUUAAGCUAGAGAAGACAAGGUUUUUCCAUUAAUUGUUAGUGAGGCUUGCUCAAAUGCGAGCGUACAAGAGUUUUCAGUAGCUUUAUUUCUGCUGCUUAGGUUAUACCGGAUUUGUUUUGUAAGUUAGAAAAAUACAACUUAUUGGAUAUUGUUAUAAGCAUCUAAUUAAUGAUAUGAAUGAAAAAGAAAAAAGAUCGUACACUUAACAUUUUUCUGCUAUUAUUUCAUACUUAUUUUAUAUUUUUGUAUUACAUAUACUGUACAUAGCUUAAAAAUGAGAAAAUAUAUGAACUUUUGCAGGUACUACUUCAACAAAACUUUCUAUAGCAGCUCAGGUAGUGAACUUAAGAUCACAGAUGAACAUGGAGACAACGUUGGGUAAUGCCAUUGGAAACCUGAUGUGGUGGGCUCCGGCCAUACUAGAGUUAAAUCAUAAAGCACGAGAGAGCAGCGAUCCUAAGCUGUGUGACUUGGUUAUCUUGCUCAAUGAAUCUGUCAAACAAUCUAACAGUGAUUACUUCGACACUUUCAAGGGUAAAGAGGGAUAUGGAAGAAUGUGUGAGCAUCUAGAUAUGGAGGGGACUGUAAGUUCUGUAGAACCAGCACCAGAGAUAUAUUCAUUCUCGAGCUGGACUAGAUUUUUCGACCAAAUUGAUUUUGGAUGCAUGGGGGAGGUCAUCUUGGAUUGGAGUUACCGGAAAACAAUCUGCAUAUUGGAAUUCCACAGUUUUAGUACCAACACAAUGUGAUACUGGAAUUGAAGCGUGGGUGAAUCUAGAUGAAGAGAAAAUGGCUAUGCUAGAACAAGAUCCCCAGUUUCUAGCAUUAGCAUCUCCAAAGACCCUAAUUUCAAGGUAUUGAUUAUGAAAGAUUAUGUGGCUCGUGCAAUGUUUCCAUUUGCAGUGAAUAAGGAUUAAAUUAGUUCCCCGGCCAAUUAAUAAGAAGCAAGGUAUGAUAGACUAUGGCUACGUAUGUUAGUAUGUUAUCCGAAUGUGCUUCGUUAUGCUUUUAACCAAUAUAGCUCUGUUUUGUAACAAUGCUCUAUUGAGCUUCUAACUAUAGAGUUAUUUUUCUUGAUUAGAAAAAGAAACUAUGCAAGUUUUGUUUUGUUAAGCUAUUCUGUUUCUAAAAGAAAGGCUAUUCUGUUUCUAAAACGGGAUGCAUGUAUUACCUAAAAAGAUGAUUCACCUAUAAUUAUUUUUCAAGUAAAUGAUUAUUUGAUAGCAAUCACGCCGUGUAUUUCUAUAGCUAAAAUUGUAAUUUAGAUCAGUGACAACAUGAUUAAAAGUUACAUAUUCUGAUACAUUUGUUAUUUAACGACAAGUGUGGCCAUAAUGCCUCACCUAGUCACCUAAUGCGAAGACCUCUACGAGAGACUAAUGUCGUCUGAUCUUCUUUUCUUAAUCAAAAGAAACGAAAAUGGCCACAAUGCCUCACUAUUCAUAGAACCAUACAAUAAUUUGGAACAUAUGCAUGGAUGCAAAGAAAAAUAACACAAGAACCAUCAUAAUUUCACAUUAUAUGAGAAACUUAGCCAAAUCCGAAUCACAUCCAUGUUGGCCAAGAGUGACUAAAGAAGACCACCCAGAAAGCUAGAAAACCAUAAAAUCCAGAAAACUUGAAUAAGCUAGGGAAAAAACAAAAAUGUGACAUUCCAUUUCUUCUUGCGGUUUUGUUAGGCCAAAUCAAAAUCUCAAUGACCCUGCAAUCAUUUACACACACUCUUUCUCAAUCUCUGCAAAACUGACUGCUUCCCCUGAAAACUUGCGCAAUAGGGUACCUAGCUCUCUGGCCUUUUCUUUCUAAUGCACAAUUUAUGGCUUUUGGUAAUGAUGAUUUUAUGCUUGUGGAUCUCAGAUGGGUUUGUUUUGUUUUGGGAUUUUUAUAAAUGAAUGCAUUGAAAAUGUUGAAAGCUUAUGCCUUUGUUCCUUGGUUCAGUGUUCUGGUUUUGUGUACGUACGAGAGUUGAAAUGUGAUCUCUAGUAUCGGUAAAGAGAAAUGUUCUAACCAUGCUAGUGUUAGUAAUUUAUCUUCUAAAGUUGUUUGAGUACUUUACUCUCUUACUUUACUAACUAAGCAUAGGAAAUAACGACCUAAACUACCUGAUUUUCGUUAGUGCUUGUAAACACGAAAAUUCCUGUAACGAAUAACAGAAAGACAUGUGUACAAAAUAAUAUAUUUGUAUUGAUUGAAUUUGCGGGUUACAAUCUCUAUGGGUAUUCUUUUAACAAGAAUGUCCUCUGAUUCGAUCUCCGAUGUUGAUUUGAUCCAAGGGUGACAAGCACUUGAUCUUGAAUUGAACUGUUGUAGUUUGAACUUCUUAUUGUGUUGACGAUUUGUAGAAGGAAGUUGACCAAGGGCCAUAGAGGCUUGAUCUUGGUCGAAUAUGGGCCGCGAGAGGUGUCACGUGGUGAACGUUCUUCGACUUGAUAGCGGAUGAAUCGGCACGUGUGUUUGGUACUUGUUGAUUCUCCACGAGGUUGUUGAAGAACUUGGUAGAAGUUUUGAUUUGUUGAAAGACUUGAAGACGAGGGUUGAUCAAGGGCCGUAGAGGCUUGACGUUGAUCGAGUUUGGGCCGAGCAGUUCCACAUGGUGGUUGCUCUUCGUCUUGUAGUUGGUGAAGAUGUCAGCUAUUUGGCAACUUGGGACUCUUCGGGAUUUGACAACCUAUAGGCUUGAGGUUGAUGAAGAAUCAACUAUUUGGCAGCUUGAUGAUUCUUCAAGGGUUUUGGGAGAAUUCUAAACUCUCGGGAGUAAUUUUUCUCUCUUGUCUGAAAGUCGUCCUCUUGAUAUGAGAGGGGGUAUUUAUAGUGUUAAUGCUCCUCCGUAAAUGGAAUGCAUUGAAGUCACAGCUUUAAUUAUAUUUCCUUAAUGAUAUAAUUAAAUCAAUCACUUUUGAUUGAUUGAUUCAAUUAUUCAAUUUCCCAUAAUUAAAUCAAUCAGUCUUAAUUGAUCGAUUUAGUUAUGAUCGAUAAGGUAUUUCACUAAUUUGAUUAAAUUCCGACUUCCUUUUCGAUAAUUGAUUUGAUUUGAUUGAUGUUUGAUUAUCGAUUGACAUUUAAUAUUUUAUUUUAGUUGGGAUUGAUGAUUUUGUUGUCGACCGACCAUUCACACGCCGCCACGUGUUAUUUUCGAAGACUUUUCAACUUUGCUGACUCACGAGCCACGUAUGCACGAGACUUUUCAACGUCUCUAAUUUACAUAGUAAUUGACGCAAUUUGGCCGAACUGUUUCUAAACACACUAAGCUUCAGUUCUAUAUAUACCGCGUACCACAUGUUUCAUCAAGUGUCAGAUAAUACAGAACCUACUUCGCCAAAAUGGAGAAAAUUGAGGUCAGUAUAAUUUCCAAACACACCAUCAAACCAUCAACUUCCUCUUCACCACUUCAGCCUUACAAGCUUACCCUGCUCGACCAGCUCACUCCUCCAUCGUAUGUCCCCAUGGUAUUCUUCUACCCCAUUACUGGCCCUGCAGUCUUCAAUCUUCAAACCCUAGCUGACUUAAGACAUGCCCUUUCCGAGACUCUCACUUUGUACUAUCCACUCUCUGGAAGGGUCAAAAACAACCUAUACAUCGAUGAUUUUGAAGAGGGUGUCCCAUACCUUGAGGCUCGAGUGAACUGUGACAUGAAUGAUUUUCUAAGGCUUCCGAAAAUCGAGUGCCUAAAUGAGUUUGUUCCAAUAAAACCAUUUAGUAUGGAAGCAAUAUCUGAUGAGCGUUACCCUUUGCUCGGAGUUCAAGUUAACAUUUUCAACUCCGGAAUAGCAAUCGGGGUCUCCGUCUCUCACAAGCUCAUCGAUGGAAGAACUUCAGACUGUUUUCUCAAGUCGUGGUGUGCUGUUUUUCGUGGUUCUCGUGACAAAAUCAUACAUCCUAAUCUCUCUCAAGCAGCAUUGCUUUUCCCACCAAGAGAUGACUUGCCUGAAAAGUAUGCCCGUCAGAUGGAAGGGUUAUGGUUUGUCGGAAAAAAAGUUGCUACAAGGAGAUUUGUAUUUGGUGCGAAAGCCAUAUCUGUAAUUCAAGAUGAAGCAAAGAGCGAGUCCGUGCCCAAGCCAUCACGAGUUCAGGCUGUCACUAGUUUUCUCUGGAAACAUCUAAUCGCUACUUCUCGAGCACUAACAUCAGGUAUGUAAAAUCAGUUUAGCAACAAGCCAAAUACUAAAGCAACUAAAUAAAAACCUAUUGUAUUUGGGGUAGUCCCUUAUUAGCUGUUGUCCUAAACUUCUAACGAUAUGAACUUUUUUCUCAAAAGAAAAAAAUAGUACACUUAACAUUUUCUGUUAUAAUUUCAUACUUAUUUAUAUAUUUUUAUUACAUACAUAGCUCAAAGAAUGAGAAAAUAUAUGAACCUGCAGGUACUACUUCAACAAGACUUUCUAUAGCAACCCAGGUAGUGAACAUAAGAUCACGGAGGAACAUGGAGACAGUGUGGGAUAAUGCCAUUGGAAACUUGAUAUGGUUCGCUCCGGCCAUACUAGAGCUAAGUCAUACAACACUAGAGAUCAGUGAUCUUAAGCUGUGUGACUUGGUUAACUUGCUCAAUGGAUCUGUCAAACAAUGUAACGGUGAUUACUUUGAGACUUUCAUGGGUAAAGAGGGAUAUGGAAGCAUGUGCGAGUAUCUAGAUUUUCAGAGGACUAUGAGUUCUAUGGAACCAGCACCAGAGAUUUAUUUAUUCACGAGCUGGACUAAUUUUUUCAACCAACUUGAUUUUGGAUGGGGGAGGACAUCAUGGAUUGGAGUUGCAGGAAAAAUUGAAUCUGCAUUUUGCAAUCUCAUAACAUUAGUUCCAACACCAUGCGAUACUGGAAUUGAAGCGUGGGUGAAUCUAGAAGAAGAAAAAAUGGCUAUGCUAGAACAAGAUCCCCAGUUUCUAGCACUAGCAUCUCCAAAGACGCUAAUUUCAAGAUAUUGAUUAAGGAAGAUUAUGCGGCUCGUGCAAUGUUUCCAUUUUGUUGUGAUUAAGGCUUAAAUUAGUUCACCAGCCAAUCAAUAAGAUGCAAGUAUGAUAGACUCGGUCUACGUAUGUUAUCCGAAUGUGUUUCCACAUGCUUGUAACCAAUAUAGCUCUUGUUUGUAACAAUGCUCUAUUAAGCUCUUCUAUCCAUAAAGUUAUUUCUCUAUUAAAAAGAAAACUAUACAAGUUUUGUUAAGUUUUUAAGGUAAGAUGCAUGUAGUACCCAAAAAGAUGGUUGACCUGUCAUUAUUUUCAAGUACAUGAUUAUCCGAUACAAUUACAUCAAAUAUUUCUAUAGCUAAAAAGUAUGUAAUUUUGAUCCGUGACAACAUGAUUAAAAAGUUAUAUAUUAUGAUGCAUUUAUCCUCUAACGACAAGCAUGGUCAUAAUGUCUCACCUCAUCACCUCACCAAGCGCGGAUCCAGUUCACAAGUGGGUAAGGCUCAAGCCCAACCAAGAAAAUUGGGGGAAAAAAAAACCUAAGUAUAGAUAUAUAUUUUUUUGGGUGAUAUAUCAUAUAUGCCCAGCCAUCAAGUGACCAAGCCCAACCCACCUAACUCAACCCAUCCCACUAACUACCCAAGUCCACAAUCAUCACUCAUCACUCAUCCACCCAACCUCCUUCAUCGAAGGAGUCCUUUAACUAAUCAGCUUAAACACCAAGUCUAAAAGUCUUCCCUGCUCUUCCCCUCCGCCUCCACUCAGUCACUCACCUAUGACCUAUCCCGGCUAUCCGGCUAUCCCUCUUCCCCUCCAGUCCUCCACGGCUCCACCAUAAUCUCCUUCUUCCCGGCCUCCUCCGGUCCUCCGAUUCCUCCCGGAUAGCGACGACUCGCCUCCGGCGGUCCGGACCUCCGCGGCUCCGCCUCCAGUCCUCCACUCACCUAUCCCUCUUCCAGCUGCUAGAAAGCUUGUUCGAGACUUGGUCCUCCACAGACAACCCAUUAGUCCAUUACCCAUCUUUCUUCACUCUCAGCCAGCAUGGUUGUACUAGAAAUUUUUUUUUGGCCUUCGGCCAAAGUUCAAGCCCACCCCAUCUUUAAAUCAUGGAUCCGCCACUGCACCUCACCAUAGUGUCCUAUCCUCUUAGGAGAAGGUAGGCACCUAAUGCAAAGGCCUUUAUGAGAGACUAAUAUCGUCUGAUCUUCUUUUCUUAAUCAAAAGAAAUGAAAAUGGCCACAAUGCCUCACUAUUCAUAGAGCCAUACAAUACUCUGGAACAUAUGCAUGGAGACAAAGAAAAAUAACACAAGAACCAUUAUAAUUUCACUUUAUACGGGAAACUUAGCUAAAUCCGAAUCAUGGGCGGAGCCAACCCAGGUGAAAUUUUGAAGCCCAAAAAAUUACCUGAAACAUCGUCGUUUGGGUGUAGGUUAUUUCUCCGUUUACUUCUUCUCAAUCUUAGUCAUAACUCACACCAUUGCGUCCGUAGCCCGUCGUUGUCGCUAGAGCGGUCGCCAUUUCCCAUAGCCCGCGCCGUCGCCCGUAGACCACAUCCCGAGUCAGUCAGUCCCCACUUGGCUACUUCCCCAGGUAUGGCUCAAUCGGAUUGCUUAUAUUCUGAUCGUGGACAUAGCAGGCUUCAAUUCAAAAGCCAUCAUAUUCAUAUGCUUCAAUGUUGCUUUACUUCGUCUAUAACUAGAGUUUCAGCUUUGCUUCGUCUUCAAUGUUGAUAUGUUGAUAUAAAAUAUUAACUUGAUUAGGAUUUGUUGAUAUAGAAUAUUACCUUGAUUAGGAUUUGUUGUUAUGUAAUAUGUAUUAGGAUAUUUAUUACUCAUAUUAGGAUUUGUUAUAUGAUCUUACAUCCUUACGAAUGAAUAUACAUCAACACAAUCGAAAUCUGCAUGGUCAUAUUAGCCUUAACUAGUUCAGUCCAAUUCAUAUUAGUCUUAAACUAGUUCAGUCUAAUUCCUCAUGGGUAUAUGCUGAACUUUAAGAUGUUGAUCUUCUAUAAUAACUGAGUUCGAUACCAGAAAUCUUUGAUGAUUGUCCACAUAUGUUAUCUUAUAAUCCUAUAUUAAUUUGUACUAAUCUCAUAGUCUUAAUUUGAAAGCUCCUUAUACGUCUUAACUUGGAUAUGGAUGUGGAUUUGAUCUUAUUAUAUGUAAUAUUAAAGUGAAGUUGUUGUAUUACACAGAAUGUUUGAUGAAUAAAUAACAAAUUGAUCGCGUCAAAAGGCUAGAUCAAAAAAUUUCUUGCACCAUCGAACAAAUUUUCUUGUGUAUACAAUUUCAUGGUUCCGCCACAUUGGCAACAAAGAGUGAUUGGAAAAGAAGAACACCCAGAAAGAUAAAAACCAUAAAACUUGUUUAAGCGAAAAAAACAAAAGUAUGCCAUUCAUUUCUUCUUGCGGUUUUGUUAGGCCAAAAAUCAAAAUCCCAUGAUACCCAAUCAGUUACACACUCUCCCUCUCAAUCUCUACAGAACUGACUGCUUCCCCUGAAAACUUGCGCAAUAAGGUACCCAUCUCUCUGGCCUUUUCUUUGUAAUGCAUAUAAGUUCCUGUAAAUUUUAAAGCUUUUGGAAUGAUGAUUUUAUGCUUGUGGAUCUCAAGAUGAGUUUGUUUGUUUUUUUCGGGAUUUUUAUAAUGAAUGCAUUGAAAAUGUUGAAAGCUUAUGCCUUUGUUCCUUGGUUCAGUGUUUUGGUUUUGUAUACGAGAGUUGAAAUGUGAUCUCUAGCUUGACUGUUGGUAUUGGUAAAGAGAAAUGUUCUAGAAAACCAUGCUAGUAUUAGUAAGUUAUCUUCUAAAGUUGUUCGAGUACUGUACUAAGCAUAGGAAAUAACGACCUAAGCUACCUUAUUUUCGUUAGUGCUAGCUGCUAUGAGAAACUUACCCAAUUCGUUGUUAAAAAUAGGGAAAAUACCCAAAUACUCAAAAAUUAGAAAGCUAAAACCCAUUCCAAUGAAAUUAUAAUCCUUUAGCUCAUUCCUAUGUUACACCGAUACUCCACCCCACGGACACUCCAACACUCCCGACACACCGAUAUCGAUACGAUACACCAAAAUGUGUGUCCGACACGCCACGUGGCGUGUCAAAAAAAGUUGACUUUUUAGACACGUUACGUCAGCCUGAGACACGCCAAGUCAGUGUGUAUUGAUUGAAAAAAAAAAAUACAGAACUAAAAGUCUAAAACCUAAUCGAAGAGGAAGCCCACUUUAAAGAAGCCGCAUAGAAGAGGAACGAUGUCACCGUUCACUAUCACUGCGAGAACGACGUCGUCUGUCCAUGUCAGUGUGAUUGUUCCUCCGAUGACACCACUCUGCGAGAACGACGAGAACAGCGUCGCCUUUCUCUGUUACAGCGACUCGUCCUCCGUCGGCCUAAACCCUCUCUUUAGUGUAAGGUUAAUCUUAAUCUCAGCUUUGACGUGUUUGGUGAUUGCAGUCUCAUUUGCAGUAACAGAAAAGCAUAUAAGAUUUUAAUCAUUUUAUGAUCAUUCUGAUACCACUUAUAGAUUUUUAAGGCAAUGUGCUAUUGAAGCAUCUGCACUGUGAUGUUAAGUGUCAUGAUAUUGCUCAAUUGCUGAUAGGGUAGGAUGGAGCUAGACAUUUGAGACUUUGCAAAAUUGAGUUUAUACCUACUAGUAUUAGAUCAUCAAUUAGUUGAGAGUUUGUAGGAGGUCAGGUUUUAUACUUGGUGAGAAACAUCGGCUCAUCUGUAUUUGUAAGGAAGAUUUAAUUGAAAGGAGUUGUGUAUGGAUUGCUUAUUUGUUUAUCUUUGCUCUGUUAAUUGUUAAUAUGUUAUGAUAUGCUGCUGUGUCUAUGCUGAUGUGCUUAUGCUACUGUGUGUCUAUGCUACUGUGUCUAUGCUAUUGUCUUAUGUUGUUUUGUUGGAUUAUUAUGAUUAGGAUGAGUUCAAGUGCGACAUCUACUGAACCUAGUGUUGAAUCAACUAAGCCUGAAAAAUUAGAUGCUCCUCUAUCAAGGAUAAAGGAUGAUGCCAAUGCAUGCGUGCCUUGCUCUUAUGUAUUUUGAAUAUCUCAGUUAUGGGGUUUUAGGCAGUUGGUGUUAUUAUAGGGUUAGGAAAGUCGGAUUUUCAUUCAGUUUGAUGAAUGUGUUGAAUUAGAUAAAACUAUUUAGUAAUCAUCCUUUAGAUUAAAUAUUGACUCUCUUUUAUGUUAUUUGUUACAGUUAUGCAAUUGCUUAAAUUUAGAGCAUUAUUUAAGCAAUGUGAUAAAUUUAUUCAUAUUUGAGCAUUUUUUUAUUAAUUAGAAAUAUACAAAUAAGUAAUUAUAUUUGCCGUGUCUAAGCCGUGUCGAAAAUGUAGUCUUUGAGUUUUGCCGUGUCGCCGUGUCAGUACGUAUCGUGUCGCCGUAUCCGUGUCCGUGUCCAUGUAACAUAGGCUCAUUCCAAUGAUUCUUAUGCAAAAGACAUUAUUANNNNNNNNNNNNNNNNNNNNCUCUCUCUCUCUCUCUCUCUCUCUCUCUCUCUCCUCUCUCUCUCUCUCUCUCUCUCUCUCUCUCUCUCUCUCUCUCUCUCUCGGUGUACGACGAUGCAAGGUUGAAGACGCAGCCUCCUACUGAGUCGACGAGACCGCGCUCGUGGUCGUGAUUCUCCUCAACAGCGACAUCGAUUUUGGCGGCACCUCUCGGAGAUGAUCCUCAUCUGCCAGAACCUCUGCAACAAUCUCUAGAGCCCUAACGAGCACAUCCGGGGCGUCACGCUCCAGUUCCUCUACUGGUUGAGCAAGUUGGAGAUUGUCCGGCCGUUGAUUUCAUCGAUUUUGGCCAAUCUAGUCAGAGAUUGAGGUCUGUGUUUAGUGCAAACAUGGAUAACGUUCUUCUUCUCCUUUUUUUAUCGGAGAUCGUGUUUUUGUUUUUGUUUUGGUCAGAGAGAUUGUGGUUUUUUCCCCUUUUUUUUUCAAUAUAAUGGUUAUUAAAUGAUAGUAUCUUGAUUAUUGGAGUAAUUAGUCUAUUAUUGGGAGGUAAGAAGUAUCUAGUGGAGGUCAAUAAACAUUUAUUGACCCCAAUAUUGCUUUUAUAAAUUUUUUUUGAGAUGUAGGGAUUUGCCUUAGAGGUAAAAACUUCCUUUUUAACUCGAUUACUAGGAAUCAUUAACUGAUUAUUGAGGUUAAGUAACUGAUUAUUGAGGGUCAGUAAGUGAUUAUUGGGGUUCAGUAACUGAUUAUUGGGGGUUAAUAACUGAUUAUUGGGGGUCAUUUUGAGAGUCAGUAACCGAGUUAUUGGUGAUCAGAAUCCAGCAACCGGAAAAAAUCUGAGUUACUGGGGGUCAGUAACUAAGUUACCGGUUAUCGGAAUCAGGCGACCGGAGAAAAUAUGAGUUACUAGGAGUCAAUAACGGCGACCGAAGAAAUUUCUGGCAACCGGGGACCGGAAUCCGGCGACCGGCAACCAGAGUCCGGCGGCGGGUGACCGGAGUCCGGUGAGAUUCCGGCCAAGUAUUCUCUCUCUUCCACUUUCUCUCUCUAUACAUGUUGAAGUGGUGAGAGUAAAAUUGUCUUAAAAAUAUAUAAAAAUUAUUUUUUAUUAUAACAUUAGUAAAGAUUUGUGCAUAAAAAAUGUUACCUUAUAUUGGAAUGAGCUCAUGAAAAAGAUUAACAUUAAAAUGGGGAAUAAGAGGUUUAAAUUAGUAUUAAAUUGACAUUUUCCCUUUAAAAUAAUAACAGAACCAUCAAUGCCGUGAUAGUCCCUUAAUAUUUGGUGGCUAAUUAGUAAUGCAUUCAUGGUAGUUGUGCUUAUUUUGUGCAUGUAUUCUAAUUCUAUCACUUGCAAAAUCGUUGUGGAAGGUUAAGAGGAGAAAACAGAAAAUGGGGCAGCAUGCAUCUCAUUUUAUUUCCGAUCAUAUUUUCAUAUCAUAGACGUUCACUAUUUAGAUAUACAUGAGUUGAUCAUCUCUACAAAAUUUCAACUAAUUUAGUUAUCAUUAAGGUAUCGAAAAUGUAUUAAAUCAAUGAACGAACCGAAUCUGUUCAUCCUGAACUGUACGUUCUAUUAGUUCUAAAUCACAGUUUUGAAUGUCUUAAUGAUUAUCAACUUGGCUGAAAAUUUAUAUAGAUGAUCUACUGAUAUAUAUACCUAAAAUAUGAACGGUUGAGAUGAGAAAAUAUGAUCGAAAGUGGGACAAAUAAUGAAAUCCGUACCUUAGAUAAGGUAAGGAGGUCCUUACCUGAUCAAGAUUGUGUGUGUGUGUCUAUAGAGUUUAGGGUUUAGAGUUUUAGGGUGUCAUGAAGAUAUCAUACAUCCUAAUCUCUCUGAAGCAGCAUUGCUUUUCCCACCGAGAGAUGACUUGCCUGAAAAGUAUGCCGGUCAGAUGGAAGGGUUAUGGUUUGCCGGAAAGAAUGUUGCUACAAGGAGAUUUGUAUUUGGUGCGAAAGCCAUAUCUUCAAUUCAAGAUGAAGCGAAGAGCGAGUCUGUGCCCAAGCCAUCACAAGUUCAGGC
rnacentral:lncRNA from 1 species